UAUUCCACCUCCUAGGAUGGGGAUUGAUAGUAAGAAGGUUAAGAAGUUAAGUACACCAAUUAAGUGGUUACUUGUUCUCAUUUUUUUUUUUUUUUGGUAGCUGAAUCUCUUUGGCUAUAGUUUUUUUUUUUUUGCUAGAGUUUAUGAUUGAGUGAUGAAUGUGACUUGAGAUUUAUAGAUGAAGAGUUGGUGGUGUUUGUAUUUAUUUUGAUUGAUUACUUAAUUUAGGAGCUUGGUAAACGCGUAGAGAGUUUUGUGUUUAUUUAAUUAAGGAAAUGACUUAAAUAACCUUGUUUUUGGAUUUUGAAUUGCUGUCACUUGGGGCGGGUUUGGUUGGUUGGUUCAAAGAUAUUUUUUUAAAUAACUUUUUUCUCAUUUAAAAAAUUAUAUUUUUGUAACCUAGAUGGUGUGAUAUUGUAGGUUUAUGUUUAGUUUUGUGUUAACGAAAAUUAUAUUGAUUUAAUUGAACUAAUUUUAUAAAAUGAUUUUGUUUAAAAAUUAGUUGAAUGUUUUUUUUUAUAAAAAAUAUAUAUGCGAGUUAAAUAUAAAGUAUGUGUUUGGAUAAAAUGAGUUCAACAAUAAAUUUAAAUUAAAAAUUAAUCUAAAAUCAAAUCUUUUUUAGGUACAAAAGCAAUAAUUCAUAACUUUAAAUUUUAUAGCAAUGUCAUAUCUUAUAGAUCCAUGAAUGUUGUGUUUACGAGAUUGAUUUUGUCAUCUAAAAAGAUUUAAGGACGCAGUUUGUUAUUCGAUUGUCCUCUAUUCAUGUGUAAGGAAUCUUUGAUAUAUAAAAUUGUAGCUACCCAUGCUUUUGUUCUCAUGUUACAUUUGUAGAAUCAAUUGUAGUUCCUCUAAAACUGAAAACAAUUAAGGUAUAAUCUUAUAAUUAAAAAGUUAAUUUAUCCAAUUUACCCACAAUGAGUGACGUACAACAAAUUAUCUUUAAAGAUAGAGUGCAGUAUUUUAUAGUAAAUAAUGUGCACUUCCUCCGAUCUUAAAAAUAAGAAAAGAUUCUUUUUUUUAGGUUCAUUAAGUUGUUAAUGUAUCUGGUCUACAUUGUAAAAUAAAUAUAUUAAUUAUUUAAUGAAUCUAAAAAGAGAAUUUUUUCUUAUAUUUGAGACCAGAUGAAGUAUUACUCAUAGUUGAAGAUAGAUAGAGUGUAGUACUUUAUGGUUCCGUAUAAAAUGGACCUGUGGGAAAAUUGGUCCAUAAUGGACCAUAAAUUUUUACUCAUAGAUUGUUUUAUCCCUCACAAUAAUACUUUGCACCAUCGAUAUACUAUCUCCCCCACUUACCUUGUUUUCUUUUCUUCAAUUUGAUCGUUCCACAUAAUCCUCAAUGUUCAUUAAUUUACCUCUCUCUUAAACAAAACAAAAAAUUGAUUGUUCUCUGCUCUCAACCGAGCAAUUAUUAUGGCCAUAGGUCUCACAAUUUUCUUCUGAAAUUCUUUUUUAAUCCUUUGUUCCUCUUCCCUAUAUAUUUUCAUCUCCUUCUAUUUUUAUUUAUUCUCUUCCUUGUUUCGAGAAACAAUGGCAGUUGAAACGGACAUGGUGUUGUCACCACAACUCUUCAAAAUGAUUAACAUUUGGGUGUUGAAAAAGCCAGUGUGGCACCGGUAACAAGGACAGUGAAGGCCAAGACAGCACUACCAUUACUACAAUAGUACAAUAUAUAUCUCAGCUACCAUUACUAUAACCAAAAUCUCAAAUAAAUAAAAAUUCAGUCGUCAAACUCCUUACUUUUGCUUGUGAUUUCAGUCUACUAAGGUUUUGUUUGCGAGUUUUGAGGGAAAAGAAAGAAAAGGCUAAGGAGGGGAAGGGAAGGAAAGGAAAGGGAGGGAAGGGAGAAAGGAGGGAAAACCUUCCCCUUAUUUGGGAGUUAAAAAACCAAUAAGAAAAGGAGAUGGAGGGCUUAUGUUAUAAUUUUACUAUUUUAUCUUUUUUCCUAUUAAAAUCAAUACAUUGUUAUACUUUGUAAUUUAACUUCUAAUUUAUUCAAAACAACUUAUCUCAUGAAAAAUAAAUUAUUACGAUCUAUUUUUAAAAAACAACUUAUUUAUAAAAAAAAAAAAACUUAUUACAAUCACUUUUUAAAAACAACUUAUUACGAUCUCUUUUUAAAAAACAACUUAUCUUAUGAAAAACAAAUUAUUACGAUCUUCUUUUAAAAAACAACUUAUUCAAAACAGGUUAUUUAUACAAAACAGCUUAUUAUGACAUCUUUUAAAAAAACAGCUUAUUCAAAACAGCUUAAUACGAUCUCUUUUUCAAAAACAACUUAUCCAAAACAGCUUAUGUAUACAAAACAACUUAUUACGACCUCUUUUCAAAAAACAACUUGUUCAAAACAACUUAUUUAUACAAAAAAACUUUUUACAAUCUCUUUUUCAAAAACAACUUAUUCAAAACAGCUUAUUUAUGCAAAAAAACAGCUUAUUACGACCUCAUUUUCAAAAAUUGCUUAUUCAAAACAACUUAUUUAUGCAAAACAGAUUCAUAGGACCUCUAUUUCAAAAACAACUUAUUCAAAACAGCUUAUUUAUACAAAACAGCUUAUUACAACCUCAUUUUCAAAAACCGCUUAUUCAAAACAACUUAUUUAUACAAAACAGCUUAUUACGACCUCAUUUUCAAAAACCGCUUAUUCAAAACAACUUAUUUAUGCAAAACAACUUAUUACGACCUCUUUUUCAAAAACAACUUAUUUAUCCAAAACUGUUUUUUAUAAAUAAGUUGUUUUGAAUAAGCUGUUUUUUGAAAAGAUGUCGUAAUAAGUUGUUGGGUUAAUGGUGUUUUACCCCCUGUAAUAUAGGUCAUUUUUUGUUUUCCCCCUGUAAAAUAAUUUUUUUUUAUUUACCCCCUAUAAAAUAAUUUUUUUUUUUUUGGAAUACCCCCCUAAUAGGUUAUAAAAAAACGAAAAAAUUUUGCAAAAAAAUAAAAAUAAAGUCGUUUUUUUAUGACCUAUUAUGGGGGUAUUAAAAAAAAAAAUUACAGGGGGUAAAUCAAAAAAUAUAUUUUACUGGGGGGUAAAAUACCAUUAGCCCUAAGUUGUUUUGCAUAAAUAAGCUGUUUUGAAUAAGUUGUUUUUUGAAAAGAGGUGAUUAUAAGCUGUUUUGGAUAAAUAAGCUGUUUUGAAUAUGUUGUUUUUGAAAAAUAGACUAUAUUAAGCGAUUUUUGACUAAGCGGUUUUUGAAAAUGAGGUAGUAAUAAGUAGUUUUGUAUAAAUAAGUUGUUUUGAAUAAGCGAUUUUUUGAAAAGGAGGUCGUAAUAAGCUGUUUUGUAUAAAUAAGUUGUUUUGAAUAAGCGGUUUUUGAAAAUGAGGUUGUAAUAAGUUGUUUUGUAUAAAUAAGUUGUUUUUGAAAAAGAGAUAGUAUUAAGCUGUUUUGCAUAAAUAAGUUGUUUUGAAUAAGCGGUUUUUGAAAAUGAGGUCGUAAUAAGCAGUUUUGUAUAAAUAAGCUGUUUUGAAUAAGCUGUUUUUGAAAAAGAGAUCGUAUUAAGCUGUUUUGCAUAAAUAAGUUGUUUUGAAUAAGCGAUUUUUUGAAAAGGAGGUCGUAAUAAGCUGUUUUGUAUAAAUAAGUUGUUUUGAAUAAGCGGUUUUUGAAAAUGAGGUCGUAAUAAGUUGUUUUGUGUAAAUAAGCUGUUUUGACUAAGCGGUUUUUGAAAAUGAGGUAGUAUUAAGCAGUUUUGUAUAAAUAAGUUGUUUAGAAUAAGCGGUUUUUGAAAAUGAGGUCGUAAUAAGCUGUUUUGUAUAAAUAAGUUGUUUUGAAUAAGCAGUUUUUGAAAAUGAGAUCGUAAUAAGCUGUUUUGUAUAAAUAAGUUGUUUUGAAGAAGUUGUUUUUAAAAAAGAUUGUAAUAAUUUUUGUAAUGUCUAAAAUUGGAAUUUUGAAUUAUUAAGAGGACAAAAUUGUCAAUUUGUAUGUUUAACCCCCCAAAACCCUCCAAUUUGGGGAAACUUUAAAACUAGACAAAUGAAACCCUUCAAAACCCCCCAAAACCUUCCCCUUGUUUUUUUAAAACUCGCAAACAAGGAUUUACCACUCCAUAAACCUUUUCUUCCCUUCCCUUUCCCUUCCCUCCAAAACCCAACUCACAAACAAAGCCUAAGGAAUUGAUAUUAUUUGUUUGUACAUAGAUAAUGCAAAAAUUAAAAGAUGGAAAUUGAGAUCUAGAAUUUAAAAAGAAAAGGAAAAGGGAGGGUAUAACGAUAUGAGAAAGGAAAAUAUAUUUGUGUUUGGCUAAGUAGUCUAAAAGAAAAGAGCAAGGGUUAUCCCACUGUAUGGAACUCCAUUAAUAGCAAGAAGGAUGGAGGGAGAAAGUGGAGGAGGAGAAGGGGUUUCCAGCAAUAAAUUUCCUAAAGGAGAGAGAAAGGGAAAUAAAAAAUUAUUCUAACUAGUAGAACUAAUUAAAAUGUAGCGUGGUGAAUGCAUUAUAGGAUCUAUAAACUUGUAUAAUCUAAUGGUCAUAAAUCUUGGUCCAAUCUGGACCAAUACAUCCAUGGGUGCAUGCUAAACGGUACCGUACUUUAUAGUAAAUGCAAUCAAUGUAAUUUUAGAGUAGUUUUUCGUAGAUGCGUUAUUUAGUUUUUUGUCGACCUCUAACGCAAACAUCUCUUAUUUAUUAAAGUUAACCGAACGUUAACUGUUGUCCUAAUUUUAACCUAAAUUUUAUGCUUACUUUUACUGUACUACCCCUGUUUAAUUAAACCUAUUGAAUUUAGUUAAUUUAAUCAAAAUCUUAUUUUGUUAAGGAAAUCUCCUAUUGUCAUGCAAAGCAAAAUAAACGCAUCGCAUUAACCCUAGAUUUAACCUAAUUUUUUAAUAUGAUUUUACUAUAUUAACCCUAGAUUUAAUUUAUGCAAAAUAUAUAUUAACCCUAGAUUUAAUUUAUGCAAAAUGUCAUCUAUUAUUUCUAAAUGUUAACCCGUGAUGCAAUAUUAACCCUAAAUUUAACCUAAUCUUUUCGCGUAACGUUACUAUAUUAACCCUAGGUUCAAUUUAUGCAAAAAGUCAUCUAUAAUUUUAAUCUAAUUUUUUCCUCCACACUUUUGCAUUUAAUGUUUAUCUAAAGUAAAAUAAAAUUAUGUUCCUAAUUAUAAGCUGCUUUUUUGGAAAUGAAUAAUCGUUAACUCGUCUCGCUAUACUUAACCUAAUCUCUUACUUAUAAAUCUUAACAUGUCUCACUAUACUUAACCUAUUAUGUUACGUUACUUAUAAAUGUUAAUUCGUCUUGCUAUACUUAACCUAAUUUUUUUCCCACACUUUUGCAUUUAAUGUUUAUCUAAAGUAAAAUAAAAUUAUGUUCCUAAUUAUAUGCUUUUUUUUUGGAAAGGAAUAACCGUUAACCCAUCUCGCUAUACUUAACCUAAUCUCUUACUUAUAAAUGAUAACCCGCCUUGCUAUACUUAACCAGGGACGGAGCCAGAAAAAUUUAUCGAGGGCGGUUAAAAUAUAAGACAUGAUAAAUAAGAUAAACAAUAACAAAUAUCUACUACUAAAUCUUGAGGUGUGGCGGUACUUGAAAUUUUUAGAAAUUGAAACUUUAGAAUAUAAUUGUUCUUGAAUGUAUGAUUUAGGGUAUCUCUAUCACCCCUAAUUUCCCAAACGUUGUUGGCUUCUACUUGGAAAUGGGAAUAAAACUUAAUAGACUGAUCAAUUCAAUAUGCUAUAUUUAUUAUUAUAAAAAAUAUGAGUGGAUGAUAAGAAAAAAGAGAAUAUGAGUGGACCUUUAAUUAAAAAAAAAAAAAUUUAGUAUAAAUGAACCAAGUAGAUAUGAAAGCAUGGGUGGCGAACGGUUAAUCUGCACAUGAGUCAUAUAGAGGUCCUAUAUAUUUUAUGGGUGGCGGCUGCCCCUUUUCAUUAGUACCUAGCUCCGUCCCUGUACUUAACCUAUAAUGUUAUGUUACGAUAUCAAGGACGUUGUCAUGGAAAAUUAUGUUAUGGUACAGUACCAACGUCUAUGCUUCUUAAUGUUAUGAAAUACUAUAUGACAAUUAUGACAUUCAUUUAAACUAUUUUAUUACUUAUUACCGUCAAAUAUUACCUUCCAUAUGACCCAUGCGUUAACGGGUCGAUGGCAUAGUAAAUGGAAAAGUUGUUUGAAUGAGACUUGAUGAAUAUUAGACUUUUGUGUCAGAGUCGAUAUUAUCAAUUUACGAUAUUCAUGCGAAAAGGAGUACGAAAUUCAGAUGGAUAAAAUAUUAAAUCAUUUCGGGUAUAAUCUCACUGCAUUUCAUCAACAAUACAAGAGAAUGUAUCAACGCUAUCGAAAUUUAUAAACGUAUUAAAGUAAUUCACAAGCAAAGCAAGCAAAUAUUCAUAUUCUUUUGAUUUGUGUAUCUCCUUUUGAAUGAUAAAACUACACAGUAAAAAAAAAAAAAAAAAAACUAAUCUUACAAGAUCGAAUUCAGAGGCCCAUUAAAAUCUUAGCAGUUCUCAUUUAAAAAGUAUUGGAAACAAAAUCAAUCAUCAUCAAUACUGAUAGACAACUAAGUUAUCGUUAAAUACAUAAGCAAUAGUUUAAAUAGGACUUUUACCUAUAGACAAAUAAAUAAAUAUUUAUCUAUAGAUAACGCAUAAUUGACAAUAAAAUUAUUGUAUUUUAGAUUUUUAUCUACAAAAAAUUGAUAUUUGAUGACGGAUUUUAUCUAUAGAUUUAAGUUUUUUUUUUUCAAAUUUUUAGAUCAGGCCCUGUGCAAAUGGUCAUGUUGCACCUGCUUAGGGUCGGCCCUCCUAAUGUAUAUGUUAGAGCAACAAUAUUUAGUUUAAAAGAUUAAAAAAACAUAUGCACAAACAAAGAACACAUGCUAUUUGUUGACGAAGUAUGACUAAUUUUUUGAAAGAAAAAAAAAGUACGACUAAUUUUGUCUUCGACUCCAAAGCAACUACAAUUUCAUUAUCUUAUCAAUGAAAGAUUAAGAUUUUAUAUUAUACAAUGAACUUUUGACAUUAAACAAUCUGUAACAUUGAAAUAAGGAACCUUUGACAUAUACUAAACUUUUGUAUCUAUGUUUAAACACUGCCUCAAUAAGAGCUUAAUAAGUGAUUCACCAAUGGAGUACUCACGACUUUAACAUUAUUCUUGUCAAUAUGUUGUCACAUUUUCAAAAUAGAUUUUCUGAGAGAGCCAUAAUUUUCUAACACUCGUAUCCUUAUCAAUAACCAUCUCGAAAAUCUUCUUAACAACACCUAAGUCCUUCAUGUCAAAUUCAUUUCCCAAUAUGAUUUUUAUUCAUUUCCAAAUAUGAUUUUUAUUUUAGUUAUGUCAUUUAAAUUAUUAGCAACAAUCAAUAUGUAUUUGACACAAUAGUAGAAAUAUAAAAUAACCAUCACCAAGUCACCUAAAAUAAAUACAAUAGUAAUACUCAAAUAUGUUCUAGCCAAUCUGAAGCAUGCAGGAAUCAAAGUGUGUGUACGACUUCCUUGGGGACUGUUUUAGACCAUAAAAAGAUUCCUUCAAUUUACAAAUCAAUCUGCCUUGCCCAAUUGAUCAGUCAUUUUGGCACAUCCUUUAUAGUCUUGCAUUUUGAGAGCUUUUCGUGCCUAUCAUAUAUUGAUUAAUUUUCAUAUUUAAUGUAUAAUGAUCCCUGUUCACAACACCGAUCAUAACUUUAGUUGCAAUUAUGCAAUUGAGGAGUGCAAAUUUGAGUUUAAAAUCUAAGGAACAUAGCUACAACUUUCAUGUUGAACCUAAAGCCCAGUUCGAACGUCCUUAUGGUCAAAAUUACAUAUCUCUAGAGGCAGUGGCGGAGCUAGACCAAAAAGUUUGGAAUGGCCGCUAAAAUGAUGAAUGAGACUCUUCAAUAACAUGUAACAACGAGAAGUAAUUGAGAAAAUAAUCUUAAAUAGAGAUGAUAAUGAAUUUUUAUUAGAAAAAUCAAUUUCAGCAACAGUGAUGAGUAAUUAAGACACUUCUUAUUAUGUUUGAUGUACUAAAGCCUCUUCAUAGUGCUGAACAAUAAAAUCAAUGCUCUGAUGAACAAACUAUGGGAAAAGAAAAUAUAUAAAUCCUAAAAAAUUUACAAAAUGUUAUUCUCUUUGAUUUUUAUCGAGAAGCCUUCUCUUUAACUGAAUCAAUAAUAUUAUUUUUUUUUAUCAAUUAUCACAUAAUCAAACAACCAUAGUUUCUCCCUCUUGUAUGUAUAGACCUGCAUUUUUGUCAUAUUCCUUCAAUCAAUAUAGUUUCAACCUCAAAUAAUAAUUCAAUCAGAGGAAAACAGGUUUGGUUAUUUCAAAAGGGUUUGAUUAGGUUAUGGAGAAAUUGAAGGUGAAACCAAAUCAAAAACUCACUCAAGUUCAUCACCAAACAAUGAUAACAGCUAAGAACCUUAAGGCUUUGUUUGCGAGUUUCGAGGGGAAGGAAAGGAAAGGUUAAGGAGGUGAAGGGAAGGAAAGGGAGGGAAGGGAGAAAGGAGGGAAAACCUUCCCCUUGUUUGGGAGUUAAAAAGCCAAUAAGGAAAGGAGAUUGAGGACUUAUGUUAUAAUUUUACUAUUUUACCCUUUUUCCUCUUAAAAUCAAUACAUUGUUAUACUUCGUAAUUUAACUUCUAAUUUAUUCAAAACAACUUAUCACAUGAAAAACAAAUUAUUAAGAUCUAUUUUUAAAAAACAACUUAUUUAUAAAAAAAAAAAACUUAUUACAAUCACUUUUUAAAAACAACUUACUUAUACAAAACAACUUAUUACAGCCUCUUUUUAAAAAAUAGCUUAUCUUAUGAAAAACAAAUUAUUACGAUCUUUUUUUAAAAAACAACUUAUCCAAAACAAUUUAUCUAUACAAAACAGCUUAUUACGACCUCUUUUCAAAAAACAACUUGUUCAAAAUAGCUUAUUUACACAAAACAACUUAUUACAAUCUCUUUUUCAAAAACAACUUAUUCAAAACAGCUUAUUUAUGCAAAACAGCUUAUUACGACCUCAUUUUCAAAAACCGCUUAUUCAAAACAACUUAUUAUACAAAACAGCUUAUUACGACAGAAUUUUCAAAAACAGCUUAUUCAAAACAACUUAUUUAUACAAAACAGCUUAUUACAACCUCAUUUUCAAAAACCGCUUAUUCAAAACAACUUAUUUAUACAAAACAGCUUAUUAUGAACUCAUUUUCAAAAAUCGCUUAUUCAAAACAACUUAUUUAUACAAAACAGCUUAAUAUGACCUCAUUUUCAAAAUACAGCUUAUUCAAAACAACUUAUUAUGCAAAACAGCUUAAUACAAUCUCUUUUACAAAAACAACUUAUUCAAAACAGCUUAUUUAUAUAAAACAGCUUAUUAUGAUCUCAUUUUCAAAAACCGCUUAUUCAAAACAACUUAUUUAUACAAAACAGCUUAUUACGACCUCUUUUUCAAAAACAACUUAUUUAUGCAAAAUAGCUUAAUACGAUCUCUUUUUCAAAAACAGCUUAUUCAAAACAGCUUAUUUAUACAAAAUAGCUUAAUACGAUCUCUUUUUCAAAAACAGCUUAUUCAAAACAACUUAUUUAUACAAAAAAGCUUAAUACGACAUCAUUUUCAAAAACCGCUUAUUCAAAACAACUUAUUUAUAGAAAACAGCUUAUUACGACCUCAUUUUCAAAAAUCGCUUAUUCAAAACAACUUAUUUAUACAAAACUGUUUACUACGACCUUAUUUUCAAAAACCUCUUAUUCAAAACAAUUUAUUUAUGCAAAACAACUUAUUAUGUCCUCUUUUCAAAAAAAUAACUUAUUCAAAACAGCUUAUUUAUGCAAAACCGCUUAUUACGAUCUCUUUUUUUAAAAAAAAACUUAUUUAUGCAAAACAACUUAUUACGAUCUCUUUUUCAAAAACAACUUAUUUAUCCAAAACUUUUUUGUAAAAAUAAGUUGUUUUGAAUAAGCUGUUUUUUGAAAAGAGGUCGUAAUAAGUUGUUUUGCAUAAAUAAGCUGUUUUUUGAAAAGAGGGGAUAAUAAGCUGAUUUGGAUAAAUAAGCUGUUUAGAAUAAGUUGUUUUUGAAAAAUAGAUUGUAUUAAGCGAUUUUUGACUAAGCGGUUUUUGAAAAUGAGGUCAUAAUAAGCUGUUUUGUAUAAAUAAGUUGUUUUGAAUAAGCGGUUUUUGAAAAUGAGCUCAUAAUAAGCUGUUUUGAAUAAGCUGUUUUUGAAAAAGAGAUCGUAUUAAGCUGUUUUGCAUAAAUAAGUUGUUUUGAAUAAGCAGUUUUUUAAAAUGAAGUCAUAUUAAGCUGUUUUGUAUAAAUAAGUUGUUUUGAAUAAGCGAUUUUCGAAAAUGAGGUCGUAAUAAGCUGUUUGGUAUAAAUAAGCUGUCUUGAAUAAGCUGUUUUUGAAAAAGAGAUCGUAUUAAGUUGUUUUGCAUAAAUAAGCUGUUUUGAAUAAGUUGUAUUUUGCAUAAAUAAGUUGUUUUGAAUAAGCUGUUUUUGAAAAUGUGGUCGUAAUAAGCUGUUUUGUAUAAAUAAGUUGUUUUGAAUAAGCGAUUUUUGAAAAUGAGGUCGUAAUAAGCUGUUUUGGAUUAAUAAGCUGUUUUGAAUAAGCUGUUUUUGAAAAAGAUAUCGUAUUAAGUUGUUUUGCAUAAAUAAGGUGUUUUGAAUAAGCUGUUUUUGGAAAAGAGAUCGUAUUAAGCUGUUUUGCAUAAAUAAGCUGUUUUUGAAAAUGAGGUCGUAAUAAAUUGUUUUGCAUAAAUAAGCUGUUUUGAAUAAGCCGUUUUUGAAAAUGAGGUCGUAAUAAGCUGUUUUGUAUAAAUAAGUUGUUUUGAAUAAGCGGUUUUUGUAAAUGAGGUCGUAAUAAGCUGUUUUGUAUAAAUAAGUUGUUUUGAAAAAAGAUUGUAAUAAUUUUAGUAAUGUCUAAAAUUGGAAUUUAGAUUUAUUAAGAGGGCAAAAUUGUCAAUUUGUAUGUUUAACCCCCCAAAACCCCCCAAUUUGGGGGAACUUUAAAAUUGGACAAAUGAAGCCCUUCAAAACCCCCCAAAACCUUUCCCUUGUUUUUUUAAAACUCGCAAACAAGGGUUACCACUCCAUAAGUCUUUCCUUCCCUUCCCCUCCCCUCCAAAAUCCAACUCUCAAACAAAGCCUAAGGGAAAAAGGAAAAUCUAACGAGGAGAUUGAAAAUAUAACUUACAGUUAGGGUUUAUGGCUAUGUAGUAAUGAACAUAGAGAGAGAUAGACACGUAGAGAAGAUGAGUGAAGUGCGCGAGAGUUGCAAAUGAGAGGGUCGACAAAGAGAUUGAAGAUGGAGGGAGUUGCGAGCAGUGAUGGGGGCGGAGAGAAGAUGUACGCGUUUCAGAAAGAAAAACAAAAUGGGAGUGGGAUAGUUGGUAAAUGGCAUGACAGUAAUAUUAAAAUUAACUCAUGGGUAUUAUAGUCUUUUCACAAAAUAAAUGGGUAGGUUAUGGCCAAUCCCAGUCCACAUGUGGCUCCGCCACUGUCUAGAGGAUUGAAGUUAAAUAUGAGUUUAGGCCACUUGAUCUUUUAUUGCAAUGGGCCGAUUAACGCCUAUUGGGCCAACUCUUGUUCAUACAAAUUCGAAAUUAGGUUUUCAUAUUUGAGCAGUAUAAAUAAGGUUGUUUGUUUGAGCCGGAAGGAUCUUGGAGCCGCCAUUUUACCGAAUUCAAAUAUGACAAUCCUUUGUAAUGGAAGGGUAAACACCUAUGAUCAAACUAUGUUGAGAGGGUACUUUGUAACGGAUUUUUGAGGUUUAACUCUAAAUGCCAAUUUUGUUUUAUGUUUUAUUUCUUUCUUUGAUAUUGCUAGAUCAUACAUAAUUUUGUUUAGUGUAAUUGUAACUGAUAUUGCUCAACUGAUUUAUCGUUUGUUUAGGUUAGUUGAAUAGAAAUUGAUGAAGUCUAUAAUGCAUAAUUAUAUGUUUGAUAAAAUUCGGAUUUAGGUUAAUUGUGUUAUGGACGCUUGUUUUGUCAUGGUUAAUCAAACUUUUUUAUCCUUAAUUAAUAGGAAUCCAAAUAGAAAUUACUUGACACUUGUUUGGUUAGUUUCUAUCAAACAGGAAUAAUAUUAUUAAACUUUAGAAAUUAGCUUGGACUAAAGUCUUUUUUGAGUUGAUCAUUAUUAGACUUUUAGGGAUUCUUUGGUAGUAAAAGUGUUUAAUUAAGUGUUUUUGGAAGUGAUUUGAUGGUUUAUGUUAGAGAUGUGUCAGUUUGAAACCGUAAAUUCAUAACUAGGAGGAAUUCAUAACUAUAAAGUACACUCUUACUUAUCCAUUAAGUUCCAUAUUUUACCCUAGUUUUGAGAACCCUAUAUGCCAUCUCACAAAACCAUUUCAUUCUACACUGAAAAGCUUUAUCAUCCAAACCUAAAAAUCAAAAUGGAAAAGAUGUAAUGUAAUCAUUCUUAUCUAUAAAAUUUAAAUACGUAAUAUAUACAAUAACUUUGGGAGAUUCAUAUAUUUUUUAACAAUACAAGUUAAUAAGGGACCUAAAAGUAUAUUAGAAAUUAAAUAAAUUUGUCACUUAUCAAGCACCACAAAAUCAAUGAGGAAGAUCAAUUUACCCACUUUCACUAAAACAUCCUCAACAAUGCCAUACUGAAUUUUCAUGUAUCGAUCAGCUAGUUUAAGACAUAUUCCAAUAGGUUUCAAACAUUAAACCCCUAAAUUAUUCUUCAUGGACAAGGGCAUGAAGAAUAAUUUAGGUGAGAGCUUUAUUUGUCAAAGAAACAAUUUCUUCCUUCAAUUUCAAUUUCUUUUUUCAUACACUUCUUCAAAGACUUUACGUAAGCUGAAACUUACUCAAGAGCUUAUGCAAAAGAAAAAUUAAAUGGAAGUUUUUUUAAGAUAUCCGGAAGAAGAAAAAAAUUGGGUUUCAUCUUUCUUGUUAUGAUAUGAUGAGGUGUUGUAAUUUUUGAGAUAAUUUAUAUUUCAAAAGUAUUUUUGUGACCAUAUGAAACUAUUAAACUCAAGGAUUAACUUGCUUACUUGAUCAAAGAAUUGCGUGGCAUUUAUUAACGUCUAUAAUAUAUUAUACACAUGCCUUUCAUGUUUAAAAGCAGAAACUGCCACUAACUCAUCAAGUAACUUGUCAUCCUUAAUUUUCUCUUCAGAUAAAAUGGUCAUGACUAUAUAUUCUUGCAGUCAAUAAUACAAGAUACAUGAAAAGAAAAUACACAUACCUCACAAAGAAAAAAGAAAAUUUGUUUUCUUCUCCUCCAUUUAUUUUUCUUCCUGAGAUAAACAUCUGCUUGAUAAAUUUAUAAUUCUUGAUGUUUUGUUACCUCCAUAAUUAGGAGAAGGACCUGUUGAAUCCUGGGGAGUUUCCGCACACUGAGGCGGAUAAAUUCCAAAGACAGUCCUCGUGACGCCUCAUGUUAAUACUAACGUAUUCAAUUUUACAAGUUUACUUUCUGGUUCGUCUUGUAGAAUCUGGUUCAUUGUUAUUUGAAGUUGCGAUCGUUGUUUGCAUUCAAAUCAAUAUUACCAACGCAUAGGUACAACAUGAGGUACUUUGAUAAAAGAUAGAGUGGCUUGAUUUGGCUUCAUCAUUUGCUCCUUUUUUCUAGUGAACCAUGGCAUGUCACCCACCAAUUUUUCUUUAUCUAGCUUCUUUUCUUCAGUCUUUUUCUUCAUUAGCCUUCUGUCGUUUAGGUUUUGGUUUCAUUAGCUUUCUUGAGUCUUAGUCAAACGGCAGAGUUUGAGCAGAAAAAGCUCCCUGUGCUGGUAUACUCACUCUAUGUGUAAUGUGCUGGUAAAUGGUAAUAGUAAUUGAGUAUAGAAAAGAGCGGUGAAAUUCAAUUUGAUAUCUCACAAUUUUUGAAUGUCCAAUUUAUUCAUCAAUAAAAAUAAUAAUUAAAUCUGUCUUUAUACUUGUAUACAGGAGACAAAUCAAUAUCUGACUUAUUAUAACAGUUGGUUUCAUUUGUCCUCAACAUAAAAUAAAAUUAAUUUCCUCUAAAAGAAAAUAAAAAAAAAAAAAGGUUAAUUUGCUUAUAGUCUGUAUUUUAGACUAUACGAAAAACAAAAACAAAUAUAACUAUUGAAAUAUAAGGAUAUAGCAUGCAAACAAAAACUUGGUGGGAAAAAUGAAAGAUUAGUGUGUUUGUAUGCAGAAGACAUCAAAAGAAUCAAGAAUGAACAACGACAAUUUAAUGUGAAGAAAUUCAUGAUAUUUUUUGUUUUUGCAAAACCAUUGUCAUUUCAAAUUAAUAGAAUUACAAUUGGCAUAUUAUGAUUUGAAUUCCCCUCUAUGCUUUCAAAAUAGUGUGGUUGAAGGAUGAAUAUAUGAAACUGUUUAAAACAUAAACAUGGUAUUUAAGUCAUCAUCCAUUCAAAGGAAUAUAAGAAUCAUAGCUCAAUUGGCAUCAAUAAAGUUACUUUAGGGACUAUUUGACAAUGUUGUAAAAUGUAAACUCAGUUGCUUUGCCUAUACUGAAGUUUUCAGCUUGAAAUAUAGCAACAAUGAAGGCCUAAUAGCAAAUGCAUAUCUAUUACACAUUCACUGGUGUCUUAAACAAAGUUUGCUAAUUAACGAUAAAUAAAAUUAAGACUCAUCUUAAACAAAUAGAAGGUUUCUAACUUCUAAGUUACUGUUGAUAAUCAAAGCAAAUUUUACUCAUUAAAGGAUCAGUUGUCUGGAUGCUAAAAUAUUCAUUCAAUACAAAAAAUAUUGCUGGAUGAAAUGAAUCAAAUAAAAUGGAAUAUUGUAGCUAAAAGAAAGCACCGUUGCAGUUCACGUUUUAACGAUGACAAUGAGAAACCUCAGAUUUCAGCUAAGUCUAGUCACUGGAAAACUGUUCGAUCAAGUCCAGAAGGUACUGUCACCGCCUCUCUCUGGUUUUGUUUUGUUGCCUUACAGGAGGAAAAGUGAAUGCUUUGAGAGCAGCGAAGACGAAGAAGAAGAAGAAGAAGAAGAAGAAGAAGCAAGAAUAGGUAUAGGUAUGGUGGGUUGAUUGUACCGAGGAGAAAAAUAGGAAUAGGUGGAAUGGGGAACUUGCGAUUUCGCAUGAAGGAAUACAUGUGACUUGGAUAGUCACCCAUGUCCGGAGCUACCAUGUGAUCCUCGUUUACCUGUACUAAUCACCUAAAUGGACUUUAGAUUGAGUUGAACGAGACUACGAGUAUGUAGCCAACAUAUGUGUUGUCCGAUCACCUAGCAGUGGUGCAUAGUAUUACGUCUCAUCACCAAGUGUUUCGGAGUUAGAUGGUACCAAAUAUAUUGUGAAGUGCCCCAUGGAAGUGUACAUGACUUGUGUUGCACUUUCAUUUUGCCUCUUAGACUACAUAAUUGUUAAGCUUAAAUAGAGUAAUAACAAAACUCUAAUUGUAGAACAUGUCAUUUUAAAUGGGAGAUUCAAGUAGUAUAAUUAUUCUCUUUUAUCACCAAAACCAGUCAUCUUAAUAGUUUUCAUGUCCUGAAUUAAACAUUUUAUUGUGCAAUUCAAAGAAUAAUUGAAAAAGAAGUCAAAUUAAAACUAAAGUCUAGCACAUAAAGCACAUUGUGAAUAAUAAAAUCAGAAGAAAAUUUAAUGGUUCUUGAAUGUUUAGCUAUUGCAUAAUGACCUGUAGGUAAUUUUAUGUACAUGGGAACAAUUUUAUUGUAAGAACUAAACCACUUUAGAUUUCCACAUAUAUGAUCACUAGCACAUGAAUCUACGAUCCAAGAACUGAGAGUAAAAUUGUGACAAGUUAAGGAAGAGAUGAAACUAGUACCUUGCCUCUCAGAUGGUGAAAGACCAACAUACAUGAAAGUAGAUACAUGAUUAGAAGCAUGCAAUGGUUGAAUUUUGGUUAAUAGAUGAACCUUGAAUCAAAGACAUUAACAUCUCAUAUUGCUCAUGUGUGAUAGCUGAUACACUAGCUUUAGAAUCAAUACGUGUUGGAGAAUUUUCUACAUGAUUAUCAUCCUUCUUUGCAGAUGUAAAAUGAUUAACAUAUGCUUAAUUAUAGUUUACCUGAAGAUGAGGUGGAACUCCAAGCUUCUCAUAGCAUGUUUCAACAAUAUGAUUAUUCCUCCCACAAAAGGUGCAUACACGAAUGACAUUCUUGGAAUUAGAACCUUGAGGAUAAAACUUUCCAGAAUUGUCUCCCUUAAACUUUCUAGAAUCAGUAACAUUAAUAAAAACUGAAUCAUCCUUGACAAGAGCAAAAUGUCCUUGUCUUUCAUGUUGUAAAGCCAUAGAAAAGAUUUUAUUCAUAGGUGGAAUAGGAUCCAUGAGCAAGAUUUGAGACUUUACCAUGGAGAAAUACUCAUUUAAACCAAUAAGAAACCUAAUUGCAUAUGGCAAAAUAUGAUUUUGUCUAGCAUUUCUCAUGAAUUCACAAGAACAAUGUACUAUACAAGUGCAAUUACGAACAUACAUGUAAAUUUCAAAUUCCUCCCACAGAAUCUUCAACCCAGAGUAGAAAGAUGUAACAUAUUUAGAAUCUUGUUGCAAAGAAUAAAUUUUUUGCAUCAGUUCAAAGAUUCCCAAAUCACUUUGUGCGAAAUGCUCAUUUAAAUCACUUCAUACAUCACAUGCAUUCUCCAUGAAAUAUAAUAGAUUGUGCAAUUGAAGGAGAAACUGAAUUAACGAUCCAAGAGUGAACCAACAUAUUACAGCGAUUCCAAGCACGAAAGAUGGGAUCGAAUGAAUCUUUCACUGGAGGAAUCGUUCCAUCAACAAAUUCAAACUUGUUCACGUAUGUAAACAUGAAUUACAAUAAAUGAGAUAUUUAGCGGAGCUGCCUACGAAGAGCUCCAAGAAUACUCUAAAAUGAAUAAGGUGAAAAUACAAUGUGUAGGCUAAAAUGAAUGAAUCCCUCUUGCUUUCUAAGUGUCAUCUUUUAUAGUCAUCACUUUCUUGACCUAUUGGGUCUCUCUUUGGAUGUCCAGGCCCAUUAGCAUAAUUGGCUACUCCUUCUCUAUGCAUCUCGUCUGUACAUGACACGUGGAGCUGGAGCACGUGCAGCUUACGUCACUUGUCCGUGCAGGGCGCGUGGCACACCAUGAAACACUUCUUAUGAAGACCACAACUUUCACUUGGACAAUAACGUGAGGAAGAAGUGGAGCUUUAGUUGACCUGAAGAGUAGAGCUGAACUAGACAUACUGAAGGGUCGAGCUGAGCUGGGUAUGCUGAAGGGUCCAGCUGAGCUGGCCAUGCUGAAGGGUCGAGCUGUGCUGAGCAUGCUGAAGGGACGAGUUGAGUUGAGCAUGUUGAAGGGUCGAGCUGAGCUGAGCAUGUUGAAGGAUAAAGUUAGGUAUGCUGGUGGGUCGAGAUGAGUUGGGCAUGUUGAAGGGUAUAUUUGAGUUGGACAUGUUGAAGGGUGGAUCUCCUGUGACCUGAACAAUCAAGUUGAGUUGGAUAUGUUGAAUAGUCAAUGUAUAGUAAAGUCCAUGUGGUAUGGUCCUCUAUACUAGUCAACAUUCCACCAAGUGUCGAGCCUGUCAAGGCAUAGACGUUUGUUCUUCACAGGGUCGACCUAUACCAGUCCAUAAUCCACCAAGCGCCAAGCAUGUCAAGGUAUGGACGUUUGUUCUUCAUAGGUCGACCUAUAUCAGUCAAAAACUUCAUUUUGCCUCCUAAAGCUCUACGCAUGGAUCGAGCCGGAGAAUGAUAAUUUGAUCCAUCAAGAAUCGGUGAAACUGUAAUAGAGGAAAGACCAUCACUGGGAUGAACGAAAAAAGGACUAGAUUGACCAAGAAGAACCUGUGCUCCAGAGUUUGUUGCACUAUUGUUGUUGCGAGGUGCCAUGGAAGAAAAGCUUGCGAAAGAAGUACUUUCAUAUUGAAAGGCUCAUGAUACCAUAUUGAGUUAACAAGAAAUUGAUAGAAAAUGGGCGAAAAUCAAAGAAAACAAGAGAAAGAAUUAGGAACUGGGAGAAAAUCAAAGAAAAUAAGAGAAAGAAUGAGAGAAUUAGUUCAAUGAACCAUUAUUUCAUUUUAACUUGCAAUAAAAGCAAUUACAUGUAUUUAUAGCAAUUCAGUGAAGGAUGAUUAUAAACUAUUGUGAUCCUUACAUCAUUCAAUCAUAACUAACUCACUUAAACUUAAGCAAAAUAGUUACAACUAAAUUCUAAUUCUAACACUUUCUUCAACUUCAAUUGCUUGUGGCGCAAGGAACAAAAGACUAUGGUGAUGAACUUCUUCAUUGCAUAGUAAACUAACUUCUAGUUCUUUUGUAUUAUGUUUCAACAAGUAGCCACAAUAGUCCUCAAAUGUAUUGAAAUUUGAAAAUAGUCUUUAAUUGUGCACUUCGUUAAAAAAAAGUCUCAACACGGAAGACUUAUUUUAAUAGUGUUAUAUCAAUCCUUGAUAUAUUUAUUUACCGUCAUAUCAAUCAUUAUAAGUAUUUGUUUAUUGUCAAUAUUGAAGGAGUAUUUUAAUGUCAUGAACAAUUUUGACUAAAAAAGGGCAAAAUAAAAAAUUAUUAUAAAAUUUUGAUACAUUGAAACACUGUUGUAACUACUCGUUACAUGUACCAAGAUCAAAAUAACUCAAUAAUUAUUACCCCGAUGAAAAAAAGUUACCGUAGUACUCAUCAUGAUGUAGGGCAAAGAGAGUACAUACGAUAUGUCAAAUACAGUUGUAUGCUACGCGCGCGGACGCAAAGCUCAAGUUAAAACCAAUUUAAUCAGUUUUUUUUCCAUCAAACGACAAAAUCGUACUCUUUUCUUACCCUCCCCUUUUCUCUUUGUUUCACUUAACUUACCACCACGUUCACUUCCCAGCCCCCAACAACACAAAAUUGCAACCUCGUUUCAACAAAACGGUAACUUGUUCAUUUCAUGAAAACACACAAGAGUAGAGUGAGUUAGUUUCAUCUUCUGGAGUUCUCUCUUACAACUCAACCUUAAACAGUAGCAGUAAGUCCAUUACCACUUUCUUAAUUACUUUGCUUUGCAUUCAUAUGUUAUACUAUUUUCUACCUUCAUCCAAAAUGCAGCAUAUAACUAUCUGUUUCAUCUUUUCCUUCUUACUAAUUUUCUGUAUGCAUGAAUUUAAUUAGGCUCUUCAUUUUAAAAUAAAUUAUUAUUUUGUUGAACCUAAAUUAUGCUUUUUUAAAAGCUUUUUCUGCUUAUCUUUUUACAAAAGCACUUUUGCCUGAAAUCGAAAUUAAUUUAUUUGCCAAAAAAGUAACUGACAUUAAUGCCGUUCUUUCUCUGUAAUAUUGAAGCUCAGGGUCUGUACUCUCUGCAAGCAAACCAAUGUUUAGUUUAGAAAAAAUAUUUCUUCCUAAAUAUAUUUUCUUCUUAAGUUUUUUGAUAUAUUUAUAAACCUCCCACUCAAAUACAAUUGUUAUUUGUUUUCCUUUUUAUUUAUUUAUAAAUUUCAUGCUUAUUUUUUAAAAUAAAAAAUACUUUAUAUUUUUUGUUUUAUAAAAAAAGGUUGAUUCCAUAACGUACCAAUUCUUUUGUCUGUUCCUUCUUGUACUUGUUCCUUUUUUUCUUCUUUUUUACUUUAAUAAAUCAGUGUAAUUUUCACAUUUGUUAAUCUCGAAAGUUGCGUCUAUGAUAUUCCAUUAUCUUCUUUUGUUGUGGAGUUCAAUGGCUUGGCUUUGCAUGCUUUAUCUUGUUUUGUUGUACUUGUAGAUCUGAUUCCACUUGUUCCCAUUCAAAAAUUGGUUUCUCAAAAAAAAAAAAAAAUUAUAGCUAGUUUAUUUGUUUGUUCCUUAAGGUAAAAAUUACAAUUAGUUAUAGACAGAACAGAGCCCUUUGGUUUAAUCCGGUUCAAUCAAUAAAUAAGUGGUUGGAUCAUGGAAAAAUGGUGGGUAAUUUACCUCAACCAAUACACAUUAGCCACAUAAACAUAUUUUUAAGUGGUAUCUAUGAACUAUCUUGAUCCCACCAACAAAUUGCUCAUUUUCAUUGGUUGGUGGAUAAAUUACCCACCAUUCUUCAAAGGUAAUCUAGAAAAAAACCAUUAAUAAUUUAUAUGCGUAACUUUAUCUGGUUAAUGAUUGGUCUGAUUUUUAAAACACUUGCUCGUAACCAAUUUAUAUCAUAUGGUAUGGUAUGAAAGACAUGAUUAGAAGGUAAAAACCCAUUUGUCGUACCAUACCUACUUCUUUCAUAUCAAAGCUCUGUCAUGCCAUGUUUUGCGGCUAAAUUAGAGGGCUAAUAAGAAAAAAAAAUUCGCUGUGCCCAUUGAAACAUCUAUGAUGAAUUGAAAUGGGUGUUUUUUUUUAUCUUUAAAGAUGGGGACAUAUUGGUCCCUCACGAUUAUACUCGUAUCAUCCGUUGGUAAAACGAUGACAUUUUUAUCUCAUGUGCUUGACAUAUUUUUAUGUAUAUUGUUAGAAAAUACAAACAUGCUUGACUUUUUGCAUCAUUCCUUUAGUCUAAACUCUAAAGCUUAAAUAUAUUUUUUAUUUCUCUAAGUUCCCCUAUUUUCAAAUUAUUUUCCCCUACUUUUUUAAAUUUUAGCGGACGAUUGUUUUUUGAAAACUCAGUAUUCGGUCGACUGACUACUUCAAGAGAUUCAAUCUCACCGGUUACGUUAAACAUCUUCACCCGAGUUCAACUUUGAGACCUAACAAUUAUGUGCGUGAACCAUAAGAAAUAGGGGAUCUUAAGGGAAUUUUUAAUCUUUUAGUUUACAAUGGUGUCCUUCUCUAGUAUCUAUAUAUACUAUAUUUCUAGUGAUAUUUGUAGGAGAAUGUGAACUCUAGUAUAAUCCUAUGAAAAUCUAAAAGGUUUUCUGUAUAAAGUAUUUUUUUUAUAUGACUAAUUGUGAAGUCAUUAACCAUUGAUAAAAUAGUUAUAUUUUUAGGUUAAAUUAUAGUAGUAAUAAUGAGGUAGGGUCUCUACCUUAGGGAAGAGUAAGUAAUUUCUGUGGAACAUUGUGGCACAUUUUUAGCAUUAAAUUGAAAAUCAUACCACUGAGCAAAGAUUCAGCAUUUAUAGUAGCUAAGGAAAUGAAGAUGAGAAAGAUCACCCCAUCCUGCGUGAACACAUUAACUAUAUCAAUAAAUUCGUAUGCUUCUCAUUGGAUUCGUUUGUCUCUACAACUUGUGUUUCUGUGCUAUGUUUUCUGAAUUGUUACUGUACUUGUGGGUCAGGGUGCAUUUAUAUUUCAAGCUCUGUGAGGCCCAAAUCAUUAACCUGUUUUCUCUUUUACUGGAUAUUCAAGGCAUUUAAGCUAUGCAUACCCCAAAAACAAGGUAAUCUUCAAAUACUACUUUGACUAUUACUCUUUUUAUCAUAUAUAAAUGUUGUUUUCGUACUUUACUAUUGCUAUAUAUUUUUUUGGUACAAUUGGUAUUGCUAAUUUAAAUGUUUUUUUUUGCUAUAUAGUUAGUUGUUAUUUUUGAAUCCCGACUAAGAGAGAUAUCUACAUUUAGUUGAGAGGUGCCUGAUACGAUGACCUCUUGUUGAAGGAACCUAUGGAAAAAAAUAAAAACAAAUAAAAAUCCAAAAUUCAUUUUAUCUCAAUGCAUCAAGGAGAAGAAAAUGUUGAUCAAUGACAUUAAUAGCAAUUUGCUUGAUAAAAAAAAAUAGCAAUUUGCAAUUAGUGAAUAGAAUAGAGUAAGUGUCAAGUUUUUACCCUUUUAUGACCUUGCCUAAAUGCAUGCAUAAUCAUGUCUCAUUAGUCAUUAUUGUGUUUCCUUUUUGGUUGAAGUAGGUUCCUCCCUUUAACUGAGGAAUGGGAGAUUGGGACCCAAGGGAGUUGUUACCUCUUUUUUAAGGCACCUUUUGUUUUAUUCAGUCAACAAAAACAUACUAGUAGUUGUUUUAUUGGAUUGUCACAUUAUAACUUUUGUGUAUUUAGAAUAUCAUCUAACAUUUACAACAGAAUGGUUACACUAUCAUCUAACAUAAGAAUUUGAGUUGCCAUUUAUGUGUGAAAGGAACUGAGGAUUUAUUGUUUAAUAAUGACAACAAGGUAUAAAUUGGUUGAAAUGAUAGAUAUGAGUUUUCAUUUACAACAUAGGAUUUUGUAAUUGUUAACAUUUGUUUUUAUUGAAAUUUCAGAAGUGGUUCUUCUGAAGUGGUGCCUAAGAAAGUUUCUCCACGUGCUGUACGCCAACUGAGAACUACGACUACUCUAGAUACCGACUCUGUAUCUUCUUCUUCGACUCAAACUAGUAAAAUAUCAAAGGAAAGAAGCUCCAAACUCGCUGAUCGCAAGUCACCCAGAAGCCCAGUUCCUGAGGUAACAAGUUUUUACCAGUAAUAAAAUACUACCUCUGUCCUUAAAUAUAGACUUUGUUUGGAUAAAUAGCUUACUUAAACACUUAUGUAUAAGCCAUUUCUUUAAUUAAAGAUAAAUUAAAGGCAAACUGUUUUCAUAUAAGUUAUAAGUUGUUUUCAUAACUGUUUUCAUAAGUUCUCCCAAACAGUCUCACAAGUGCUUAUGUCAGUAGAUAGCUUGUAUAGCAACUUAUAUACAAACGUCUUGACUUUAUUUUAUCAGCUAUUAUAGAAAUAACUUGAUAAGCACUAAAUUAAGUUGAUUAUCCAAACUGGGCACUGUGUAACUUUUAUUCAAUAAUAAGCGUAUAGCACAUUGCAAGCAUUGAUUUCAGUACAUUUUUCCUUUUUUUGUUGAGAAGAUUUUAACUAUUAUAAUUGAUGUUUGCAUUAGAGGAAACGCCCCAGCAAAAUAUCUGAAUUGGAAUCACAAAUUUCUCAACUUCAAGAUGAUUUGAAGAAGGUGAAGGACCAGCUUAUUUUGUCUGAAUCAUGCAAGAAGCAAGCUCAGCAAGACUUCGAGGAAUCCAAGGAGCAACUCUUAGCCCUAUCUGCAAAACUCGAAGAGUCUCAAAAGCAAUAUCUAGAGCUCUGUGCUACUGGAGAAGCUCGUGAUAUCGAACUCCAGAAAAUCACAGAAGAACGUGAUAGCGCAUGGAAGUCAAAGAUUGAUGUCUCCCAACAGCAUCUCUCAGUUGACUCUACUGCUUUGUCUUCUGCGUUGAAGGAAAUUCAGCUGCUGAAAGCACAACUUGAAUUGGUAGCUACUUGUGGUAGUGUUCAAACUCAGCAAGCUGAAUCGGCAGAUAAAGAGCUACUGAACCUAAAUCAAAACUUAUCAGAAUCACUUUCUCAGAUGGAGAACAUGAAAAACCAACUCAAGAAUAGCAAAGAACCUGAAACUCGGGCACAAAUCUUUAUUGAUGAAACUUUGUUGCAACUCGAGUCUGCGAAAAGAACCGUCGAGAUUCUAAGGGAUGAUGUUGUGAGAGACGUAGAUGGCUACAACUCCAUUGCUUUGGAGUUAGAACAUUCUAGAGCAAGGGUGAACACGCUAGCAACACUUGUUAGCAAAUUUAAAACACGCAUCAAUGAUAAUGAACCGAUUCAUUCUGAUCAAAAUCUUGUGGAUGAUUGUAAAUUCGAGAAGGAAAGUGAAAUAUUGAGAAAUGGAGAGGAGCCUAAUCAUAUUGAAGAAGAGAUUUGUUCUUUGAAGUCUGAGGUUGGAAGGCUGAGAUCUGCUGUAGAGACUGCCGAGACUAAAUAUCAACAACAACAGAUUCAAAGCACGGUGCAAAUCAGCAAUGCGUACGGGUUGAUGGAGCAGAUAAAAUCGGAAUUAGGCCAGAGACAAUGUGAGUUGGAGGCUGAAUUACAAAGAAAGAAAACUGACAUUGAAGAGUUGAAGGCUAAUUUAAUGGACAAGGAAACCGAGUUGCAAGGUAUCAUGGAAGAGAAUGAGAAUUUGAAUUCGAAGCUCGAAAAAAACAUGUCAUCUCAAAAUGAACAUGGACUUCAAAAGGAACUUAAAAGAUUGGAAGAAUGUGUUGCUGAAUUGAAAGCUGAUAUGAUGGAUAAAGAAACAACAUUGCAAAGCAUAUCCGAAGAGAACGAGAUGCUGAAGAUGAAAAUCAACAAGAGUUGCUUGGAUGACAGUAAAGUGAGAGAGGAAAUAGAGAAAGCCGAGGCUGCAAAACGUGAGGCGGUUACAAAACUCGGGAUUGUGAUGGAGGAAGCAGACAGAAGCAACCGUAAAGUGGCAAGGGUGACCGAGCAGUUAGAAGCAGCACAAGUGGCGAGCUCUGAAAUGGAAAGCGAACUAAGAAGGCUUAAGGUACAGUCUGAUCAAUGGAGGAAGGCUGCAGAGGCAGCUGCUGCUAUGAUUUCGGCAGGGAACAAUGGGAAGCUUACUGAGAGAUCUGUGUCUUUGGACAAUAAUAAUAACUAUAAGUAUUCACCUAAUUAUGCUGAAGAUGUUGAUGAUGAUUUCCAGAGAAAGAAAAAUGGUAACAUGCUGAAGAAGUUUGGAGUCUUAUGGAAGAAGCCUCAGAAAUAGUGACUGAUUGAUAUCUAUAUAUUUAUUGUUUUAAUUUUGUGUUAUGUUGUUGCUAUGAUAUUUAUGUUUUUUGCACUUUUGUGCACUCACCUUUGCAUUGCAUUGUAAAUUGUGUCUGUCUGAACUCUAGAACUAUGUUUUAGUUGGAAAGCUGACAUUUAGUUGUUGAAUGAACUUUUGUGCACUCACCUUUGCAUUGCAUUGGGUUAGAAACUAUUGUGAUUUGUAAAGCAUUAGGUGAAAUUUGUGGUAGCUGUUGCGGCAAGUGCUACUAUAAUCCUUCAGAUUAAAGCUAACCAAAUCGAGCUCUCAGACUAACUCAUAGACCCUAAAAAAAGAUUAAAAAAAAUUAUGUCGCAUCUAGUGGUGAUGCGAUCCUAAGAUGUUAUUCCUUGACAUGAAUAAUAAAGUCAUUAUGGAAUAAAAGAACCAAUUUUUUUUGGUUCAAAUUGUUAUUUUCGUUGGUCAUUAUGUAUAUGUGUUGUAUUCAUCAUAUUUAGAGCUCUGCAACUCUGAUUGAGGUGGAUCUUUGAAGCGUUGGAAAUGGUACAAAAUUAUCUACAUUUCAUAUGUUGUACUCAGAAGGAAAAUCUGCAUAUAUCAUAGUGUAAAAUGGGAUUAAAGUGAAGGACGUGAUUAAAUUAAGGAGCUGAAGCAAAAGAGAUGAAACACAAUUAAUUUGAAAAAUUGAAGAGCAUGAUGAGGAGUAAAGAGGGAUCUGCAAUUAGUCAAAAUGUAACUGUCAAUAAUUAUGCAGCCAACACAUGCAUUGAUUCAGCCACCCUAUAUCAAAAUCAACUAAACCGUAACUUUUUCUUUAGCCACCAAAACAUUGUGAUAAUUAAUGGUUGCAUUUCCUUUUAUUUUCUUAGAGUUUCAGAAUUAGAACUAUCUUGUAAUGAGUUCAUAUAAAUAGAGCACGAAAAUGAUAUGUAUGAGAGAUGAAUUUUGAUAAAAAAAAAAAAAGUCACUUCAUGUGAAUUUAAAAGCUUUAUUUUUUUUUGUUCUGGAUUGAACCAUGCCUUAAUUUUAUCAAAAAAUCACGUUUUUUGUGACGAAUCCUCUACUAAGCUAAACAACUUCCUUAAAUUAGGAAUUUAUUUGAUUUUCAUUUUCUACCUAUUUCCAUCAGUUUUAAACAUAAUAUCCAAGUAUCCUCCAUUAUUCCACAAAUAUACAAAAUUCAAAAUCACAACCUAUUUUGACCUUCAUCAAGUGGGGAUAUAAACUCACAACCUAACCACCAAAGACUAUACCACAUUUUUCAAAGUAUUUAGUAUUAAUUGUCAACUUCGCCUUUCACUUUUAUAGGGCGUAUAAUUUAGUUGCCACUUUUAUAAAAUGUCAUAUUAGUCCCUUAUUUUUUUUCUUUUGGUGGUGGCCGGAAUUUAAACCCCAAACUUUACGUAUAUGAUGCAUUGUUCAUACCAACUGAGCUAAGCUCAUGAUGCUAUAUUAGUCCUUAUUUAGUAUAAAAUUAGUUAAGUUAGUCUUUUUUUUUUCUUCUUAUUUUAUCAUUAUUUUUUAUAAGUCAUGCCUUUGCAAGGGAAUAGAGUUAAUUAUUCAAGAUGAUUAAGAUUAGUAAAUUACAUCUCUCUUUUUCUCUUAAGUUAAAAUAUACACUUUCCUCUCCUCUUAUGCAAAACAUAUUAAAAAAUAUUUCACUCAUAUGAUUAAAAAAUAUUUAUCUUAGAGGAUGUGAGUCGCAUCCUCUAAGAGAAACUUGAAUUACAUUCAUCAACCAUCUUGUGUUUAAUUUUAGAUUUGAAGUGUUGAUUUUUUUUUUGGCAAAAUUUUGAAGUAGUAAAAAGUUGGAAUUAUGAAUUAAAUUAUUAGCCUCAAGUGGUUAAUGAGAUUUACGAUGACGAAUUGUUUGAAAAAACACAAAAUUAAUUAUUGAUGAAAAAUAAUUUUUGAAAAAGUUUUACUUCUUAUCGCUUUUUGAUCAAACUCUGAUUUCUAGUUCUAACACAUCGAAAAACAAGAUUUUUUCACAUAAAAUUAAAAAUAAUUUUGAUUUUAAAAUCUGGUCGGGGCUGGGAGUGUGAGUAGAACGAUUCAACAUCAACAAUGGGUUUGGAAGGUGUUCUUCUCGGUAUGGGUAAUCCCCUCCUCGACAUCUCUGCUGUCGUCGAUGAAGAUUUCUUGAAAAAGUACGUUGCAUCUUAUCACUCUUUUUAAAACUUUUAAUGAAUUAUGGUUUUGAUGAUUUGUUUACAGGUUUGACAUCCAGUUGAACAAUGCUAUUCUCGCUGAAGACAAACACAAAUCUAUGUAAGUUGAACAAUGCUUUCAAUAAUCUUAUAGUUCUUUAGGAUAAUCUUCAGUUUAGCUUAUUUAUUUGAGUUUUAAGAUGCUAAUUCAGGAUUUGAUUUUGGUGUAAUUAUCAUUGAUUCGAAUGAAUUCUUUUUGUGAGUGUUUACAUGUUUUAUGAAAAGACAAGAAAUUUUGUGACUUCAUAUUAUUCCAAUAUCAUUUCAGGUAUGAUGAAAUGACUGCCAAAUAUAAUGUGGAGUACAUUGCUGGAGGUAAUUCUUGUGUUUUCAUUUUUAGAUUAUUGUGUUUCCGGGAAGGAAAGUAGUAACAUUUUUCAACUAUGUUUCUUUUUUGCAGGUGCUACUCAGAAUUCAAUCAGGGUUGCUCAGGUAUGUGUAGUUAGUGUGCAAUUUUUUUUUUUUUUUUUUUUUUUUUUAUGACUAGUUGUAGUAAAAAUAACUUAUCGUUUUGUAUUUGCUUCUUACAGUGGUUGCUUCAAGUUCCCGGGGCCACUAGUUACAUCGGUUGCAUUGGGAAGGACAAGUAUGGUGAGGAGAUGACCAAGAACUCUAAACAAGCUGGUGUAAAUGUAAGUUUAAUCUUGUUUCUUUUUCGAUCUGCUACGCUGUAUUGGACGGACCCUAUAAUCCAGUUCUGAAAUUAACUUAUUCAUUUAACAACUAGGUUCACUAUUAUGAAGACGAGAAUACACCUACAGGAACUUGUGCUGUUUGUGUGGUUGGUGGUGAAAGGUGAGAGGAUCAAGCUUUCCUUGUGUUUUAAAUGCCCAAAAAUCAUUCAUUUUUUACUUCUUCAGUGUAGUAUAUAUUAUUGAUAGCGAACCAGUUGUGUGAAACCUUCUUUUUUAUUGCAUGUAGGUCACUUAUUGCCAACUUAUCAGCUGCAAAUUGCUACAAGUCUGAGCAUUUGAAGAAACCCGAAAAUUGGGCAUUAGGUACCUUCUUGAUUCAGGAUCUUUUUCUAUCUCCAUUAAAUCUGAAUAAUCAAAAUGACUAACAUUUGGUAUUGUGCAUUUUUUUUUAAAUAAAUAGUUGAAAAGGCCAAAUAUUUCUAUAUUGCUGGAUUUUUCCUCACUGUAUCCCCCGAAUCCAUUCAAUUAGUUGCUGAACAUGCAGCUGCGAAUAACAAGGUUAGAUAUGGCUAGAGAGAUUGUCCUAACCUUUCUACUAGAAGUAUUUGAUACUCAAGUAUUUUACUCCCUUGCGCAGGUUUUCAUGAUGAACCUUUCUGCACCCUUUAUCUGUGAGUUCUUCAAGGAUCCACAGGAGAAAGCUCUUCCGUAAGAAUCCUUCACCGUCAAAUUUAAAUAAAUAUUUAUGUUUUUCUUAUUGAUCUUUAAGGGUUUGCAUUCUGGGAUUCAGGUAUAUGGACUAUGUAUUUGGAAAUGAGACUGAAGCACGGACAUUUUCGAAAGUUCAUGGCUGGGAGGUAAAUCAUUCCUUUGCAGAUCUGUACCCUUACAGUUUUGGUUUUACAUUUUAUUUAAUAACUCAUAUUGGUUCUUUUCCUUUUGACCAGACCGAUAAUGUCGAGGAGAUAGCUAUCAAGAUAUCCCAAUUGCCAAAGGCAUCAGGAACACACAAAAGGAUUACCGUUAUCACACAGGGUGCUGAUCCCGUGUGUGUUGCUCAAGAUGGGAAAGUGACAUUGUACCCUGUAAUUCUAUUACCUAAAGAGAAAUUAGUUGAUACCAAUGGAGCAGGUAUUGUCCUAUUGCUUUUUGAAGUUGAAUAUGGAACAAAAUCAUACAUGUUAUGUGCUAGUCAUAACUCAAUAUUUUUUUCUUCUGUUUUUGUAGGAGAUGCCUUUGUUGGAGGAUUUCUUUCACAAUUGGUCCAGGAGAAACCUAUUGAAGAAUGUGUGAGAGCUGGAUGUUACGCAGCAAAUGUUAUCAUUCAAAGGUCCGGCUGCACUUACCCAGAGAAGCCUGAUUUUCAAUAAGUGUUUCUCCCGAUUCUAUUACUAUUUUGAAGUUUUGAUUAUUGAGAAUGAUUUUAGUCGCAUUUUAAUAGUUGCACUCUAACUGGUUUUGGAUUUUUUUAAAAAUCCCCGACUAGGGAGAAGGGGUGAAGAAAUUGCCGAGGGAGACAAAAUUGAAAUAAGUUUUGUAUUUGAAGUCCUAAUAUAGGCAUCAUUUCUUAUCUUUGCUGCUUGUAUCACAAGUGUUUUUUCUUAUUUGGUUACACUGUAGCUAAUGUUGCUAUAUGAUGAUAUGCAAUGAAAAUAGCUAAUGUUGCUUUACGUGUUCUAUCUUAUUCGAAGAAUCCUAUCUGUUUGUCAUCUCUUAGUUAAAAAUAAAAAAAAAUAAAAAAAUUGGUCACAUGUUAUCACACGUUUGUUCAUAAUCGUGUUUACCAACUACUAAGUUAAUGACUUAUGUAGUGAAUGAAUGGAUUAUGGUUUAAAGUAAAGGGAAAUGCUAACAAGUGCCUUAGGGCAUUUGAUAAGAAGUCUAAAAUAGAAAAAAUUCUUGAGAAUUGUGUAUUCAACACAUUGAAAUAACAAAAACCAACUUUUUCUCCAUAAAAGUUAUCAAUUGUUUCCAUUUUUAAUGCUUAAUAAGUGCCCUUAAGUAAAUGAUUUAAUUUGAAUUCUCUGGUUUGUUGUUUUUUCUGGUUUAGGGACUGGUUUUUUACUGCCAUUUUUUUCUUCUACUGUGCUUUAACUGGUUUACUAGUUUUAAAGUAGCUUAUUUUUCUGUUUAUCGUGUUUUUUUUUUUACUGGUUUUACUAUUAUUUAUUUUUUCGGUUUUAAUGGUGUUUUUAUUACUGCAAUUGUCGUCCUUAUAGAAUAAAUACAUCAGCUUAAACAUAGCAAAACAACCAUAGAUAGACUUCUUACAAAAACAAAAAAAACCCAUAGAUUAGAGGAUAAUAGGUGAAGUAUUUAACAAAAAAAAAAUAAUAUUUAGGGACUAUUUGUAGUUUUAUUAUGAUAGUUUAGGGACUAUUUUGUUGUUUUUCAUGAUAGUUUAGGGACUAUUUUAAUAGUUUAUGGACUACCAACGAUCACAUAGUGGAAAAGUUAACCGAGAAACCAAAUAGUUGGAUGUUUGUAUAGUUUAGGGACCCUUUUGUUCAUUUUAAUAGUUUAGGAACUAAAUUGGUGGGAAUGUGAUACUUCAAAGAUUAAAUUGAAUGUUUAUCUUUUUUUUGUUGGUCAGGUAACCUAGUAGUUAGAAUUCACCUUAUAAGGUGAAUAAAUGGGGUGUCCGGGGUUCGAAUCACGGCCCCGACAUAUAAUAAUACAUUGUACUACCAACAGAGUUAUGCUCACGGAACGGCUGUUUAUCUAUUUGAGAUUGGUUUUGAGUAUGUAUAAUUAAUCAAUACGUAUGCAAUUAAACUUCAACAAUAAAAAAAACAGAAAUUUGCUUCUCUCAAAACAAUGAUUUGAGGUAUGAAAAUGAUUUUUCACAUGUCUUCUAAACACGUUGGCAUAAGAUAACAGAAUUAAACUCCAAGUUUUAAGCUUAUAAGUCAUAACCAAUUGUCUGUAGUCAAAUCCCCCAUUAUGUUUAUCUUCCCAUAUUUGUUAAGAAACAAUUUUUAUCUUGCCAUGUUCGUUAUUUAUAACUGAUGAAUAAUUGUUGAGAUCAUUUAUUUUCUUUCCGAAAGAGCACUAAUUCAUUUCACAAUACAAUUUGAUAUGUCAAAAUAAUGAUAAUAUAGUUGCCGGUGUAUGUGGUUGCCUUUGCAAGAUUAUGACAAACCAUAUUAGUUCCCUCUUAGAAAAUUUGGCAUAAAAGUUGUUACAUAUAUGAGAAUGAGAUGAAUUAGUUCUACGACUUGCUAAGAUAGAAUCUAACUCCGUAUCAUCUCAAGUAUCUGAAAUGAAAGAAUCCACCAUCGCCUUUGAGUCCAAGCAAAAAAUAACUUUCUUGAAAGCCAACUUUCUUACCCAUUCUAUCAAUAUGAUAAUUUGUUGCAACUAUGUUGUUUUCGCUCUCAUGAACAUGCCGAGUUUAGUCUUUAAGAACUUUUCUAUUCCAACACUUUUCUAAUACUCCGAAAACGAAGCAUCAACAUUACACUUGAUGUGAUGAGGGGGUGUUACCAUUUGAAUCUGUCAUGACGGGUCUGCUGUAGCGGCUAGGUCUGCUCCUCAAUUUGUCGCGUAUUCUGCCACUAAGCAAUUUCAUAUGUGUAUUAUGUCUCCAGGCUUCUUAUUUUGACGGUCCCGAUUUGAUGCAUUUCUUUGCUCCUCCACAAGCUCCAAAGGGUAAUCGAGUGUUAACUCGUAAAUUUGGAUGAGUUUACGUUUUUAGGUGUUAAAAUCGUGUUAAAAACGUAAACUCGGAUGUAAAAUCGUUUUUUGUUGAAAUCGGAAUGUUUGACAAGUUUGAGCGAGUUAACAUGUGGUAAACUUGGUAAACUCGGGUAAAAUCGUCUGAGUUUACGAGUUAUCACUAAAAAAAUGUUUGUUUUUCAGUUUUGGGUCAUUCUUUUCUGGGUCCAUUUUCUGUUAAAAUCCAAUUCCUUUUUUCAGUUCAAUAAUCCAAAGUACUUGUCUUGUCUUUACAGUUAACACUUUCAUGUCUUGUCUUCCCUUUCUUUCUUCUGAAACCUUCUUAAAAUAACCACACAACAAAUAAUAUUUAUGAUUUUGCGUGUUAAUUUUGUAUUUUGAUGAUAAGUUGAGCAUAAUGUUUUAUUACGGUAGUUGUAUAUACUUUGUCUUUAUAAUUAAGUCAUAUUUUGCACAAUUGACAUAUUUACAAUAUUUAUAUUGGCUUACAUAUGUCAUGUAUAUAGUAAGUUUAUAUAAUUUUAAUUUUAGAUAAACUGAUACGAGUUUACGAGUCGAAUUUACUUAGGUAAUUAGAGUUGAAGUAAACUCUCGAGUUGUAAAACCUUGGAUAGUGACAAACAUACGCUGCUCAUUGUUUUUUUACAAUACACGCAUAGUAGGUGUUUUAUUUUUUUUGGUCUAAAAUAUAUAAUUUCUCAAUAUGUCCCCCCUCUUGUUGAAAGAUGUUCUCCUCUUGUUGAACAAUUAACUCAUAAUUCUAAGGAGGGAUGAUAAGCUUUAUUCUUUUGUGUUCCCUAAAAACUUCCUAUUCUUAUAAGGAAAAUUCUAUCCAAUUCCAUCAAAUAGCACAAGGAUAGCCCCUUAUUUAAAACCCUUCUGAAUGAUAUAUUUAAGAAACUAAAAAAGGAAUUUACUGUUGAUAGUGAGCUUUAAUCUAUACCAUCGCUUUUGUGGCAUGUGCUUGUCAGAUAAAAAAAUAGAUAGUGCUAGCUAGUUGAAGACUUUGACUACUUGUACUUACUCCACCUCGUUCUCACUUAGAAUGAAAGACCAACCCAGUGUUUGUUGCCCCUUGAUGUGAAUAUAAUGGUCAAUUUAAGAUUAUAGCUCAUCCAAUAAGCAAAGUUUUUGGUAGUGUAUUUGAUAGACUUGAGCAUAUAAAAAGGGAAGAUGAGCAAUUACAAGUCUAAUGUUAUUCAAUUGAUAGACAUGAGUUUAAUAUUUGUUGUCAAUGUUAUAUAUAAAUAUCUCUUUAACAUUUUAAAUAUGGAUCAAGAUCUGUUGUUGUAGUGGUUUCACACAGUUCUAGGCAGUAGUUGAUCUCGGUCGUAGAUUUUUUAUUCAAUAACUCAGAUUUAUUCAUUGUUGAUUUGUCUGUUUAACACAAUAUUAUAUCUCGACCCUUUAUUUUUGAUCGAACGAUCAACAACAGUUAAAGUGUUGACGCAGUAAUUGUGUUAAAUCCAAAUCCCUUCAAACAUGCUUUCAUGCGGGUGAGCAAUGAAUUACUUAACAUAGACAUAAACAUGGAUAUGUAAACACUAGUUUGCAGACGCAUUAAUAAUCUAAAAAAAUAAAAAUAAUUGAAUGUAACUACAUGUGUAAAGUAUCGUUUUGCGACAUCAAACAUACUAUCAAUCUGAAAUGUCCAUGAUGCAUAGUUGGUGGUGUGUCUAUAAUUUCAACUCAAAUGAAGUUUCAACUUAAAAAAUGUUAACUGUCAUAAAUCACAAUCAUCAUCAUCUAAUUAAAAAUCAAUGCUUCCGCCCAUUCAUUCUUAUCAAAUAUCAAUUUCUCAAAACUAUACUAUAAUUUUAUCUCAACUAAGAGGAAAAUGAGUCAUUCAUUCAAUUCAAAGUCUUCAAUGUUAUACAGCUGCAUCAAUUAUUUAUUUUCAUACUUAGAGAAAAAAAUUCCAAGAGUGACAGGCAAACCAACCAGAUUCUCUAUUGAAUUUUUUAUACCCCGAAUCCUAGUCCAUUUAAAAAAUUCAAACAAUGAUGUAGCAAUGUAGCUCAUUGUCGUUGAUUAUUUAGUCACAUUCAAAUUAUUUUCAAACUUGAUCACUGACGGUUUUGUCACGCCCAAAUCCUAAAUUAGAUUUUGUCUGUUCAGUGCCAAUAGAAACUAAAUCAUUCCCGAAGUUAGUGAAAUUUUAUAACUCCACUAUAUAUUAUCAUUCAUAAUUUAGUAUAGUGCAUUUGUGACUAUUUUUCAAUUUAAUUUAAUAGUACUGCAUUUAUAAUUAUGUAACCUAUUGUAAGUAAAAACGUGUUAGAAGAAUCUACCUGAUGAGAAUAAAAUGAAUUCGUGGCAGAAUAUCUUGAAAUCACCACCACAGUUAAUUAAGAACCCAAGGCUCCUGAAAAAUUGAUUCUAACUGUAACCAUUCAGAGUGUUCAGGCUUAUGCUGCAUUCAUGAUUCAACCAUGAAACAUCACUCUUCUAUUUUUAUUUUAUUUUUAUAUUCAUGUAUAAUAUAGUACUAGUAUUUAUUCUUUUUUUCUUUCUCAUUGAUAUGUCAAAUAAGGAAAUGAUGAUUUAUCUACUUCUCUCCAACUUCAUUGACUUGGUUAGCAAAAUAUCUCAAAUUUCAUUAGUCUAUUCAUUUCACCAAUUAAAAGACACUAGUAGCACAAAAUUUUGACAAUUGAAGGUACAAAGAAAAUGAACAAAACUAAAAUUUAAAUUUAAAAAAAAAAAAAAAAAAAAAAAAAAAAAAAAAAAACUAAGAAAAAUAAAAUAGAGGUGAUACACUACAACACAAUAGAAACAAAUCACUUCCCUAUCAAACUAAGGUAUGGUGUCCAUAGUUUUAAAUUGCAGUCCGUGGUCGUAAUUGCAGCCGUAAUAUAAAGAUUUUAGAGGUCUUUAUAACGCCAUCACAACCGCAAUUGCAACUGCAUUAGUCCGUAUACUGUCUUAGCCGCAAUAUAAAGGUUCACAGCGUAACUGCAACUGAAAUUUAGAAUCACGAGACGGUGUCUACAUUAGGGGGCUAUUGAGAAGGCCAUGCCCCCAAGAUGAAGUGAGACCAUUCCAACCAGCUCUUCCUAAAUGAUCCAUUUCAGCCAUGUUUGUGUCACCAUUAUUGAACUGCCAUGGAAAACCUAACAAAACCCUAUUUUCAUUUUGUUCCCUAACAUUACACAUUUCUUGUUUCAUAGUAGUAACUGUAACUGCUUGAGUAGUUGCAAUGCUCAUUUCAUGAUCAUAAGGUAACAUCAUUUCACCAUUACCAUUGCCAUUAGCAUUGCCAUUAUCAACCUCUCCCAUGUAGUAAAGAUUUUGCACAUUGUUCUGAGAUCCCAUAAGUGCUUCAAAGAAUCCUUGGUUGUUUGAGGAAUGGUUCAUACCAUGAUUGUUAAGAAUGCCACAUGAGGUGUUGGUUUGGUUUCCUAAAAUGGAAAAAUCAUGUUCAUGAUCAAAUCCAAGAUGACCCUUUUGAAGCCUAGCUAAUGCUAGUGUGAGAUCAUUGGAAUCAUAGGACAAUGAAGGGAAACAAGUGAGUGGAUUUGGGUUGGUUUGAAAUGGUUGAUCUUGAGAUCUCUUUGAUGAUGCUGAUGAUGAUCUUUUGUUCUUUCGACACCCCCCACCAACAGGAACAUUCCUUAGUGUACCACCUUUAGUCCAAUAUCUCCUACAAGACUUGCAGAAAUAUCUUGGUUGUGAAAGACUGUAAUUGUUGUAGUAACAAAAUUUGGUGUUGUUUGAGUCACAUCUUGGACAUUUUAGAGCUUCUGGUUGAGGAGGUUUUGGCUUUUUGUCUUGUUCUCCUUUUGAACAUGUUAACAUGCUCUCCAAUGACUGGUUAGACAUUUGCUGCAACAACACAACACAACAAAUUUAGUGGACAAGAAAACCAAAUAGUACAAUUUUUUGUGAUCUAUCCAUACAUAGUACAUACAUAUGUGUACACAAGUAAAAAACAAAGAGUUAAUUGAUUUUUGAAAUCAUUGCGAAUUUGACAAAAUUGUGUGGCGUCGUAGUAUUAUUGAAACUCUACAAUCUAAGUUUACAUUUUGUAAUUCUGACAAACUCACCGUUAAUUCAAACAUAAUGUUAAGAUGAAGAUGAAGAGGGGCCUCACAAAGAUGAAGAUGAUAAAAAAAUAAAAAAAAAAUCCCUGACUUUAUUCCAUCAAAUAUUAAUUCUAGGCCCCAGCUAUAUACAUAUAUGGUUCAUAAAAAACACCAUGAGUAGUAUAGUAACAUAGGAGAGCAACAUAGCUUUACUAAUUAUAUUUCUUCCAAAGGGUGUUCUUCAAAGAAGAAAAAAAAAAUAAGGAAAAUAAUAUGUUCCUUUCUCAUUCUUCAAAGUAGUACUAAAAAUUCUUGAAGGACAAAGAUGGAAGGCAAGAAUCAAAUAAGUCACGUUAAUAAAUAUUACAUGACUACAUGCAUGAUAAUUAUAUAUAUAUGAUAUGAAAUAAAUAUUUCACCUGUUGUUGCCCACUAGAAGAAUCCAUCCCCAUACAAACACUUCUUAAUCAACUUAGUUUGAAGGUAGAGAUAAAAAAAAAAAAAAAGUGUUAUGGUUUUUGUGUAUAUAUGAUGAAUAAGGAAAUGAAAGAAAGGAAAGUGAAGGAUAGAGAUGGUUAAUUAAGAAGUGAUGAUGCAAAGUGAAGUGAGGUAAGUAAUGAAAAUCUAAGGUGUAGUGAUAGUUAUAUAUAAAGCAAUCCCAAGAGAGAGAGAGAGAGUAAUGAGUAAUGAUGAAUUUUGUCGUACAAAAUGAUGGAUGAGGUGUUAGCUUGCACGCAGAGAGAAGAGAAAUAUAAAAGAAAAGAAAAUUCGAGUCACUUCUAAAUUCUGUACUGCAACGGUUUCUUUCAUAUUGAAGAAAAAAAAUAACAAAACCAAAAACAAAAAGAAGAAACAUAAAACUGUGUCUCUGAGACAUUGUGGGGCCCUCAUUCGCGUGGAUGCAACUAUUUUGUGGACCCCACUUGUCGUUUUUCUUGUUGUGUGUCAUACGGGUCCCCAAGCAUCCACCAUUUCUUUCCCUCCAUCUUCACGCAAAUUUCUUCCUUAGCCCCCAAACACAAAACCUCGUCCACUCUUGUUCACAUCUUGUUACUUUUUUUUUUUUUUUUUUGUUUUUUAAUAAUAAAUAAAUGUUUCUUUAGGUGAGUAAGAUUUUUGUGACUCACUUAUGCUAGAAUACUAGGGAAGGGAAAGCUCACAUACAUAGCAUCUACAGUCUACUAGUGGGGAUGUCGAUUUGGGCCCCAACAUAAUCUUAAUUUUUUUUAGUAUGAACCAUAAUCAUAAUCGGUAUUCUAGGGUUUACAACACUCGCCACAUAUUGUACAUCAAUCGGUUGUAUUUCGAGAUGUUCAUUUAUAUCCGCAAGCAAUGAUCUUCAAGUAAUUGCGAUGUGAAGGUCUUGUGGGACGGAAGAGAAUAUCUCCUAAAGAGAACUUUGGGGAUGAAGAUCAUACCUCCGUCUCCAAAUAGUUAAACAAAAUACUUAUGCACUUGCAUAAACGAAUGUAUACACAAAUAUUGUAUACAUUUAUUUUGUAUUUCAUGUUUAUUAAUGUACAAGAUCAUUUAAAAAAAUUGUUGUCAAGAUUCAAAAUAAUUUAUUAAUAUUUUAUUUAUUUUAUUUUAUUGUUAAAUGUUGUUGUUUUUUCUAUCUAUUUGCUUAAAAAUAAUAUAAAUGUGCGCAUGUAUUUUUUUAUGUUGAUGAGAUCCCCACGGGGUCAUGGAGAUCUACAAAGACGGGUACAUAACAAAAGCUUCUGGAGACGAAGAACAAGAACAGAGAUUGUAAGCAUUUUGGGUGGCAGCGACGAGGAGUGCUCCUUGGCCCUGCUUACGUCCCCUGGCGCCAGACUUUCGAGGCGAUAACAUUGUGUUUUAGACUAGGUUAGGAUCCUUCAUUGCCGAUCAUAAACUCUUAUCUUUAUGCCUUGAUCUUUUUGAUCUUCUAGGUAGAUGGAACACACAUUUUAUUUGGUAAAAAAUUUCGUUCUUGUCAAGCUCAAUCCAUUGUAUUUUAUGUUGUUUGAGCUACAAAAUAUAUUUUCUAAUAAAAACAUAAAUUUUCUCGACGUGAUUUUUUUUCCGACACAUACAAUUUUUUGACCUAACGAGAUCGGAUUGAAAAACACAAUUCGACAUCUCUAGUCAUUUUAGACUAUUUAUGUACUAUCAUCAAGUCAAUAAACAUGUUAGUUAUUUGGUUUUUCAUUGUUUCCAUCUACCACAUUUAAAAUAAACUAAAGAACCUUGUUGCACUUCUCUUUUUCUAAUUUAAAAACAACAAACAAUUGAGAUUUAAUAAGCAUCACUAUUUGUUAUUAUAUCGAAUAAAAACAGAGAUUUGGUCCAAAGAAGGACGGUGUAGAAUGUGGAUGUUUUUGGAUUUGUGCUAUGAUGAAGGUGGGACCAAAAGGGGAGCAAUGAGAUAUUAUUAAUUGAAAUAGAUGGAAGGGAAGGGAUUAUGGUCGUUUGUUGAAUGUUCGGUUUGAUGUUGACUAGUAAUGAUGUUAAGGACGGGCAAGGGGACACUAUUGACAAUGACAUAGGAUCUCUCUCUCUCUCUCUCUCUCUAUUUUGGUCCAUUCAUACACUCUCUCUGUUCUGUUCUUCCAUUUCUUUCCUUCAAUCCUUUGUUCUUAUUUUCUUGUUUUACAUAUUUGGAAUGGAAUGGAACAACACAUUGCGCCUGCCUCAUAUAUUCGCUGCUGAAUUCAUACUCAUGUCAUGUGUACGAUUCUUUUACUUCAACCACCAAUUUUGUUUUCAAACUUAUAGUGCAUUGCACCAAACCAAAUAAUGUUUAGAUAAGAUAAUAUGAAUUUUGUCUAACUUAAUAAAUGUUUUGGAUUUGAAUUUGAAUAUGAAAUAACAUUAAAACUCUUAAAAAAAUUUGUUGUUUGUUUAGGUCUCAUAAGUGACGCAGUUGGAAGCGUAAGUUAGCAAAGGUUAAACCUAGAUAGAAAAAGAACAAGUUUGCAAGUGAUGCAAUUGAAAUCGUAGGCUAGCAAGCGCUAAACCUAUAUAGAAAAAGACCAAGUUUGCAAGCGACAACUUGUGAAAAUAGGUUCCGGAAUCCACCAGAAAUUGAGAAAACUCUCUGAAACAUUAUGGAAUAAAUAAAAGUUGCCGCCUACAACAGUUAAGCUUAAAUAGGAAAAUAACAAAACUCUAAUGAACCGAAAAUAACAAACAGAAACAAAAAAUUACUAAAAUUGGACUAAAAUAAUAAAAUAUUAUGGAAACCCUCCUACAUCAAUAAGGAUCGAGGAAAUAAUCUUCAUUGAUGUGUGUAAAAGAAAAAUAUCUGAUUCAAACAAAAAACAAUGAUAGAUAUUGUAGUUUAAUAUAUGCUUAGAUUCAUCAUCAAUUAUCAGUGACGGAUCCUGAAAUUUUUAAAGGUGGGGGCACUAUAUAUAUAUUAGGCUUAAAUAUGGAAAUGGUCCCCGCAAAUAUCUGGUGUUUUGGUUUUAGUCCUUAUAAAAAUAUUUUUUUGUUUUUAGUCUCUGCAAAUAUAGAAUAUUUGGUUUUGGUCCUUGGUAUUUUGUUUUAAUCCUUGUAAAAUCAUUUCAUAUUGAAAUUGGUCCCUAUAAUAUUCAUUUUAGUCCUCAUUUUGAGGGACUAAAAUCAAAUAUUCUACAUAUUACAAGGACCAAAUCCAAUAUGAAUCAAUUUUACAAGGACUAAAACAAAAUACCAAGGACCAAAACCAAAUUUUUCAUAUUUGCAAGGACUAAAACCAAAAAAAAAAUUACAGGGACUAAAACCAAAAUGUCAAAUAUUUGCAGGGACUAUUUUCAUAUUUAAGCCUAUAUAUUAAUUGGAAGCAUUAAAUAUAUAUUCAAAAAAAAAGAUUAUAUUAUUGUGUCAAUUGUGAUUUAAGUGUGGGCCAAGAGAGAAAUAGCGUGUUAUAAGUAUAGGUUAUUUGGUCUAAAUAUCAACUAUUACUAUAUUAUACUACUUCAAAAUAAAAAUGUAAAAUAUUUUGUGUGGGCACAAGCCCACACCACAACACACAUGCAUCCGUCCAUGUUAGUUAUAUGAAGUUAUGGUGUGUUGAUACAGUUUUUGUAAAAUCACAUUUUUUAGUUUCAAUAAAAUUAUUGUGGCAUCACAAUUUCAUUUUAACUCGAUGUCAUUUUCAAACAUGUGAUUUAUAUUAGUUUGUAAAAUAAAUUGUACUAUUUGAACUUAGAAAAUCUUCAACCAUAUAGAUACUAACUCUUUUUUUUUGAAAACUUGGUAUCCGAUCCAAGGACCGACUAAUUUGAGGGGAUCAAUCCCACCGCCCAUUUGCGGGGGCCCCGUUUAAAGCCAGAACAAGCUCUAUAUGGACUUAGUCCACCGAAAUUGUAGAUACUAACUUGAUCUUGAGAGUUGGUAAAAUGACUCUUUCUUUUGAAAAAAGGAACUUGAGUUCGAAUUCUCAAGUUGUCUAUUCGAGAGGCAAUUCAACUUAACGAAAAAAGAUGUCAUUGCGUCAAAAAAAGAUGUCAUGUUGCUGACUCAAGUAUUAAUCUCAUAACAGAUCUUAAGUGUCUAAGUCCUAAAGAUACUUAAGAGUGUUUAUUAUGAGUCAAAAAAAUGUAAUUACGGUUAGUUAAAAAAAUCAAAAUCAAAAAUUAUUUUUAAGUUUCAUUAGUUUCAAAUUGAUAGUGUUAUAAUUUGAAAGACAAAAUUGAAGAUUCGGUGGUUAACUAUGCAGGACACCUCACCAAUCACUCAUUUCACUAACGAUCAAUAUUCAUCAGUCAAUUUAUGCUUUGCUUGUUUUGGGUCUUCAAAUUUGGUGUUUGUGGUCCCUUUUACUGCUCAUGAUCAAUAAUAAUAUGUACACUGUGUGACUUGUCUUACUCAACUCCCACUUCUUAGCCAUUGUUUUCCAUGUCACUCUUAUACACAUAAUUUGCCAUUAUAGUCACUUCACUACAAAAACCAAUUGCUAUCAUAACAAAAAUUAGUAUGUGGCAUAUAACACGCAUAACAACCAAAAAAAGGACAAAAAAACAAGCAUUUAUUCAUGCUAUGAUGUUUCCUACUCGAGUAUUAGUUCAAAUACAUUUGUAUUUGGAUUCCUUAUGAGACUUUCAUUAAUUUAUAGUUAGACUAUGAUUGCAUUGAGUUAAGAGUAACCAUAUAACGAGAAUUUGACAUUAUAUUUUUACUCAUAAUCUCAAUAUAUUAGGAAUCGUCUCACUUAUAUGUUGUUCAAUAUGUAUCUUGAAACUCACACUUGACAAAACAACUUUUCCCUCAAGUGUGAGUCCAUCUAUCCAUCUAGAUAUAUUUUCUCUUAAUUCGAUAAAACAUGUCGCUUCACUGUAAUUGCCUGAAAGACUUUUGUCACAAGGGGGUCGGUCCACUUUCAGCAAACCAUUUGGUCUGAUACCACUAUUGCAUCAUGAUGGAAGCCUGAAUGAUCAUCACAUUGUACCAAUUAGCAGCCACAUAAGAAAAUUUUGAUGUCACAUCUUUACACAAACAAAAAUCUUAGGAUAUCUGGAUAAUAAAUCUUCUAGUUAUAUGUUCCUGAAUAUUCAUUUAUUUUUUAUCUAAUGUGAGACUUUUAACUCCCAUUUGACAGACAACAAUAUCUCCCUCAAAUGUGAGUUCAUUUACUUGGGUAUGCUCCUUUUAAACAAUCAUCGCUUCUGAUACUAUUGUUGGAUCAUAAGGAGAGUCUGAGAGUUCAUGGGUUAAAAUCAACCAUAUAAAGAGAAUUGACACAACAUCAAUAUUCAAAUUUGUAAGAUAUUAAGCACAUGAAUCUUUUCACUUAUUGUUCAACACUCACUUUUUCAUGAGACUUCCAACUUACGCUCAAUACAUAAUAGUAUACAUUCGUAGAAUAAUGCAUAUAACAAUUACAAAAAAUGAAUAUCACUUCAUAUUAUCACUUCCUUUCUUUUCCAAAGGAAAAUAGCGAAACAAUAUAAAGCCAAACACAUAUAUGAAAUGAAAUAGGAAAUUAUUGUAGGACAGUUACCAUAAUUUGACAAUGCAGAACCGAAUGAUUAAUUUCGUCUUCUUGUUUAUUUUAAUAAAUAUGUAGCUUAAUCAAAUGUAACAUUCAUAACACAUGGCACUUUGUCGUUUAGCUUGUAUAAAAAAAGUGGUACCACUCUUAUUUUCCACAACUGAUCUGUAAAUAUGAUUAGCUGGAAAAAAGUUAACAAGCCAUCAUUGCAUUUCAAUUUUUUAUUUAAUCCCAAGUUUGAAUGAAUCAUUACUCACAUUAUCAAUUUACAUAAGAUAAGAUAAACAUAUAAACCACCAAAACUGAUUGCUAACCUAACAAAUCAUGGCUACUAAUUAUGUCCAAAUCCCGGAAAAUUAAAUAUACACUGAAUUUGAUUGGUGAUCAGAAAUUCAAUUAAACAAGGGAAUUUAAUUUUCAAAGUAUUCUUUCCCUACCCUAAAGUAAAAGCAAACCAACGAGCUCCAUGUAUAUGUGGUAAUGCAAGUAACUUCUAAAUAAGGAAAUUUAGUGAAUGUUUGUUUGAUUUUGCGUCUGAAAACUACGAUGUCCUCAGAAACCAUACCCUAAUAUGUUAUUUUGAUGUAGAAGCUAAGAUUUCUUACUUCAUAUAGAUGCGCGAAUAGAGCUCAUUGACAUGAUUCUAAACAUAGCACAAAUCAUUUGUGCAUUUUGAAGACUUUCCUUUCACAUUUUCGGAUAAUCACACCAAUUAUGAAGUAAAAUGGUGAUUAUGAAUUCACACCGAUUAGAUUUAAAGUUUUUUUUAAUCUAUUCCUACAUAUGAUUCAAACACUUAUUCAUUCUUAAAAUGGGCUAUUUUGUUUCAAUUUGGCAUUGCUUGGCAUAUACUUUAAACUGCAAGUGGCAAAUACAAUGAUACUUAUCAAUAAUUCAUGUAUACGUACUCUUGUCCAAAAAAAAUCAUGUAUACGUAGUGUCACUAUCUUUUGAAGUACUCAUGAAAAAAACAAUUAAAAACAAUGAUUGAUCCCACUUUGACGAUCCUUUGGAUCCCAUGGAAAUUGGGUGCACCCUAUGUAACCUUUUAAACUAGCAUAGGAGCUAGGUAGUAUUAAAGCAACCAUAGAUUUAAAGCCAAAAAAUUAGUAAAAUCAUAGAAUGUGAAAAUGUGUUAUCAUAUGGUGAUUGAAAUAGUAAAACGUGUGUGUGAGAAUGGAUGGUGUUGUGGAUAUUGAAGUGGAUCAAAUAUUGGGGAUACAAAAAUAUGUGGUGGGCCAUGGAUUGUAUGUGGGGUAAUGAGGCAUGAACAUCAUAGGGAUCAGUCAUGUUUGUUGACUAGUCAAAUUUAUAGGAUCAGUCAAAGGAAACACUGAGAGGGAAUAAAAGUUAAAGAAGGAUGGGGAAGUGUGCCAAACAUGGCUAAGCACCUAAUGUUGUUUGUAUUGUAGUGCCCUACGGUUUUUGAGUGUUAUUUGAACAACCAUUUUAUAAAACAACAUGUUGAAUAACCAAAAUAUAUAAAGAAAUGUAGAUUUUGACACAAAAGUUCAAGCAAAAGAGAUAAAAAAAAAAAAAUAGAACAUGAUAUGUGUAUAAGAGAAAAAAUUAUUAUAAAAGUUGUCACAAAAUGAUUGUUCAAAUAUCAUUAAAAAAAAUUAGUGUGCUUUUGAUAUCACACCUUGUAGCUUUGUAAAAUUAUUAUUAGUCAUAUGAUUAUGUUAUACUCACCGUAAUAUUAAACAUAAAUUAAAUUUAUUGUUUAUUAAUCUUUAUGAAAUAUAUAUACAUAUAUAUCGAGUAUAUAGGAUGAGUUCUCACCAGCUGAGUUUAUUUGAUAAUGAAAUUAAAAUUUUGAUCAAUUUUUUAUAAAAAAUGUUAAAUUUAUAAAAUAUACAUUUCUUGUCAAAAAUUAAAAUAAAAUAUAAUUUUUUUUCUAUUAAACUACUUUCACUAAUAAAGUAAUUUAGGAGGACUAUAAUACAAUGAAUACAGAAAUGAAUUAAAAAAAGUUAUGAUUAAUGUAUAUUGAUAUUUUGAAAACUCACAUACACAAAUAAAAAAGUAAAAAUUUAAACUUUGGUCACAACGUUCUAACAAUUUUAAUAUUUAUGUCAAUUGAGUUAAGAUUUGUAGACAACAAUAAAAAUAAUGUAAUUGUCAAAAAAAAAUAAUAAUAAUAAUGUAGACAUAAGAAAAACGAAGUAUUGGCACUCCUAUGACGAAAAGAAUCUAGUGUUCCCACUUCUCACAUCUUUCAAUUCCACGCAGAAUCUUUGUCUCUAUGGUUUGAGGUUCAUAUGUCAUCUGAUUUUGUGUGCUGCUUCGAAUUUAAUAUUCAUAAAUCAUACCAAAACAAAAAAUAUGUGGUCGUAUUUUUUUUAUAAAAAAAAAUUGCAAAAGUAGACACACAUAAAAAAACAAUCAUGUAAUCACAAGGCACAAUGCAUUCUUGUUUUGGAACUACUUGAAAAUUACAGACCAAUUUCAUUUUUUUAUCAUAUAAAAUCAUCAAUUUGUAUCAUGGUCAGUUUUAACACAUGAUCCAAGCAUGUUUUGUUGCUAAUCACAACAUUGAGGUUCUGUUAAUUAGGUGAAUAAUAACAUAAUUUUAUUUGUUGAUGGUUUAAUUUAAUGAACUUGUAAUGUUUCACAAUAGUAUCAAUUUAGAAACAUACAGUACACACCUAGCAGUCAAUUGAAUAGUCUUAGGUACUUUUGAAGGACACAUAAUUGAUGUGUGAAAAAAUGAUGAGUUACUUAGUACUGUUUCCAAGUGCUUUUUUGUUAAAGAGGGAAGAAAUUUGAAGUUUUUUAAUCCAUUCAUAUACCUUGCAAACACCGUGCAUAUUCAAGAUAGUGCAUCAAUGAAACGAAGCUUAAAUACAUGAUACGAAAUAGAUACGAUAUGGUACCGACAUAUCGAUACGGAAAAAUUUUAAAAUUUAAGAUACGUUACGGUCGAUAUACUUUAAUAAAAAAAUUUAAUUUAAUUUAAAAAUUAAAACUCAAAAUACAAUCUAUGUACAAAAACUCAAAAGCAAACUGACGUAGAACAACGAUAAAGCACAACAAUAAAAUUGACUUCGCACGACAAUCAACAAUAUCAGCGUUCUCAAACAAACAAAAAGACAUAAAACAGACGGCGGACAACAGCAGAAAUAUAAAUAUAAGUAAUAUUGAUAAUAAAGAAAGUGACAAUUAGUCAAUUACAUAUAUGAUAUAUCCCAAAAAGAGAACAUCAUUACUUAGUCAAUCACAUAUAUCCCAAAAAUAAUAGAAACAUCGUGCAUCCGUACGUAUCAACUUUCCUCCGUUUAUCCCUCAUAUAUCCCCGAUGUAUCUAAUACCAUAGUUUAAGUGCAAUUAUUUAAAAAAAAAAUACAAUUUAAUCUCCCGAUAUGUAUCGGGACGUAUCAGACAUGUAUUGAUGUGCAAGAUAUGUAUCAGAUACAGGUACGUCAUUCAUUUCGAAGUAUCUAGGCUACAUAGUUUAAGUGCAUGUUUUAUCGUUUUGAUUUUUUUAACUGACCCACUUGCAAAACAAAUUUAUUUAUAUAUUUAUUUUUUAAAGGUGGAGUAAAAAUUAUUUAUGUUUAUUGAUUGAUUUUAAAGUUAAAUGCAAUAAUCAUUUUUUUUCCCAUCAUCAUCAUUAUUAUUAUUUCUUGCAUAAUGAAAUAGAUUGAAAUAAAUAAUAAAUAACUAAGAAUAAAAAGAUAAACAAUUAUAUCCAAAAACCUAUGAUUAAAAAGAUAAACAUAUAGCACACGCCUAAAAACUAAUCUCUAUUUACUACUUCAUCCAUCCUAAAUUAUAAGAUGUUUUGGACAUUUCACAUAUACAUCCCCCGGUCGUUACUAUAAACAAAAAUUUGUAUUAUGGAUUUAUUCAAUUGAUGAUGUAUAUGGUCUUUAUUAUAGAUCACAUACAUCAUUUAAUAAAUGAAUAUAAAAUGUUGUUUUUUGCUUAUAAUACUGAUCAGGUGACAUAUUAAGAAAUGUAAUUAAAUUUUUAUGACAAAGAGAUAUUGUGAGUUGUUUUAUAAAAUUAUCCUUAAUAAAUGAUAUCGAAAAGAAACAUUAAAGAAUUGAAAGUAGAGAAAGUAAUAAAUAGUUAAGAGUAUAAUAGAAAAGGUGAAAUUAAUAUUUCAUUAAUAUUGAUAUUGUAAAACGACUUAUAAUUUAGGACAAUUUUUUUUCUCAAAAUGGCUUAUAAUUUAGGACAUGGAGUAUAAUAAUAGCAUAUACAAUAAAUACAAAAAUUUGCUAACUGAAAUCCUAAUCUAUGACUGUGUUCCUAAUUCUAAUAACUCCCCUCCCGAUAAAACUUACUAAGGUAACUCAAUUGUUUUGAGUUAAUAACCCAAGUUCAAAUCGUGGUAAGUAUGGUUUUCAAACUCACAAGUCUAUACGAGUUUACGAGUCUAAAAAAUAAAAAAAAAUGAGUAGACUCGCACAUAGAAUCGCUUUUGCUGUAGACUCGGUAGAUUCAUGUAGACUCGCGAGUCUAGGACGAGUUUACCGAAUCCAUGAACUUUUUUUAUAAAACAAUUUUUUUCUUAAAAAAACCCAAAAUAUGGCCCAAAUUCCAAAUCAAACAAAAAAUGUGAAUAAAAAACCUAGAAUUUUAUAAACCUAUAAAAGAAAGGUUACUUCAAUUAAAGAUAUUAAUUAUGAUAAUGAGUGGACAUCUGAAGAUGCUAAUGAAGAGAAUGUUGUGCUAAUGCAAGGUCAUGACAAUGUUGAGCAAGCUGAUGUUAAUGUUAACAAUGUUUUUGAAGCUGAUGUUGUUACUAAUGUUGUGGAAAUGGUGGUCAUGGUGGAAAUGUUGAUUUAAAUGGAAGCUCAAGGAAUCCAAGUUCAGUUAAUGAUGAAGGUGUUUCAUCCGGGGUAGAAUUUGAUGAUGAUGCUGACAAUGAUGGUCAAGAUUUUGGUGAAGAUGAGGGUGACGAUGAUGAUGACGAUGGUGGUGGUGAUUUUGAUGAUGAACGAGAUUUCAUUGGAGUUUUGGAUGUUUGAAGACAUUAUCAGAUAUGUUUUAGGCUUUUUUUUCUUCUUUAUGCACUAACUAGGACUUUAUCCACUUACUUUUGCAAAUUUACUAGCUUUAUUAUGAAGACUUUUUGUUAACAAGUUGGUUAUGGAGUUUGAAUUUUUAUGUUAACUUGUGUAACAAUUAAUUACGAACAUUUGUCUAUAAUUAUGAACUCGCGAGUCUGACAACCUUGAUGGUAAGGGAGAAAAUACUACCAUAAUGUAACAAUUAAUUACGAACAUUUGUCUAUAAUUAUGAACUCGCGAGUCUGACAACCUUGAUGGUAAGGGAGAAAAUACUACCAUAAUGUAACAAUUAAUUACGAACAUUUGUCUAUCAAAAAAUAGAUAGAUAGAUAUCUACAUCAAAAAAGUUGUAGCGCAGCCAAAGAUAUGUGCAUCAAAUACAAUUUUAUUUUUUUUUGAAGUGGCUAAAAUGAUUUAUAUUACAACAUCAAAAUGGUCUUCCUAGCACAAGUUGUGCUAAAGAAGAAACACCAAAAUCCAAAUAGUCUCAGUACUAUAAUUACAAGGCAAAGUCAAAAUCGCAAAAGCGGAAAAGACAAAAGAAAGAUCAUAACAAUUAACCAAUGCCUAGAAUGGUGAACGGAUUAAGCCACCAACCAUGGUAAUUGAAAGAUAGAUUGGCAUAUUUCUCUUUCAACCACAUGAAAGUUGUCGACGUAAUCUUGUCAACCACCUGUUGAAUUGAACAUUUUUUGUCAUUGAAGACCCUGUUAUUUCUCUCUUUCUAAAUUUCCCACACUGUUGCAAAUCAAAUAGCCUGUAAAAUAUAUUGUUUUGAUUUUGCUGCACCACCAAUGAAGCUGAACUGGUUAAAAUGGCUAGAUACAUCACAAGACAUAACAGAAUAAAUACCUAGCCACCUGAGAAUAAAAUUCCAAACAGAACCAAAAAAAUCACAAUGUAAAAAUAGAUGAGAAGAUGUUUCCAUCUCCCCACAUUCUCCAACGCAAGGUUGCGCAUCAAUGCCAAUGACAUGUCGACAGAAGAGGUUAUCCUUGGUAGGUAGCCUAUCACGAACCAGACGCCAAGCAAAAAUCACCACCUUCAAAAAAACAUUCUUGGGAUCGUUGAUUCUUUAGUCCCUUUCGAUUCUUUGUAUUCUUAUUGUUACUGCAAUUCUUAUUUACCUAUUGUUAUCUAUCAACAAAGAUUGAAUUUACCAAAUUGUAAACUUGUAAUGUUUCUUUAGGUGAAUCAAUAGAAUUUUUUUUUUUUUUUGAGGAAACAUCAAUAGAUAUUAUUUGCAUUUCAAUUCCAAUUGAAUAGAACCAUUACAUAUAUUCAGCUUCCGCUCUUGAAUGUUCAAGAGAUAAUGUUUGGACCAAAAUAAAUUAAGUAAGCACCAAAUGAUUUCCUGUUUGUUGUGUCGUGAAAAUUAUGGAGUAUGUUGUUGAAUUAGCGGCGCAGGUAAGCUUGCAUGGCUUUCAUGUGUAAUGGGACUUGGGAACUUGUUCCACCAGCCCCACAUUGUACAAUGUUAUUGGUAACAAACGAGAUUUUCGAUUUAAAAGAAAUCUGAUGGUUCUAUCUCUCGCUAUAAAGCAAGACUUGUCGUCAAAUGUUUUUACCAAAGACCCAAUAUUGAUUACAAAGACACCAUUAGUCAUGUAAUCAAACCUCAAAUAAUCAAACUUGUUAUCUGCUAUCAUAAAUGCAAAGUAAAAUAUACUUCCUCCGUUCCAAAUUGUAUGACGUUUUGGGCAUUUUACACGUAUUAAGAAAUGUAAUUAAUUUUAUGUGGGAAAGAUAUAUUAUGAGUCGUUUUACAAAAUUGUCCUUAAUAAAUGAUAUGGGAAAGAUAAAUAAAUGACUUGGAAGUAGAGAAUGCAAUAAAUAGCGAAGGAUAUAAUAGGAAAAGUAACAUUAAUGAUUCAUUGGUAUUGUAAAGACACAUACAAUUUGGGACAAUUUUUUUUCUUCAAAGUGACAUACAAUUUGGGACGGAUGGAGUAUUAAAUUGAGAGCGAUGAAAGUAGUAUUAAUUAGAGUUAUAAAGGGGAAAAAAUAAUUAAUAUUAUAUUAAAAAGUAAAAUGAUUCAGUUACUAUGAGACGAAAUGAGUACGUUUUUAUUCAUCUACAACUCAAGUUCUAAAACUGCUUGUUUGUUUAGUUUAUGUUGAUGAUUAAUUGCUAAUUGGCAGCCAUUUGAGAUUUUUAGAUCAGUUUAAAUAGGCACUUGCAUAUCACUCUCAAAAACUUGGGCAAAAACAAGCCAUUUUCUUGGAGUUGAAAUAAUAUCAACAAAUGUUAUCCUUCAAGCAAACAUGAGUGAUUGCAAACCUAUGGAAAUACUCCUAUAACACUAUGUUUGGAUGAAUGGAAAUAAAUAUCGAAUAUGAGUGUUUGGGGAUCUAACUGGUAUGCAACAAGGCUAAUUAUGUCCAAGACCUUAAAAGGACUGUGAAACUUCGGCAUUAACUUGUGGUACGAGGUUGAACGCAUGGAAACUUGUCUGUAAGGAUGUAACUUGAGAUAAACAAAAUCUCCAACAGAAAAAUUUAUAUCGCUCCGAUGCUUGUUGGCUUGUUGAACCAUGUGAUUAUGUGCUCUUUGGAGAUGGAAUUUAGUAACUUGAUGGCUUCUUCAUGGGCACUAAGCGAUCUGUCCACUGUGACAGAAGAGGAUUCCCAAGGUAAGUAUGGCAGAUGCACAUGUGGGGUUUGCCCGUAGACCACUUCAAAAGGAGUAGUUCGGAUGGCAGUGUGUAAUGUAGUGUUGUACCACCAUUCCAAUAAGGGAAGCCACUUCAACCAUUGAAAUGUAGUGUCAGUUAGAAAUCAAACUUUGGUUUGUCAUAUUGUGAGAGUAUAUCCUCUUUUGCUAUAAUCAACUCCGUUAAUGCAUGACCAUUUUAAUAUGUGUGUGUGUAUGAGUGUGAGUAAGCGCGCGUGGGAGCGUGUGCGUGCGCGCGCGCACGCAUGUGUUGAAAAUAAUAUUUAAUAUUGACAUUAUUGAUCAAUUGUUAGAGAUCUUCAAGUAACAAAAUAAUAUUGUAAUGAUAUAAAUGUAAAUUAAUUUUUUCCUUUUUUAAACUUUGAUUACAGACUACUUGUCUUAAUAUAUUUAGAACAACUGACAUCGAACUAGAUUGAUAGAAAUUUGAAGGCAAAAAGAAUUCAAGGUUCAAAUAACCAAUAAAAUAGUUAUUAUGUAAAUCAAACUUGCUACAUGAACUAUGACUCCUCAUUUACAUACCACUUAAGCUUCGAGUGAACGUAUUUACAAAAUUUGACAUACAAAAAUAUGAGACCUGAUAGUGUUUGAGAAAGUAACACAAUUUUAUGAUGCUAUCUGCACUAUACUUGCUUCAAAAGCAAAAUAAUCCUAGUUUAUGCAUGGGUCCAUGGACUAUCUUGUAUGAACCGCUGGCGGUCUCUCUAAACUACCGGUUACGACAAAUUUAACUAUAUAAUUUUGAUUUUGAAGUUACUUAGAGUAUUACAGAGACCAAAAGUGUAAUCAGAAAUGUUGGCUCAACGUUUUUCUGCUCUAGACCAUUACCAAUGUUUUGCAAACAGUUGAGUAAUUUCUAUCACUGUAGGACAGUAAGCGAGAACGAUUUGAAUAUCCACCGUGUAAUUCCUCUCGUCUUUAUUUUUUCGACUGAAUUGUAUCCUCAUAAAAUAAUUAUUUGGUUUGUAUUUCAAAAUUGAACCGGUGAAACAUACCUUUGCUAGGCUCAAUUAAAUUUUGCUUGCUAUCUACCGUUCCAAAUCCAUCCGUCGACACAAUAGAAACACUUUCAAUUGAUUCACUUCGUGAACAAUCAACUUGCAAAAGUAGACCAAAAAAAAAAAAAACAAUCAUGUAAUCACAAGUAUAAUGAGAGAAGAAAACGGAAUGGAAAAAUGUAAUUCUCAUUGUUUCUAACUAACUUGUACAGCAAGUAUAUAUACACAAACUAAUCCUUAUGCUAACUAACAUGAUCUUAUUGCAUAGGAUUCCAAUAUCAUAACUAACUAUCUUAGUUACUUGCUAUGCAAGCUAUUACAUUUACUACUCUCUUUUUUCUUAUUAUGUAUGUGAUGCAAUAACAAGGCACAAUGGAUUCUUGUUUUGGAACUACUUGAAAACUACAGACCAAUUUGAAUUUUUUUUUCAUAUAAUAAAAUCAUCAAUUUGUAUCGUGGUCAGUUUUAACACAUGACCCAAGCAUGUUUUGUUGCUAAUCACAACAUUGAGGUUCUGUUAAUUAGGUGAAUAAUAACAGAAUUUUAUUUGUUGAUGGUUUAAUUUAAUGAACUUGUAAUGUUUCACAAUAGUAUCAAUUUAGAAACAUAUAGUACACACCUAGCAGUCAAUUGAGGUGGAGUUUAACAUGGGAAAGGAGAAUUGUUUUCCAUCAUGGGAAAGUUAUUUUAAACCAUUGGAUCAAAUAGAUAACAUAGUUUUACAGUGGACAUUCAGCACCAAAUUUUUUCUCACACUCACCCACAUACAACUCUCCUUCAUCCUCUCCGGUAUCUGUGUUUUCUAAUUUCUUUUAUAUUCUGGCAAAAAAAGUGGUUCUUCCACAAAAGCUUCAUGAAGCUUUCAAAGACAAAACAAAGCCAAGAAGCUUUCUUCUGGCUUAAACAUGUCAAUCCCAAUCCACAACCUCAUAUACUUAUUAAGCAACAUCUUUCAUAUUUCAAUCAAUAAAAAUACUCACACAUCCAUAGAAAUUAAAUAAUAAAAAUAGCACAAGGACCCAAAAUUCCAAGAACGAAUUGCAAAGUAAAGAGAGAGAAAAAAUCUUGGAUUGAAUUUGGGUGUGGUUUUUCAGUUUGGGGGAAUUGUCUUCAGAGGUUAAAGAGAAGCACAAGUUCAAUGGAAUUUUUAACAUGAAUGGUUUUUUAUGUUGUACAAAGUAGCAGAUCGGAUAGAGACUUCAAUCCCCAUUAACAAAGCUUGUAUCUUUUCCUCAAUUCUAAAUGAAAAUUUUUUCUAUGAUGUUAGUUUUAAUUUAUUCAUGUUUAAUUAUUUGUCACUUGUAGAGAGAAUCACAUGUCCAUGGGAAUUUCAGUGACAGUAACAAGGCAAUGGUUUAUGGAAGAUCAAUUUUUCUAGGUUUGAAGAAGAGGAGGAAAGAGAGUUGCAGCAACAGCCGUUUGUGGGUGAGUGGUGAGUGUGGGAAAAAAAUUUGAUGCUGAAAGUCCAUGAUAAAACUAUGUUCUCUAUUUGAUCCAAUGGUUUAAAAUAACUUUCCUAUGGUGGAAAACAAUUCUCCUUUCCCAUGUUAAACUCUACCGUCAAUUGAAUAGUCUUAGGUACUUUUGAAGGACACAGAAUUUAUGUUUCCAAGUGCUUUCUUGUUGAGAGGGAAGAUAUUUGAAGUUUUCUAAUCCAUUCGUAUACCUUGCAAAGACCGUGCAUCCUGUGUAGAUAGUGCUUAUUUUUUCGUUUUGUAUACUUCGUUGAUUCUUUUUUAAUUAUCGCAUUUGAAACAAGGAAACAUUAUAUAUUUUUUAAAGCUAGAAAUAAUUUUCAAAAUCAACAAUCUCACAUCAAUCGUUUUAAUAAAAACAAUGUACCCAAUUUAAUUAUCAUACCUUUAAGGUAGCAUUAUUUUUUCUCUCUUCUAUUUACAACCUUCUCACUUAAUAUUAUAGAUAACAUUUGCUUAAUUUUAUAAAUACAAUGACUUGAUUAACCAAAAACAUUAUGGAUCAAAAUCGCAAGAAAUGCGAACUUGAGACCAAAAUUGAGAUUAAACUACAGACACUUUCCACCAAAGAGGAAAGUGCUUCAAGAAAAUAUGGAAAAAGAAUAACUUGGAAAUAAUUUUAACUAUUUACAUUAAUUAAAAAUCUGACAUAAAUAUAUGCUUACUUCAACAAGCUCUCCUAACACAUCACAAAUUUUAAAUAAUAAUAUAUAAUUAGCAAAAAAGUUGCAGCUUGAGAAUAAAAAAAAUAUGAUUUUUGCAAAUGGACUUCAAGCUGCCAUAAAUAAAGAAAAUCACAUUUGAUAAGCACGGGGAGCUGCCAUUUGCAUCUUCUUAACCCUGUUCCCUCCCUUCACCAAGCUGCACAUUCAAACACAAAAAUACUGUCAGUUUCAAGAGCUUAUCCACUUUGCUAUUCACCGUGUCGCUUCAAUAAUAAAACUAUCCUCCUUAGAUUGCUGGCUAAAAUUUUGAAAUCAGGGUGCUUUCUAAACUAAAGAUUCUUUUAAUAUUUAUUCUUCUAUAUGUAUAAAUUUAUCCAAAUCAAGUAGUUUUAUUUGGAAGUGCAGGGGUUUAGCUUAAAGUUAGACUUUCUAUAUACCACACAUUACUUUUCUUGGCCUUUAUUUGCUUUUUUGGUUCUUAAAAACCUACUGAAGUAUAAUACAAGCACCACUUAACAAGGCACCCGAUACUAUUGUACCGGUCGCCAAAACAAAUUAUAAUGUCUAUAUUUGAAACCAAUACCUAGUAUCAUUCGGGGUGAUCAAUAUCCAUUGGGAUCCUUGUGCCUCAGCAAAAUCAAUCAGAGUGUCCAUGCUAAUUUUUCUGCUUACUGGAUCCUGCAUGUCAAACCCAGUUACAUAGUAGUCAAUUAACAGAUUUCAAACUUUGUACCAAAGUAAGUGUAAACUAGAUGCUUAAUUUUUACUAACUUAAGAUAUAUCUAGAGAUAAAAUUCACCAAUGAGCAAACAAAACACACAAUAGUUUAUUUAGAUUACACUGGUAAAAUACUAAUGGUAAAUUAUCUAUCAGCAGUAAACAGCCAUACCAUAAAGACAUCAAAUUCAUCCAUUGCUCUAAAUGGGGCCUCCGUCAUUUCAUGAAGGGCUAAUGCAAAGCACAAAGUUGAAAAAGAGCGCUCCCCGCCUAAUAAAAUGCACACACAACAAAAUGUGACAAAGUAUACAAAUCACAUUGAAUAAGUAUAGUGAUCACUAGAGGUCUCUAAUGGCUUAUUAAUUCACCCAUGCUCGAAAGAUAUAAGAUUGUAUAAUUGUAGUUAUAAGUUUUGAAUUUUUAUCACAAUACAGAUUGCAAAGUACCACAAAAUUAGGACAAAUGAAAUUUCAAACAUAUCCAGAAAGAAAGAAAGAAAAAACCAGAAAAAUAAAAUUAAAACUCGUAUUUUUUUCUACAAAAAUAAAUAGGAUGAUAGCAUUUGUUUGUUUAUAAUGACUCAUGCUAACUAUUAAAACAUUAAGUUCUCUCUUUUCAAUUCAGAUUUGUAUUUUUUUUCCUAAAUUAAUUUUAUGUGUUCUAUUAUAGCUGAGUUGUGCCUCGUAAUUUUUAGAAUUAGUUAUAUCCCUAUAUUGUAUAGUACAAUUGUUCCGCAUCUUAUUCAAAAGUUACAUAAGACCAUAUGAUACAAUUAUUGUUUGCAAUGUCCAUCUGCUUUGAAACAAGAGGAGACAAAAGAACUGAUAGUUUAUCGUAUCGUAUGUAUAAAUAAUGGCACCAUAUCCAUCAUUUUGCAACAAACGAACCUGAAAGUCCCCUUGUGUCUCGAACAGCUCUGUUUGAUGUAUCUUGGGGCAUUUGUACCUAUAAACAAAAGAAGCAAAUUAAAAUAAGGAAACGUUUAAUCUUGAAAGGAAUGAAAACCAACUAUUUAUAUACAUUAGAUAUGAUCUAAAUAGGAAUGCAAUCCUAUCAUAACUCCUAAUGAUACUAACAUAUCAUACUAUAUUAAAUAUAAUAAAUAUCAAUAUCUCAACACCCCCCUCAAGGUGGAGCAUACAUAUCAUAUGCAUCCAUCUUGUCACAUAUGUAAGUUAUCCGAGGACUUCGUAGAGAUUUAGUAAAGAUAUCUGCAAGUUGAUCCUUAGAAUUGACAAAUGAGGUUUUGAUGACUCCAGAGAGAAUCUUUUCCCUAAUGAAAUGACAGUCAACUUCUAUAUGCUUUGUUCUCUCGUGAAAAACCGGAUUGGAGGAGAGGUGUAAAGCUGAUUGAUUAUCACAUACGAGUUCCAUCUGACCAACCUCACAAAAACUUAAUUCUUGCGGUAAAUGUUUUAACCACACAAGCUCACUUGUAGCAUGAGCCAUUGCUCGAUACUCGGCUUCUGUACUUGAUCGAGCAACGACUGUUUGCUUUUUGCUCUUCCAUGAAAUGAGAUUUCCACCCACAAAAAUACAAUAACCAGAAGUAGACCGCCUAUCACUCGGAUCUCUUGCCCAAUCGGCAUCUGAAUACCCAACGAUAUUAGUGUGGCCUCUAUCAGUGAAAACAAGUCCUUUUCCAGGUGCUCUUUUGAUGUACUUAAGAAUUCGAACAACUGCAUUCCAAUGACUGUCACACGGAGAAUUAAGGAACUAACUUACUAAGCUAACUGGAAAAGAUAUGUCAGGUCUUGUUAGGGUAAGAUAAUUCAAUUUUCCCACUAGUCUCCGGUAUCUUCCUGGAUCGGAAUAAGGCUCCCCCUGGUCCGGAAGGAGCUUCACAUUAUGAUCCAUAGGAGUGUCGACUGGUUUGCAAUCUAUAAGACCUGUCUCCUCUAAAAUAUCAAGGGCAUAUUUUAUCUGAGAGAUAGCAAUGCCUGACUUUGAUUGAGCCACCUCAAUCCCAAGAAAGUAACGUAGAGGACCUAAGUCAUUAGUAUGAAAGUUUUGAAAUAGGUGUUGUUUUAAUGCUUUGAUACCUUAGUAAUCAUCUCCUGUAAUCACAAUAUCAUCAACAUAAACUACAAGAUAGAUAUAUUAAUUUGAUGAUGAACAUUUAAGAAAGACAGAAUGAUCUGAUUCGCAACGGGUCAUCCCAAACUGCUGCAAAACUUUGCUAAAUCGACCAAACCAUGCCCGAGGUGAUUGUUUCAGGCCAUAUAAGGACUUCUGCAAUUUGUAUACCAGACUAUGUCCCCCCGAGCAACAAACCCAGGAGGUUGCUCAAUAUAAAUCUCUUCUUCCAAGUCACCAUGCAAGAAAGCAUUUUUGAUAUCUAACUGAAAUAAAGGCCAACGUUUCAUGGCGGCCAUAGCUAUAAAGAGGCGAACAGAUGUCAUCUUCGCAACUGGUGAGAAGGUAUCACUAUAAUCUUGACCAUAGACUUGAGUAUAGCCUUUAGCCACUAAUCGAGCCUUUAAUCGAUCAACUUGUCCGUCAGGUCCCACUUUGACAUUAAACACCCACCUGCAACCAACAACAGAUUUUCCAGGAGGAGGUGAAACAAGCUCCCAAGUAUGGUUGGAUUCUAAAGCUACCAUUUCAUCAAUCAUGGCUUGUUUCCAUCCUUGGUGAGAUAAUGUUUCAUGAACUGUCUUAGGAAUUGAGACAAAUGACAAAGCAGAAACAAAAGCAAAUCAGGAAGGAGACAGUCGGUGGUAACUCAAAAAGUUGUAGACAGGAUGAGGAUUAGCAGUUGACCUUUUACCUUUAUGAACUUUUACCUUUAUGAAGAGCAAUAGGUAAGUCAUUAGAAGGCUCGGGUGGGACCACAACAGGAGAGGAGAUUGGAGCAGUAGCCGAAUCACUAGAAUCAGUAGUAAUAGUCUUUGGAGCUGAAUCACUAGAAUCAGUAGUAAUAGUCUUUGGAGCUGAAUCACUAGAAUCAAUAGGAGAUGUUUCUGGAGCUUCAACAUGUCGACGCUCAUAAAUAUUACCGUAACGGCGGAACUCAGGGUUACCUUGUAACUGUGGAGAACUUUGAGUAGAGACAGGUGGCUCAAAUAUUGGAUGAAAUAAAGGAAUAGGUAUCACCUGAGAAUCGGUAACAUCUGUUGUAGAACUAGUUGUAGUGAGUGAAACAAAGAAUGGUGUAUCCUCGAAGAAAGUAACAUCUGCUGAAAUAUAAAAGCGACAUGUAGAUGGAGAAUAACACCGAUACCCCUUUUGGGUUCUAGAAUAGCCCAAAAACACACAUUUGACAACUCGUGCAGACAAUUUAUCGCGACAAGGAGUGAGAUCAUGAACAAAACAUGUAGAGCCGAACACACGUAGUGGGACUCUGUACAAAGGGUCCUUAGGAAAUAAGAGUGAGUGUGGAAUCUCAUUAUCCAAUACUGAGGAUGGCAUAAGGUUUAUCAAAUAACAAAAAGUGAGAAUAGCAUCACCCCAAAAUUUAAAAGGUGCAUGAGCAUUGAUCAAUAAGGUUCGAGCUGUAUCAACUAAAUGACGAUGUUUCCUUUCAGCAACGCCAUUUUGUUGUGGUGUGUGGGGACAACUGGAUUGAUGUAUGAUACCAAGAGAAGCCAUGAAAGAGUUGAAUGGUGCAGAAAAAUAUUCUUUUGCAUUGUCACUCUACAAAAUUCGAAUUAUUUUUCCAAAUUGGUUCUAUAUCUCUGAACAAAAUGUCUGAAAGGCACCAAAUAAUUGUGAACGGUCCUUCAGUAAAGUGAUCCAGGUGCAUCUAGAAAAAUCAUCGAUGAAAGUGACAUAAUAUCUAUAUCCCAAAGUAGACAUCACCCGACUAGGACCCCACACAUCAGAAUGAACAAUAUCAAAGGGAGACUUGGAUCUUUUGUUGGAACUGCUUGGAAAAGAUGCUAUAACAUGCUUGCCAAGUUGACAUGACUCACAAUCCAAUGACUUCAAAUGUGAAAGUUGAGGAACCAACACCUUUAACUUAUCAAAACUAGGAUGACCCAAACGACGAUGAAUAAUAUCCGGAGAUGCAGAAACACCACAAAUAGUGGAUGAUUGACUAUGAAGGUAAUAUAGAUCCUGUUCCAAUUGUCUUUCCUGUAUUACAAUCCUGUAUACAGAAAGACUUGGAAGAAAAUGUUAUGGAACAAUUGAGAGAGUAAGUAAGCUUACUGAUUGAUAUCAAAUUAAAAGGACAACCAGGUACAAAUAACACAUAAUUAAAUGAUAGAGAUGGUAGAGGUGAUGUCUGACCAAUACUAGUAACUUGUGCCUUAGAACCAUUAGCAAGGGUAAUGUUGUGAGGUAUAUUUGGAGGUGACAAGUUAGAGAUUAGAGAGGGAUUACCAACUACAUGAUCGGAAGCACCAGAAUCUAAAAUCCAUGAUCCGAUGUAGUGAGAAAGACAAAGACAAGCCGUAGAAUUACCAAAAAGAGCCAAAAUGGCGAGAUAAAAUCGGUUGGACAACCAUCAUACCACUAAACCAAAAACCUUUGAAUGACGUCCAAAGACAAAUCUGCAGAAACCAAGAUGAAUCACAACAAAAGUGGCAGACUAAAGUGACCAGAGAAUGACCCACGAAGCCUCUAAAAAGUGGGACCCAAGUGUUGUUGAUGGUCCCAAACAACACAGAACAGCAAGGUGAGUAAGAUGAUGACAGUGGCGAUUGAAAGCAACGGGAAGGCAACAUGUCAAUUGACGUUUGAUGGCGGAAAGCAGAUCGGCGCCGUCUGAUUCUAAUUCCAGAGCGCAUGUCUAUGUCGGUGGCUCCGACAACUGUCAGCGGAGGUUGUGCUCUCACAGCUGACUUGAGACCAAACAGUCUAAAAAACUAGGGUUAGCCUUGUCGGCAGAACCCAAAGAAAAACCUAGCUCUAGAUACCAUCUUGAAUAUGAAUAUUUCUCAUUAAUUUUGAAAGGAAUGAAAACCAACUAUUUAUAUACAUGAGAUAUGAUCUAAAUAGGAAUGCAAUCCUAUCAUAACUCCUGAUGAUACUAACAUAUCAUACUAUAUUAAAUAUAAUAAAUAUCAAUAUCUCAACAGUUUUACGUCAGAUACCUGAAAUGAAAUGCAAGAGUCAUUUCACCAAUUUGUAUCUAAUUACCAUAAAAAGGCAACUGAAAAGUAAAAAGGGAAACUGAAAAAGGAGACCUAGAGCAAAAGAAUACCAAAUUUACCUCAAUCGAUAAGGUAGUUUCGUCAUAAUCAACUUUGAUAAGUCCACUGAUCCCCUUCCUUUUCAAAAGGCCGUUAAAUCUGAUCAUGAGGAUAAUUUAAAGUAGUCCAGGUUUAGAGAGAGAAAAAAAAGGACAAAUAAAAUCGUAGCAACAAAAAUAUGUGAAAGGAAUCAUACUUCCAAGAAAGCUGAUGCUUGAGAUUAGUUGCAUUUGUCUGAAAUUUUCUCCUUCGAAACUCUAAAGCAUUAUGGCAAGCCUUCAAUAAACAAUAAAAUCACCUCAAAAUGUUGAAUUUGUAAUUGUGUCUAAAUUUGACCGCUCAUCUCUAUUUAUUUUAAUAUCAAAAUAUAGACUUUGCACUACAAAGCUCUCCCCUCUAAAAACCAACUCGCAAACACACCCUUAUGGGUGAGGCAUUAAUAAUUAAUAAUUCUAAAUGGGAACAUAGUUCAAACAGAAAUGUAUUUCAUUCUACUUGGAAAAUAUUAGGUUGCAAAACAAUAGUGUUAGAAGCAAAUAUCCAACAACAAUUAAUAUUUUUCCUGAACGAACUAGGUGAAAAACUUUAACUUUAUUAAGCACAUGAAUAGUUUUAUAUCUAAUACAGAGCUUCAAGCGGAAGCCAUUCAACUUCAGAUUAAGGGUAGACAAUGGACAAACCCAUAUAACGAAUGAUCCCAAAAACUUACGCUUUUGGGAGAAGGGACCAAGAGUUUUACUACCGAACAAUAUCCAUAAAAAGAGAUUGAUGAUAAGAUAACAAUACCAAAGAAUACAUACAUUCAAUUUCUGUCGAAGGGCUUUGUAAACUUGCUGCCUUUUUAUAAUUUUUCGUUCUUUUUUCGCAUAUAGCAUCCUUAGAUCAUCAAUUGAUUCGGAAUACCUACAGAGGGAAACCAAAAAUAAUGAAAAGCAUCAUUCAAUGUGCAUGAUUAUAGAGAGCGUGUGUGUGAGAGAAAGAGAAGCUUCUUCUAGCAUGUUGUAAUAUGAUAAUGAGAAUCAAUAGUCUAAUGCCGUGCCUUUUGCUCUCACGCCUAAGUGUGUGAUUUAGACUUUCUAUUUCAGCACUGAUUUGCUCUGGGGUUUUCCCAUCACAACCUCCUAGCGAAGCAAGGUCAUCCUGACGGCAAAUUAUGGAAGCCUUUUUAACAUUAUCCUGCAGUUUCAACAAGGUUAGCAUCAGUAACUGUAGUUACUACUAUAUCUUUAAUGAUUUAUAAUGCCUAAGGAGUAAUCUCACAACACAUCAAUUUUAUUUAAAAAGAAAAUCUGGAGUGCAUAGAGACUUGAUGAAGCUCUGCAUAACAGAUUUCUUGCACAGCCAAAUUAAUCAAACAAAAGAGCAAUAAUAAGCAAGAUGAACUGUCAAUUGAGGACAAAACCCAGUUUUUUUUAUGUGCAACAAUGAAUUUGAAUGCCCUGAGGGGAUGAGAUAUACGAGUAAAAUCCAAUUGUAAUGUAAUAAGUCACACAAAUUAGACCAAAAAACAUAAUUGUUGCCUAAGAUUCGGGGUCUAAAUAUACUACCUCAGUCCCAAAUUAUGUCAUUCUAGCAAAAUAUGUUUGUCCCAAAUUAUGUCAUUUUACAAUAUCAAUGAACUAUUAAUGCUUAUUUUCCUAUUAUGCCCCUUACUAUUUAUUACUUGAUCUUUUUCCAAUUCUUUUAUUUUAUGUUUUCCAUAGUCCAUACUUUUAAUGAAGGAUAUUUUUGUAAAAUAACUCAUAAUUUCUCUUUUUAUACAACAUUAAUGAAGAAGUGGAUGUAUUUGAUCCGAUGGCCGUUAAGGAAGCAGAAGCCCUAAUUCUGGCUAAGGAAUUAAGGCCUCAAAAAUAAUGCAAGAAACCCUUAAAGUAUAUUGCCUCCUUCAAUACGACACAAACACACAGAAACCAUUAUUUGAAUAUUUUAAAGAAUCACUAACUAAGUUUAUGGUCGAGCUCAUUAACCAUUAUUCACGUUAUAUCACAAUGCAAUGAGGGACUCUCAACCAAAGUAAUCAAAACCACACCGGUGACUUUGAACGGUUCAAUUAAACCUAUUAACCACCCUACGUGAAACUGGCCAAAAACAAAAUGUGCUAGUAAACGACGUCGUUUUUUGGCAUAUAGGAUAAACUUUUAUUCGCUUUUAUGUAAGUUGGUAGGUAAAUCGAACACUAAACAAAAUUGAAAUUUAGUGUGUACAUUAACAUUAUUAUGGGAGUACUUGUAUAGCAGUAUUGGCGGUUAUUUAAUAUUUAUGACAUAUUUGAUUUGGUUUAAUGUGUAAUUAUGCAUGUUAUUAUGUUGACUUGUGAUAUUUUUAAGUGGGGUUUAAUUUUUAAUGGUUUCAAGUUAUGAAUAUUAUGUUAUUUUUUGUUUAUUAUUUAUUUAUAUAUUAUAUUUGAAAAAUUAAAAAAUUUAAUUAAUUAUCAGAGCCUUGAACUGCACCAGUUCAAUGGUCGGUCUGGUUUAGCAUUUGCCUACAACAAAAAAAGUGGCAAUGAUAAUAUAAUCUACCAAUUUAGACGACUAAUAUAAAUCAAAUUGCACCUCACGGCUUUUUGUAAGCUCCAGAUAGUGUUCCUCUGCCUCCUUAAUAUCAUGUAGGACAUUUGUUUUCAUGAAAUUUUCAUAAUGAUCCUUCGCCUGUAAUUUUUUAAUAAAGUUAUUAUUUAACUAACAAUAGAAACUAUCAGACUGCACAAGAAUAAAGGAUACCUCCGUCGCUGCAUCUAUUUGUCUCUCAAUCUCUAUAAGUUCAUUCUCAGAUUUCUCAAGGGAAGCAAGUUCAGUGUUCGCAGAUUCUACAUUUUCAGGGUACACAAAAUUAUGCACUAUGCAACAUUUCUACAGUUAAAUGCAAACUCAGAAAUAACUAGUAAUGCACCAUACCACACAGUUCGUCAAAUUUUACUUUCAGAUCAUCUGCUUUUCCCUCUGCUUCAUACCUCCUCUGCUCAAGGCCUUCUAACAACACCUGCUCUUCUUUCAUUUUUUGGUUUAUUUCCUAGCAUUCAAUUCGAAUAAUAUAUGGAUUAAACUUUGGGUGAAAAACAGAACACACUAUGCAUUAUGGACCGGUCUACCAACAACAUCAACAAGCCUUAUUCCACUAAGUGGGGUCCGCAGGGGACCAGUCUACCAUGCGUUCGAAAGUAUAAGGCAAGUAUAAAUCUCAGAAGCAAGACGCUUGCUUUGGACAAAAUUGGAAUUCUAGAAGUGUAUAUAUUUGUUUGAUUAUGAUUUCACUAAAUAUUUACCUGCUUUAUAACUUCGACUUUUUUCACAACAGUGUAAUCCGUUUAAUACCCGUAAUACUUUAUAUAUUAACCAAGAUUUUCACAUGCUUCAACAAUUAGAGCGAAAUUCAAAAGUAACUGCACGAAUUCACUCUACAAUUCAUUUGCCCAUACUGAAUGAUCCAAUUAUUUUAAACACAAUAUAACAAAAUUGGUUAUAUGAUAAAUAAACAAAGGCUUUGAUGCAAAGUUGUUAGGUUUUUUUCCUUUAUGCUCCUCUACUUUUUCUUAUUUCCUUCCACUAGCCGUGUAGGGAAAAAGGCAUAUGCCUACUAAAAGUUGAAUUCCAUAAAACCAAGCCCCCGCACCCUCAAACAAACAAGCAGAAUACUAUUAGAGUGAAUGAUUGUGCGUUGAGCCUUCAGUUGUUAACAAAACUGCUUAUAACAAGUAAUGUGUUGUUGGAGAAUAGAUGAUAGAGAACAUACUGAAAUUUCUUCAACAAUCUCAUCAACCGAGGACAAAGGUGCCGAGCUACUUUCAGUCGCUUGUUGACGCAUUUCAUCCUCCAAAGUUAGCUUCUUAGAAGCAACAUCUUUUCCAGCAUGUAAACACAAUCUCUAAAAGAAAAAGAAAAAAACAAAAUGUAACAGAUGCACUACACAUCAAUAAAUAUGGGAUAUAUGAAAAUACAAUAACUUAGUGAUUCUUUUCUUCAUGCAUGAAACAUAUACUUUUAUUUACUCCUCUUUAGAAUAUUUUUAAUAUCACUUACAAGGAAAAUUUUAAGGUCAUCCCAAUAUAUGUUCUUUUUAAGCUUGUGGCAAUCAUGGUUUUUGAGUUUAUGUGGAGAGUAGCACGAGGUCUAUUGCUGAAGGCUUUCCUAUUUAUAGGUUUUCAGGCACUCAAGAGCUCCACAGAAGUUAUUUAUUUAUUUAUAAAUUUAACGAGGAAAACAGAAGAGAAGUAGAUGGGAUCAUAAGUAGAAUUAGACUUCUACAAAUGUAAGGUAAAACUAACAGAGCAGACACCUAACUUUCCUUUCAAACUGUACUUUAGCUUCAGUUUUUGUUGUACCAAGUCAGCACUAGUAUACUGAAUAUUUUUUUCCUACUGAAUUAUGCGCUGUAAAUUUUUACCAAUGCUCUUCGUUUUAGUUGAUUUCCCCCCUAAAUGUUAGUAUUAUAAUUACAUAGGUAUAAUAUAAUAACAUUUAUAUUUUAUUAGUUUGUCAAACAGAUGCAAUACGGAAACUACAAUUAAGUUGACUAGUAUGAAUAAUGAACAAAGGUAUAGUUAUUCAAGUUCCCAGUGAGUAAAAUUGUGAGCAUAAAGUAGCUAUCAACAUAGCUAUGUAUUCAUGUAAGGAAUUUUGUUUAAAACAAGGGUAUGGGGAUGAUUCGUAUUUGUGCCAUUGUGAAGCCAAAAAGGCUUCAUUUUUUAUUAUCGCGAUGGUAAUUAGGUGCAAUUCGCCACUUCUUUUCAUGAAAACAAACAACAAAUAUUAGUUGUAUAGAACAGUUAUGUUUCAUCCUAACAGUUGUUAACAACUGAUAAUUCAACUUACAUUAGAUAGGCCAAGAGGGCACAAAAAAUCAUGCACGCAGUACAAUAUAGAUAAAUUUUUUAUAAAGUUUUUUGAAAAAUGCAAAUCACAUAACAUACCAAUGGUCUAUAAUCUAAACAAGAGUUUACCUUUAUAGGAUUCAUCUUCUUGUACAGAUCCUCAAGUUUGACCUCUGCCUUUCUUUUAUCACUUCUAUAGUCAUUUGCUGUUUUUUGUUCAUUCGAUGCAUCAUUACUAAGUUUCUCAAUGUCGGCUUCAACAGAACUACUUAGACGACCAUAUAAUUGAUUCCUCCUUGGAGGAAGAAUUGUCUCUACCGAACCUCGAGAAAACCUAGAAACAGCUUAGAUUAGAAAACAUAGUUCCUACAUUAUGAUUGGAAAUGCAUAAAUAUAUAUCUAACAGUUUUCCACGGUUUGAGGCUCUGUUCCAUACAAAAAUUUUGCAGUGAAUCAACAAAAGCAGCAGGAAGUAGGAUGCAUGCUAAUAAUACAUUAAACAUUGAAAGAAAAUGUUGCAUACGCUCAAAAAAGGCAUUGCACUUCAACAUGAUAAAAAUACAAGGAUUUUAGCACUUAUCCUAGUUACUGUUUAUUACACAAUUACACCAUUUACAAUACUUCUAAGUUUAGAGUGUGGCCCUCAACUCAAUUAUGGGUAUCACCCAUCAUGAGAUUCCUAGGAGUAUAAGAGUAUCUUCACUCAGUUUUUUAUUUGCCUUACGCACCCUACUACACCUAACUACUGCCUUUCUAAUUUUUGUGCUGUAACUAACUGAACUGCAUUUGAUUUGAUUACAUAUUUCUGUUAUGACAACUCUCACUGUCUGAAGGCUAUAUAUAUAUAGCUAAUAGCUGCCUUUUAUAAAAUUUGGUGUUUGUUUUUUCUUAUUGUGUUUAAUUUUUCUAAAUUCUCUGAAUCCAAUAAUUAUGCUAUUUUGUUUUUGCUUUAUCUGGCUUUCAAAGUUUCUUUAGAUAGCCUACGCUGAUGUUUUGAUCCCGAUUUUACGAGAUCGUGUUCUCUUGCUUCUUAAUGCGCCGUUGAGUCACAAAUUGGGUAGUGAUAUACUGAUGUGGUCAAAAAUGUGUUCAAAAGCAGUAGACAUCUCUCAUGCUUCAAGUUGAGUUAAGUUCAACCAAAAUUCUAAUAUGGGUCACACGUCAUUGGGUGUGUGAGUCCCACUUUGAAAGAAAUUGGAACCCCGGCCUCUUUCCCACUUUGUGAAAUAGCUAUUUUGUCAUCUAUAUAUUUAUAUGUUCAAAUUAGCCAUGUAUUUCACUCAAAAGUGUGGCACUUUAUAUAUCCAUAAUAAUAUUACAUUUUACAUUUACAAAAGAAGCACACGCAAGACACAUGGAACGCAAAGUCAACUAGCAUUGACUUACAUUUUAUAUCCCUCCACAGUAAAGACCUCCUUCAGAUUUUGGAUCCUUUUCUCAAAGGCAAUCACUUUCCCAAUACCAUAGUCGUUAACAAGCACUUGCCUCUCAACAUUUCCCUAGACAGCAACAAAUACAUUAGAAAUGUUAACAAAAGACUAGAAACUUGCAAAUAUUCCUAUUUUAAUAAGUUCUAAAAGAUUUCCCUAAACCAAACCCAUGGUACAAAUGCCAUGGGCAGCACAUAAAAUACAUGCCAAAAGCUUAAUGUGAUCUCAAAGGAGCUUUUCAUCCAAAGAAAUAUCCUUAAAGAUGCGAGACAUUCCACUCACAUACAAAACAAAGAAAGGAAAAGUAAUUGCCAUAAAAAUUUGUCUUCUUUUUCUUCUCCCAAAUCUUGUAAAGCUAGUCAGUAGACAUGGAAACAAGGACAUUGGGAAAAUUCAAUACAACCAUAAAUGUCAAAGAAAAAAUUCAAAAAAGCAACAACUGUAGAACGGUUUAAGAAGUAAGAACAAAUGGGGCUGAGUUUAAAUUAAUUUUUUUAAUUUUAAAAUAAUUUAUAUUAACAGAGAUUGAUGAAGAACUACAAAAUAAAAUAACUUCAUGUUAUGAAAGGAGUGUUAACUAAAAGAGAUUAACAGGAAAACCAAAAGAAGAUAUCCUACAAGCCCCAAAGCAGCAUAUGGUAAAGAGUGUAAAAAGAACAAAAAUAUAAAAGAACAAGUGAUCUCAAAAGCCCAUGUAUAUAUUUCAAUAAAGCAAUAAAAAAAAACUUGAAUAAGGAUAUUGACUGCAGUAUAAGCAAUAAUAACAAUCACCUGAUCCACUAAGACAUUAAGCACGGUGUCAUUCUCGCAUUGUAAGAUGGAAAGAAUUGAUGGAUGGUUUGUAUUAGGACGCAUGCGCUCUGGUAUCAUCAACCUAAGCAGAGGGAAAAUAAUUUGAUCACGAUUAGACACAAGAUCUUAAAAUAGAUAAAAGACAUUACAAAAGAGGAGGUUACAGGCAGACAGAUAUGGACCUAAAAAUAUACCUUGGGGUUGAAAAAUCAUAAAUAAUAAUUUUAAGUUGACCAUAGUCUGCUUCCUUUGCACAUUGUUUCAGAAGUCGGAAAUCCUUGUGAUCAGUCACUAUAAAAGAAUUGAACAAUCUCCCAAUGGCAUAUUCAACAGCAACCGCCCAUUUAUUACCAUUAUGCAACUUCUGUUAAACCAUAAAAAGCAAUCCCAAGUAUUAAUAAACUCGCAAGAAAAUUAAUUAACAUUUAAUCACUCAUUUAUUAAAUCUAGCAACUUUGCUUCCAAAAAUAAAUCUAGCAACUUCUAUGCAAUUAAAUCAUAAAAAAAAUACCAAAUAAUAGUAGUAACUCAGUAUGGACUUUAAUUGAUUAACCUCCUUGGAAAGUUUAAAAAAUAAUGAAGCUAGAAAUUGAACUUGGAAAUGGCAAUAGACCAAUGCAUAAAUUAGGGGCAGAAAGUGUUAAGCAUGGAGCAGUCCACACUUUUAUACAGUUUAAUAAACGUGGUCCAUGAAGAGAGUUUAACAAAAACAAUUUUCAGAAUAGAGCCUUCAAUAUAUGAUCAUCUAACAAAUAAACCCCUCAUAAGAAUGAUAAACCAUCUUAAUUCCAAUAUAAUUCACUGGAUAAAACUGCCCACCAAUGAAAUUAAGAUUAUAAAAAUAUAUAUCAACAUAUUCAUCCAUGAACAGAUACUCCAUUAGAUUUAACUCCUCAAAUACAAGAAUGACUGAUGAAAAGAUACGAAGAGAAAGCAACGUGUAAAAUAUAACAUGAAGGCAUCAAAGACUAUACCAGAUGGGCCCCAAUUGGACCAAUGGGAGGCAUCCUAAACCUUUGAUGACAUCUCUCAAUUAUACGUAACAGACUCAGCACUUUAUUUCCUCCAAAAGCAGUGAUCUGCUUCCCGUGUAAGAUUAGCAAAGUCAUUCAUGGAACAAAGCAAAAUGAAUAACAUAAAAACGAAAAAUUGCAUACCUUGUUGCUUUGUUGUCGUUGAAGAUCACGAACAUUAUGCAUGAUACCAUUAUAUUUACUUUCAUGAUCUUGGAUCUAGCAAAAGCAAUGAAAAAACAUACCCUUAAAAUUCAUAUUUUGCUACUAGAUAGGGGUGCAGCUUACAAAAGACAUACCCUUGUAUGAACAAAGCUUGAAAAAACAUAACAAUUCUCAAGACUUCAUCGAAGUAACCAAACCAUGAAUCAAUAUUUUCUUAAUCAAAGAGAGAAAGGGAUUGUGAACAACUAAUAUAGCUUUAAAACCAAUGACACAACAACAAAUGCCAAUUAGAAACUGUUGUCACACCUUAGCAGCAAUACUGCUUAUUUCUUCCUUUUGCUUAUCAAUGUUGGUCAUUAAUAUAUCCUCUUCUUUUUUCAAUCUAGAAAAAAAAAGCGAUAUUAGGAAGUGGAAGUUCAUAACAUCCAGGUAAAACACUGAUAUAAAAAGCCACACAAAUAAAAUCAAAACCUUUUCAAUUCAAACUCAGCUGCAUCAACCUCCUCUCGAAGCCCCUUCAGUUUUUCCUCCAUGUCAGAUUCUUCGGCCUGCGUUGUUGUGAAAAUUGUGAGCAUAAAAGCUUUUGCAUAAAAAAUUAAUGGAACAGUCAUCAUAUAUUAUCCAUUUGAAUCUGAUGAUAAAGCAAAUCAAAAGUCAUAACCAGACUACACCGAGAAGAAGUAAUCAUUUUACGUCAUGGCUAUGAAAACAAAGAAAAUUGAGGGAAAUAGUGCGACAAAUGGGUUGUUUAAUUGAAAAUGGAAUAUAUAAUAUAGGGUUAAUUAAGUUUUUGGUCCCUAUAAAUAUCUUCAGUUUUGUUUUUAGUCCCUAUAAAAAUAAAUCACACUUUUUAGUCCCUACAAAAUUUUCCGUUAGUGUUUUUAGUCCCUGUUAAAUUAAAAUUUGUUUAAUUAUGCUUAAAAUUUUAAAUUUUUUAAUGAUUUUUUACAUACUUGUUUAAAACAUUAUAAAAGGUUCCGCCACAAUAAAUUAGCCCAAAAUUUUAUUUUUAGGUCCAAAUUUUCGUUAGUUUUAUCUUGAAUUUUUGGCGUUUUAAAAAAAUUAUAUUUAAUUCAUUACAUGUUAAAAAAUUCUAAUUUUUUAUAAAAGAGAUUAUUAUAAUGUUCUUAAUAUGUCUAUUAAAAAUCAUUUAAAAAUAUAAAAGUUUAAGUAUAAUUAAACAAAUUUCAAUUUAAUAGGGACCAACACAUACUUUUAGUCCUUGUAAAAUUAAAAUUUGCUUAAUUGUGCUUAAACUUUUAAAUUUGUAACAUAUUUUUCACAUACUUACUUAGAAUAUUAUACAAAGUUCCUCCGCAAAAAAGUAACUUAAAAUUUUAUUAUUAGAUCCAAAUUUUCAUUAAUAUAAUCUUGAAAUUUUGGCUUUUAGAAAAAUUCAUAUUUAAUUCAUUACAUGUUAAAAAAUUAAUUUUUUUUUAUAAAAGAGUGUCUUACGAUGUUAUGAACAUGUAUGUAAAAAAUCUUUCAAAAAUUUAGAAGUUUAAGCAUAAUUAAACAAAUUUUAAUUUAACAGGGACUAAAAACACUAACAGAAAAUUUUGUAGGGACUAAAAAGUGUGAUUUAUUUUUAUAGGGACUAAAAACAAAACUGCAGACAUUUAUAGGGACCAAAAACUUAAUUAACCCUAUAAUAUAUUACUAUAUUGUAAUAUAAGCUACCCAUCGCAAUUUUUCUAUAUUAUCUGAACCAAAAAUACGGCCUAGUUUUUCAUUGAUCUUAACUAAUUUGCGACAGACCACUUUCCACAAGCAUACUGAUGAUCAUUAUAUGAACCACGUGCAUUAGUAAAUCUUAGGGGUGUGGUUCUUGUUUUUUUUUUUGGUCAAGGAAACGUGUGGUUUUUAUUGCAAGGAAAAGAGAGAAAAUUUUAAAUAGAAUUUUUUGAAAAAUCAGAUUUGAAGACAACCUCCAACAAUCCGCAACAUAUUUUUUCUUAAUAUCCUUUUUCACUCACACAGCCUUACUUAUUUAAUCCCAUGCCAAUGAUGCCAUUAGACACAAAUAUUUGUGAUUUUGUAUGACCUGAAAAUCUGGCUUCUAUAUUUAGAGGGAGCACUCAAGGAAUUUAUUACAGAUAGAGAUUAGUGAAGCAAUUAAAGAAAACUGAAAAGGUGUGCUGCUGUGCUGUAAUUCUUAACAAUAAGUCAAAGAGGAUGAUACAUAACUAAUAACAGUUUCCCAUAUAAUAUUUUUUUUUCCGAUUAUACACUCAGUGUGUCACUCUCAAGUCAUUAUAUUCUGCUUGCAUUUAUGAUAAUGGUGAACACUUCAAUGUUCAAUAAGGAUAAUUUAGUAAAAUAAUUAAUCUUUCAUCUAAGAUUAUUUCUUAAUAUGUGUAAAAUCAACAAAUGUGACACUCAUUGUGGAACAGAUGUAUAAUUAGAGGAGAAAUAAGGACGAAAUCAGAGGGCAUUCUGUAUAUUUGAUGUUGUGAGAGAAAGGGCACGUACUUUGUGUAGGGAAAACCCAUGGGGGACUUCUAUGACUAUCUUUUGUUCAAUUCUCAAUAAUAUAUUGCUAUUAGUUUGUUUCCUUCUGUCUUUCCUUUUAUUAUAUAUUAUAUAUAUGAUAGGAACCCAAAAUCAAAUAAGGAUGCUUUAAUGGAAAUAAAAGAAAACAAUGGAUAAAUAAUGACAUUUUACUGAUUGAUAAUGGAAUAGAAUGAAAGUAGUAGUAGAGGGUUUCUCUAACUACUCCCAGAGCAAAGCUCCGACACAACUCAGAGAGGAAUCCUACUCUGGCCCUAAACCGAAAACCUAAUCUGUCAUACUCCAAAACUCAUAAGAACUCCCCUUUAUAUACAAAUAAAGAGAACAUUCUAGUAUAUAACCCUAAUGGGCCUCUUAUCAUUUAAUCCUAAUGGGCCACUUAUUAAUAAUCUACUUAAACCUAAUUAACUGCUUACUGAUUACUUAAAAUACCUCACUAGUAAACUUAGUCACUAGUCUUCUUAGCCUUCCUUUCAUAAACACUUCAUAUUUGGGGUUUGCCUAUAAUACCCUUAUCAUUAGUUGCCUUCUCAUGUGGAAUCCUACCAAUAUAUUACAAAGUUAAAACGAAUUAAUGCUCCAAUUUCCGGUUAGCUUAGAUUCAUUGUAUAGAAAUUAGAACAGGUUUGGUAUAUCUUAGGAAGUAAUUCUUGCUUAAUUGCUUUCUUGUAAACAGCAUUUGUCAUUCGUUAUCAUUGUAAUUUCAAUGUACAUAAAUUAAGCAAAGUAUAAAUGCUGAGCAACUUAAGCACAUUCAGAAAAACUCUUCUGAUUUUUCACAUAUAUAUCUUUAAAUUUGGACUUAGGUAUUUGAGUUGUAUUUAAAUUGGGAAAAUUUAUCUUUAUAAAAUUGAAUUCUGAGAGGGUUUUCUCAAGCAACUCAAGUGGCUGGAUGAUAACAUAUCCUCAAACAAGACAAAAGAAAAGGAAUGAGAACAUAAAACAAAGAAAAUUGUAAAACUGAGCAAAAUCACCAUACAGAAAAUAUACUGGCAGAGAAAUGGAGAAAGGAAAAAGAACCAUUAUCUAAAUGUGUCCAUAAUAGGGACUAGUCAAACCUGGGUAUUUUUCACAUGCUGCUCAUGAAUACCCUGCAUUUGUAGUUCAAGCUUUUUGACCUGUUGUACCAUCUUCUGUACAUUACUAGCUUUGCAUUUGCAGUCUCGCUGAAGUUCAAAUGCUUCUUUUUUUGCCUUCAUUUUUUUACAGGUGGGGGAAGCAUUAGCAACCAAAACAACAAAUAUUUGUAAUGAAAAUCAAAAGCAUAAUAACAAAAAUGAUUAAAUAUGUCUUUAGUUCCUAUAAAUCAUCACCUUUCAAGUUCAGUCGCCAAAUAAACAACAAUCAUAAUAAAAACCGGUAAAGCUGAGAAUUCAAAAGAUUUUCCCAAUUGCAAUAUUGUUCAAAAGCAUUUAGCAAUUGGGGGGGGGGGGGGGGGGGGACGCCUCCAACAUACCGAUGACAAAGAGUGACUUAAACUUUCCUUCAUUUGCUUAACUUGUGAUGUCAUCAUACUUUUAAUUUCAGCUUUCUUCCUAGAGUAGCUUUCGCUUAAUUUUUCAAGCUGAUGCUGCAAUGAAAUAAGAGUCCAAAUUUUAACUCUACAGAAUAUACUAUAAGCAGAAAAGAAAGAGUAAAGAUGUCAAUGACAGAUAAAGAUGUUAAGAGUCUGCAUACUAUAAGCAGAAAAGAAAGAGUAAAGAUGUCAAUGACAGAUAAAGAUGUUAGAGUCUGCAUAUAAUAGGCAAUCUAUUGCAGAAAUGAACAAAUAAAGCAUCUUCAAGCCAAGCACAUGCAAUAACAAUGUAAGCAGAAAGCUCUACAACACUGACCACUGUUUUUCAGUAACAGAAUAAUGUUCUAUAUCAAUUGAAAGACCAAGAGCAAUGCAGAUUGGAUGUGAACCUCCUCCAUCCACAAACCGUGUGAUGUGUCAUACAGACAAACAAUUAGACUAUUAAAGUUGACAUUACUUCGAGUUAAAACACCGGCCAGUUUCUCAAAACCCCAGAUCUAGUUACUUUAACAAAAUGUUUUCUGUUUUCUUUUAAUUAAAAAUAAUCGUGUUUGCAAUUUCUUUUCUGUUUUUAAAUUUUUACAAGAAAGACUGAAACAAAAAAGGCUAAAUUACACCCGAGGUCCUUUAAGUUAGUUAAUUAUAACAUGCUGGUCCUUUAAGUUUUUUUCGUUCGACUUGUUAUUUAAUUGUAACAAGUUAGUCCUUUAAGUAUUUUUCGUAACACUUAGGUCCUUUAAGUUAUUUAAUUGUAACUUUUAGGUCCCAAAUAACUUACAUUUUUAAGAUCUGAAAUCCCCCAAAUUGCUACGGUUAAAUAACUUAGGGUUAAUUAAGUUUUUAGUCCCUAUAAAUAUUCACAGUUUUGUUUUUAGUCCCUACAAAAUAAAAUCACGUUUUUUAGUCCCUGCGACAUUUUCCUUAAGCAUUUUAGGGACCAAAAAUGUUGAUGAAAUUUUUUUAUAGGGACUAAAAAUGCUGAUGUAAAAUUUUAUAGGGACUAAAAAGUGAGAUUUAUUUUUAUAGGGACUAAAAACAAAACUGCAGAUAUUUAUAGGGACCCAAAAUUUAAUUAACCCAAUAACUUAAAUGACCUAAUUGAUACAGAAAAAACUUAAAGGAUCAACUUGUUAUAAUUAAUUAACUUAAAAGACCUAAGUGGUACGGAAAAAAACUUUAAGGACCAAUUUGUUACAAUUAAAUAAUUUAAAGACCUCUGGUGUAAUUUAGCCAACAAAAAAAGAUGGUGAGAGUUUUGUAAUUAAAAGUAUGAAUAGAAAACGAAAACAGGAAAUGUUUUCUCAGAAGUAAACGGGACCUUGUUUCACUAAAAAAAUUAUCAUGAAAUACGACAGAAACAUGCUCAAGGAAAUAAAAACAUAUUGCCCAAAGAUAGAUCAUAAUAGCUUAGAUCAUUGCUAAAAAUGCUAAUGCAAGCAAAUAUGUCAUUGAAGAUGGAUCUUUCAUGAAGAACUAAUACUUCAGGCAUCAUCAUAACAAGUUUGACCAAAAUUGCACAUCAAUAUUAUUAACUAAUAAUUAUUACAGCAAGAAAAGUGCAAUGGUGUUAUUAACUACUUUUCUAGAAAAGAAAUAAAUUUUACAUGAGAACGGAUAAUAAUGUUUCAUCAGAAAGAAAAUCAAAAAAACAAAAUCCUUUUAAAUGACCAUAAGUAGAGCCCCAUAGGAAAGUCAUGUAAACAAAGUUCUAUUGGGUUAAGAGCACAUUAAGGAACUUGAUAUCCUCAAAGUUCACAGAGAACUUCAUACUGUGUUGACAAAUGAAAACUUCGCUAUGAAAAGAUAAUGUAGGCAUACAUACCAGUUGUUUAUCUAUCCUAGCUUGGCAUAUAGGAACCCGACUCUUCAGCUUUUCAAUCCUUACUCUUUGAUCCUCAAGUUUCUUGUCCACAUCAUAAACCCAUGACCAUGCAAGUUUCUUUUUUAACUGCUGAACCUCUACAGCAAUUCGUUCAACAUGUUCCAUCAUUUUAAUUUUGGCAUCCAGCUCAUUGAGUUCUUUCUCUAUAGGUCUUAUUGCAGCCUCUAAAUCUUCAACUAUUACACGUGCCUUAGUUAUUUCAGCCGAAAUGCUUUCAAGAAGUUCAUUGACUUGCUGAAGAAGUGUGGCCUUGUAAAAGAACUGUUUAAUUAAGUGUUAGCAGAGCUUCUGAAAAAGCUUUUUCAAAAACAGAAUACAUAAACAUGAAGAGAUCACCUUAAAUUUAUCUUUGUUAUUCCCAGAAUGCAAAAAUUCUCUGCUUUUAUCUUGACUCAUAAUCACACACGGGUUCUCCACAUCAAUCUGCAGAACAAAAAGAUUUAAAAAGAGGUGCAAUACCAAAAAAAAAAAACACUGGAAAAGAAAUAAAAAGCCUUUCCAAAGAUUUUGGUUAUUAGGUGAACAAAGUGAUAGAAAACCUUGCAUGUUAAUUAUACAUACACAACAGGGGCCUUCCCAACUCCUCGGCAGAAUUAUUAAUCAUUAACUAGUCACAUGUUCAAUAGUUCUUCUGGUAAAGAAGGGAUGGAAACCUGGCAUGCCAGUACUAAUAAUUUUUACUAUGUUCAGAAGUUACCAAGAAGCAAAGUAGAGCAACAAUUUCCAAAUUACAAAAGCAAUGAUGUAGGAUAGAGAAAACCUACGUUGAAAUGUUCGACGAUUUCUUGUAGAUCUGCUUUUCGACUGAAAACUUUCUUCCCUGUCAUCAAACUCAUAUAUAGAAUAUAAAAGUGUGUAAAACACCUUGGCAAUCAUUUGUAGACAGUAUUCUGAGGGUUGUUAAAUUACUCUAAUAUUUAAUUUAGAAACACAAUUGUAUUGAACACAUCGAUAUUGACUUCUCUGUGUUUCAACGUGUUUCACUCCAAUUACAAGAAAUAUCUAUUUUUGAACCCCUUUAAACCUACUCAGCUUGACAUUCACUCACUAUAAACUACUGCCCCCCAGUUGAAGUCUUUUUAUUUGCACAAUGAAAUCUCAGACUUUUGUCAUUUACCCGGUGUUGUUAACUUGAUAUUCACUCACUAUAAUUUGAGCCACCUACCUUGCACUAAUUCAUCUAAAAGAAUAAAGACAGCAAGUAUCAAACUCUAGGCCAUUUGAUUAUAAAGAUUCUGAUAAGAUGUCAUGAACUAACUGUCCUAAAUGCCAAAUGUAGAGAAAUAACAUUUUAACUUUCCCAUUGUUUCUUUGACAAAAAAAAAAAAAAAACUUCGCCAUUGCUUCAAUAAGGCCAACCAAUGACAUAUAUCUCAUGAAACUUAAUCUGUUGUUAUAAAAAAACAUAAAUAUGAACAGCUUAAUACUGAAAAUAAUUACAAACACAAGAAAACGCACCUUGUUGAUCUUUCAAUGUAAUAGAGCUUGAGGAUUCAGAUAUCCUACGUUCUACAAUGAUAACAUCACCAUAUAUUUCAGGCUUGAAAGCAUCCUCUCCCUCAUUUUGAAUUUCAACAUGGAUGACAGCAUUACUGUAGAAAGACAAUAGAAUAAAGAACUGGGUAAAAAUGUUAUGUUUGUCAUUUAGAUUACAAAUUCUACCGGAAAUUGUAUAUUAGCUUCUUUCUUACAAUUUAAAAAGAAUGGUAGUAACUAGUCUUGGCAAAGGACGUGACAAGAAAACAAGGUAUCUUGAUUCAUCCAUAAAAAUUUUAUCGUCUUACCAAGGAGAAAUUCCUUCUUGAAACAACUAUUCGUUUGAAACCCCACCAGUCAAACAAAGGCAGGGAGAGAGAGAGAGAGAGAGCUAAUGGCAUUUACCUAGAACCAGUUUUAAUGAAAUCCUUCAAAGUAGAUGCUCUUUGCGUGCCUUUAGCUCGACAACCAAAUGCAACACACAAUGCAGUAAGUAUUGCACUUUUACCACCUAUAAAUGACAGAGACAAACGAAAAUAUGGAAUCAUUAGAAAACAAUUAUUACGAAAAAAAUAGCUCGUCCAAAACACUGAUCUGAAUGAAAUUUAAAAGAUCAUAACUCCCAACAGGUCAACACAGGCCCAUUGUAAAACACUUAUUCCAACGGUUGCUUGCUUAAGUGGGUCCCUCUGUGGAAAAUUGUUUUAAUCAGCUUACUUUGUAUACAACGUAUAAGAACUCCAACAAAUUUCACCUUGGGUUGCUUAAGCAGGCUUUACUGCCAAUUCAACUUUCACAAAAUUACUUUUAAAUCCUAACUAAUGCUAAGAACGGGUUGGCUCUAUAAGAACCCAAUCUCCACCAUGUUAUCAGUGUAAAGCAUUCCAAUUAUGAACCUAGUAAAAACAUUAUGUAUGUUUUGAUGGAGGAUUUUUUAGGGCAGGGGAGGGCUUAUUUUUCUUUUCUAAAUUAAGAAAGCUAUAAUUUGCUUUUAAAAAUGAAUUUGGUAUGAUUUGAAUUGUUAUAGGAUCAUCUAUCACAUUGUGCUUUCAGUUUUUUAAAAACUCAAAUUAAAUACCAAAAUCUAUAUAUAUUCUCCCGUACAAAUCAUUCCAUCCAAACAUAAUACCCUUGAGAAAAACUCUAUAAUAUCGGUACAAACAUCAAUAUGAGAUCGGUACAAACAUGGAACAAAGGGUGUGUUUGUUUCAGCUUUACAAAAAAUAGAUUUUGUGUUAAAAAAUCUAGAGAUUAUUUUUUAGAGAUUUAAAAAAAAUAAUCUGAAGUUAUGCCUACUACUUAUAAAAAUCCAUUAUUUUUUUAAAUGAGUUUUAACUUGUACAUUUGUUACCUCCUUGUUUUUGAAAAAAAUAGAUUUUGAGAAAAGCUAAUCCAAAUAGCUUUUCAUUUUAGGGUCAAAAUAGAUUUUUUUUAAUAAAAUGAUUUUUCUAAGAAUCCUAAACAAACACUUAAAAAUGGAAAAAGUGGUGUUUUUAAGAAUCUGAAACAAACGGGUUUAAAUUAUCAUAAUUUCAAAAACAAUAAACCCCUAUUUUGAUGAACAGCCUAAUUAGCGGAUUAAAGCAUAGGAAAUUAUCAUGAUAAUCGUUAUGUAUAAGGCUGGGCUAUUUCAUAUAAGCUAUAAGUUGUUUUAGAGCUUAUGAAAAUAAGUUGAAAACAAAUGAACAUAUCAUAACUCAUAAGCUAUUUUCAUAAGUUGACUCAAACAGUCUCACAAGUACUUAUGUCAGUAGAUAAACUCGAAUAAAUCAAUAGAAACAAACCCUAAAUAGUAAAAACCGAAAAAUAAACAAAUAAAUGAUAAAGUGAAUGAGAUUAAUGAGGAAAAAGAGAUUAUACUUCCAUUUUGGCCAGUGAUGAGAUUAACGUUGCUUCCGAAUUGAGUUUCGUGAUUCGAAUGGCACAUAAAAUUCUCUAACCGAAGUUUUUUGAUGAUUCCUGCUUCCAGAGAUGGCGAAACCCUUGAAGAACUAGACUCGUAUGUGCUUCUCGCACGCUUCAUUCUGAAAUGUUCCUUUCGGAGUGAACUCGAUGAAAAAAGGGUGAAGUUGAAAUGAUGCGUUUUGCGAAGGUGCUAAAAUAAAAACUGCAGCGAGUAGUGAAGGAAAAGUGGAAAAAAUGGAAGCGUGUGGGAGAAGAUGAAGUAGGGUUUGCGCGCCAAAUACAUAGAUACCCGAGUUAAGUUUUUUGUUCGGGGGUUAAAUGGUGUUUUCCAUGAAUAAAUAUUUUUGAGUAAAUAGGCAAUUACCCUGAAAUUGUAAGUUUCGUCAAUUAUCUUUCUGAAAUUAACAAAACUUUAAUUACCCUCUGAAAUUGCACAUCGUUAAUCAAUUUACCCCUUCUGUCAAAUUUUUCUGUUAGUCAACAUGACGUUUUGCAAAUACCCCCUAAAGUUUUGCAAUUAUGUGCAAAAUGCCCCCGAACUUGAAAAUUUAUAUUUUUUCUGGACUUGUUGGAAGUGAUUACAUUGUUUUUUUGGCAUGAAUAAUUCUUGGAAAUGGAUUCUUUGAUCCUUCAAGGAUGUCUUUUUGGGUGACUGCACAAUAGCAAUGUUGCUGAUAUAUGUGAGCCAAGGAUGCAUUCUUUUAAAGUUACUUGAAUGAGGCUACUAUGUUGAUAGAAACUCUCUUAAGUUGAAGAUUUGGAUUAUUUAUUAUUCAUGAGUACUGCUUUUAGAGAAAGCAAUUUAAGUUCUUUAUUUAUGGUUGACAAUUAACUACUGCAUGAUUUUAAUAUUUUUAGUUUAGAUUUUCUUUAACAAAAGAUAAGAUGUUAUUUUAUUAACUAAAGAGAGAUAUUUUUCCAAUAUAGAAAAGGAAAGAUUUUAUUAAGAACACUCACCUAAAAACAAUGUGUAAAAUGAUUUCUGAUUAUAUCAAGUUAAAAAAUUAAAUUCAAAGUAAAUUGAUUCAAAGUAAAUUCUCUGAAAAAAGUAAAGAUAACUAGUAUACUUCUGCGCUCAACCCACGAAAGGAUGAUACUUCUAUCUCUUGACUUGCAACCUGUUAAAUCACAAUCUACAAUGUUCUCCAAUCAAAAUUUGCAGCAUUCGUCAAUUACUUCCGUCAACAAAUUAUACAAUGUAUCUCCAUUUAGCUAUUGCACAAUAUUCUUCAUCUCCUCUUCCACGUUUGUCAAGGAUAAGAAAAAAAAAAUUAUAAAUUUUCAAGUUCGGGGGGCAUUUUGACGGAGGGGGUAAAUUGAUUAACGUUGUGCAAUUUCAGGGGGGUAAUUGAAGUUUUGUUAAUUUCAGGGAGGUAAUUGACGAAACUUACAAUUUCAGGGGAUAAUUGCCUAUUUACUCAAUACUUUUGUUGGUGCAAUAAAUAAUGUGUCCAAGGAUAAUGCAUAUUAUAUGCAGAAGCCGGGUUCGAAUCCCGGACACCCCACUUAUUCACCUUUAAGAUGAAUUUCUCUAACCGCUGGACUAUUUGACAAAAAAAAAAUUUAUGUGUUCAAGGGUCGAACCUCCGUCUUUGCAUGUAUUAUAUACAUCUUUAUCGACUAAGAUAAAAUUGGACUCCUCUUUUUUGUUGGUUAAAAUGUGUUUAGUCGGUCUUUCUUUCUUUCUUUUUUUAAAGACAUAAGUCAUAAGCUCACUGAGCUAAUAACGAAAAAAAAAUAUUAUUAUUCUUGCAAAAAUGAUAUUAUUAUAUAUUGAAAAAUAGGUGUAAAAUGUAAAAUUAUUACGAGUGUUUUGCCAAAAAAAUAAAAAUUAUUAAGAGUAUGUUGCAGCUUGCUUAAGCUAAGGGGUUAUGUUAUAUACUGUUGUUAUAACUAAUUUGAGUUGAGAGGUUAAAUAUUACGGUUGUAGUUAACUUGGGGAGUUAAGUGUUGUUACUUUUGCAUUAUUGCAAAUUUGUGAAUAAAUAAGUGUGACCCUAAAACACUCUAUCAUUGUACAACUACUAAAAUAUUCUCUCUGGUUGCUUUGACCCCGUUGCUUUGUGAUACCUAAACACUGUUUUAUCGUAAAACUAUGAUAUUACCAUCUACCAUCUUUUCUCUUUAAUUUGUAUCUCAUGGUUUUGUGAUACCCCACUAUAACUAUCAGAAUCCUCUUUAUCGUUAUCUUCUACCCAUGUGGUUGUGUAAUACCCACCCAAACUACAAGAACCAUCUCUCUCAUUUCUUUGUAUCCAAUUGUUGAAAUGCUCACCCAAACAAACUACUAAAACCAUAUCUUUCAUUGCUUUGUAGUCAUCGCUUUGCAAUACUCUGAUACUCGUCACCAUGAAAACUUUGUGAUAAGACGUAUUUUUUGGUGAAUUCUUUUUUUCAUGAGUGGUCGAAUUUAUGUACCAAAUCGUUUAUCAAAUAAUAAAGUGAUAAGUAGAGUAUCGUAUCCACAUGAAUUGUCGUUUCAACCAAACCAUCUGUGUUACUUAUUUGGGAACGAUAAAAAUAAAAGAGAUGAAGAGUUUAGAGUUUUGCAGAGUUAAUUUGUUUGCAACAAAACAAAGUUUACCUGUUUUGAUUGCAUAAUGUUAGCGGCGGUUAUGAUUCUUUGAAUCCUCUCUAUUUAAUUGUUGGAAUUACGUAACAAUCAAGUCUUAUUUAUGAUAAUUCAUUAUCUAAGCGAUGAGUUCGUGGAGUUUUACUAUCUAUCAGUUGUCAAGUUGCACACGCCGACCACACGGGUAGGUACACGUGGGUCUUACUCUCUUAGAGGUAAUUGAAACAUACACUUAAAUUAGCGUUCCUAAAUUCCCAUUAGUGUAGUCAUAAUCUUCUUAAAGGUUCGCUAAUCUAUGCAUCUUAGAAGCACAUAACACACUCUCUCAAUCAGUUGUUUUACAAACGGGCAGCUCUAUCAGUGUCUACCUUACCAAGGUUCGAGGAGAAGGAAGUUACGGGGCUGAUUUAAGUCGUGAAAUCACAUGUUUCCCUAAUUACUACAUAGUUACUUUCUGAUUUGAGUAUGUUUGCACCAAUAUUAGGUAUGUCAUCCCCCUGAGUACUUUUAUCUUAGGGUUCUACUAUAUGGUUGAUUUCCCUAGAUACUAAUUAGUUAUUUGCAGAUUAAGACAUAUAUAAAUAUCAAUAUUAGGUAUAUCACCUCCCUAAGUGCCUGAAUAUUGAUGUUAUGCUUCAGAGGAGACAAAUCUUACGCACGACAGUCAAGUUAAAUAGCAUAAAGAAAAUAAUUGAAUAAAGGCCUUAAAUUAAAUAAAGUAUUAAACAGCUAAAGUAGAAGUUCAUCUUAAAACCUUAACCUAAAAAGAUUUAGUUACACAUGGUAACUAAAGACGAGUUAAAAAAGAAAUAAAACAAAUCAUAGAAAAACUUGGAGUGAGGAGAGAAAGUCCUCCCUUGAAGCUCCUAGUGUUUGUCUUCCUCUUGAACAACUUGUUCAGAAUGAGAGAUUACGAACGAGAAGAGCAGUGUUUACAGGGAGAGUUUCCACCUCAAGUUGUGCUAAAAUAUCGAGUUUUUGUUACAAAAAGUAGCAAAAAUUCAGUAUUGGCCUGCAGGGAAACAAGCACCUGGGAUCAUGCACUAGGCACAUGUGAGAGAGAGGUUUCAGGCGCCAUGCGCCUCACCAUGUGCCUAGGUGCACAGAACUGCGUGUCAGGUACAUGCGAGUGUUGUCCGGGUGCUGAAAUGUUUGUGUUUUCGUCUUUUUGGGUAUUUGCUUCCAUAUACGAUGUCUUGAAACAUGAGCAAAAUUCUUCCCUUUGUAACGUAUUUUGAGGCCUCUUGAAUCUUCAUUCUUUUAUUUUUCCAAUGUCUUCACAAAUCUUCAGAUGUCUUGCUUUGCCGAUUUGCAUGAUUUUUUCAUGAAUUACAACAAAACUAAAAUCUUAGUUUUUUCCCGUGUGGAUUUCUCAAAGAAGAAUGAGACGAUAUCCAUGGCAGGAGUUGUAACACCCUGCUUUCCCAAUAUAAAAAUUUCUUAAAACAAUUAUCAGAGUAAACAACAUAAACAAACGGGAUAUCACAUUUAACAUAAUCCAAUAUCAGUUAAAUAACAAUUUAACCAAAUACUUAAACAAUGAUUUUAGUUAUAGGAACAUUAUCUAAGGUAUAGGAACACUUUCUACACCAAUUUAAUCAAUUCCUACCGUUUGAUCAUCAAUUCUAGGGAUUUGACCUAGUUUUCGUUUUCUCCAAUUCAAUCCUAAUUCUUGCUAACUAAUCAUCAGAAUUAUCAUCAAUUACCACUACCGAGUUAUUAGUCUCACCCUUACCUGGUUAUGAAGAAAAAUCGCAGCUCUCUUUGAUUCUCCCUUCUCUUAGCUUUUCUCCCCUUUUCCAAAAGUUUUCACGUACAAUAGUUUUUCUAAUAAUUAGGUCUUCCCUAUUUAUAUCUCUUCCUAAUUACUUAUCUUAUCUCACUUUCUCCCCCAAAACUAUCUAAAAUAUCAAAACAACCCUCAACUAAAUAUUUUUCAUAUUUCUAUUUUCUUAUCAAAUCUUAUUUUAUUUAACAAUAAAAUAAGUCUCAUAAUCUUAUCAAAACACGUCAAAUUAUCCAAAUCAACUCAAUCAACAAAACUCACACAUAUAUUAUAAAAAUAUAAUAUAAUCGCUUAAACUCGAUUAAAUAAACAAUUAAACGAAAGUGGGCGUUACAGGUGUGGACAUUCGGGCAGAGGUUUGGUAGCGUCUGAUCUCAAAAUCUAAUUCAGUGUGGUGGUGGUUAUGGAUACGUUUGAUUUCGGUACUAAAGGGGCGGUGACGACGGUGGUUCUGACAUUAAGUUGAAGUGAUAAAUUUCUAGAUUUUUUCCGAGUUUGUUUGAUUAUUAUGAUAAAGUUUACGAAGAUGAUGAAGAAAAAGAGAAGAGAAUGAGAUGAUGGCAAGAUAAGACAAAGAUGACGAGACAUAAAUCCUAAAAUUACUUCUAUUAUAUUUAAAAUUGAAAUUAAAAUAAAAAUAAUCAAAUUUCAGUUAUUUUAUUUUAUAAUUAUUUAAAUCAACUUUAAUGUCACGUGUACAACCUAUGUUGAUGCCUAUCAGUUAUGACUAACUUCGAAUAGGAUUUUCAUGACUAUCUUCUGAUUUAUAUAUAAACAGAUAGAUGGAUUUUGAGUGAAAGAUUCUUUAAAAUUGAUUUUGACUAAAACGAGUUGAAUACAAAGUGAUAGAUAUUUAAAUAUAUUUAUCUAAAACAUUAAGUAUAAAUAUACGUGUAAAAAAAUUAAUUCUAAAAUCAAAUUCUACAAAUUAUCUCUAAGUAUAAUCAUUCUAAUCGAAAACAAGCAAACAUAUUAGAAUAAUGGGUUAAAUAUGUUUUUGGUCACAAUAAAUAUGUCAUUAGUCCCUCUAAAAAAUUUCUUCAACUUUUAGUCCUUAAAAUUUUUUCCAUCUUCACUUUUGGUCUCUCCUUUAAAGUAAAAUCAUAUGUAGAAUUCAUAUUUUUGAAUAAAAUUUUGGAGAAAAAUUCAUAAUAUUAUAAGAAUCUCUCAAAAAAAAAAAAGAAUUUUUUAACAAAACAUUAAUUUAAGGGUUAAUUAAAUUUUUAUUUUCAUAAAUAUUCACAGUUUUGUUUUUAGUCCCUACAAAAUAAAAUAACACUUUUUAGUCCUUGUGACAUUUUUCUUAAGCAUUUUAGAGACCAAAAAUGUUGUUGAGAAUUUUUGACAGGGACUAAAAAUACUGAUGAAAUUUUUUUUAAGGACAAAAAAUGCUGAUGAAAAUUUUUAUAGGGACCAAAAAGUGUGAUUUUAUUUUACAAGGACUAAAAACAAAAUUCUGAAUAUUUACAGGGACCAUUUACUUAAUUAACCCUUAAUUUAAUAUAAAUUUAUAUAUUUUUUAAGGUUAAGAAUUCAUAUUUAAUUUGUGUUUUGUUAAAAAAAUCUAAUUAUUUUGAGAUUUUUUUAGAAUAUUUUACACAUUUCUGCACAAUUUUAUUAAAAAAUUACAAAAAAAUUAAAUUAAAAAUAUGGACCAACAGAAGUGAUUGGAAAUUUUAAAGAAAUUAAAAGUUGAUGAAAUUUUUUAGAAAAACUAAAACGAAAAAUUAAAAUAUUUAUAAGAAUCACAAAUAAAUUUAACCCUAGAAUAAUUAUACACUUCAAGAAUCAAUCUUAACUCUAAGAGAAACUCAUACAAUUAAACGUGGAGAUGUGAGUGUCCGAGGUUCGAACCCCGAUCUCUGCAUAAAUUAUACAAUGUCUCUACCAACCGAGCACAUUACUUUCUAUAUUCAAUUGGUGUUUAGCACCGGUUAACAUUCUAAUUAUUUUUGAGAUGGAUUAUUUGGAUUGGAUUGGAUGGACACGUGUUAAAGUUGUUAAACAAUGUGGUGGGAAAAAAAUGAAGCUCUGCCCAGAAAUUGACACACGGUGGUAAACUUACCAAACCAACACACACACAGUCACAGACAUAUCGUAACUUGAAAACUCAAACCAAACACUGACACAGUCUUCGAACACAAUAAACCAUUUUCAUGGCAUCAUCACGAAUCAUCUCCCAUUCUCCGCCCAAUCUCCACCGUCAAUCUUCCCCUUCCGACUCCCUUAAACCCAUCCCCACCGUCAAUCUCACUUUUCCCCCAAAACGACACCGUAACCUCUGCAUUCGCGCUUCUCAAAACGACACAUCACACUCCGUUGAACUGCAAACCAGCCCAAACGGCGUCGUUUCCAAAGAUCCAAUCGCUCUUCCGAGGCCUUUGUCUUCUAAUCAGUUACAUACCGCUGUUUCCGAUGGUUCACGUCUUCGUGUUGCUUAUCAGGUAUUUUCUUUCUUCUUGCAUUGCAUGCAAAACAUUUUUAACAUUAUUGAAGUUAAUUUUGAUGAUUGAAUUUUAUAUAUUUGUUUUGUGAUUUCAUAUAGUUGAAUAUUUUUCAGGGGGUUCAAGGUGCUUACAGUGAAUCUGCUGCACGAAAGGCUUACCCUAAUUGUGAAGCUGUGCCUUGUGAACAAUUUGACACCGCUUUUGAAGUAAGUCAAUAUUCUGUUACCCUUAGUUCAAUUCAACAUUUUUUCACGUCUAUGCAUUGCUUUGUUGAUGUGUCAAUUCUGUUAGAAGUAUCACGUUGGAUAGUUUUAGACUUAAGCCUAUUAGGAGAGCUCAACUCAAAAGACUAGUCCAUUAGGCGGGAGAGCCUCAUGGUACGUCAACCACUUUUAUCUGCUCGAUGUGGGACUCCUAACAAUAGAAGAGUAUAUUUUGAGUAAAAUAUAAGCUAGACUAGAAGGUAUAACUAAUGACCUAAGGUUUUGUGUGAAGAUGUGAGUCCAAUGUGAUGAUCUACCCCUAGUGUUGUAAGCUCAUCCAGAGGUCCCCAACAACGGUAUUAGAGCUUGGUUUGACUUGGUGGGGGGAGCAGGAGUGACUCCAAGUGUUCUACCAAGGAUACAGAGAGUUUCACAAUUGAGGGAGUGAAUGUUGAUGUGUCAAGUGUGUAUUAAAUUUUCUGCAUUGGAUGCACGAGUAUAUGCUAAGCAAUGUUUAAGUGAAAAGACCCAUAUACCUAAUGUCAUAAGAUUUUGAUUGAAGGCGUAGUGUCCAAACUCAUUUGCUUGAUUGCUCUUAGUUCAAUGUCAUGAUCAACCCUUAGUGUUAUAGGCUCCCCCGAAGUCCCAACAUAGUUUUCUUUAUGGAUUUUCAUUUUAUUUUGAUGUCAAUUGACAAAUAUAACCGGUAGUUUUGCAUCACAAGCUCCCACCAAUUAAGAUUUGAACUCACGUAUUCCAGUUCUUUGUUUUUAGUUUCUGAUUAUUGUUUUCUUACUGUGGUUACCUUUUAAAUACCGAGAUGGAUAGUUCUAACUUUCUGUAGUCUUUAUUUUUCUUUAUCUGGCAUUUCAUUCCAGGCUGUAGAAAGAUGGCUUGUGGACAGAGCAGUUUUGCCCAUUGAGAAUUCAUUGGGAGGUAGCAUCCACAGAAAUUACGACCUUCUACUCAGGCACCAGUUACAUAUAGUAGGAGAAGUAAAAUAUGCAGUACAUCAUUGUUUGAUGGCCAACCAUGGUGUUAAGCUUCAGGAUUUGAAGCGUGUUCUUAGUCAUCCACAGGUGUGAUUCUGACAUUUUGUACCUUAUAUUAAACUUUUUUUGCAACUAUAAUCUCAUGCAAGAUGGUGAUGAUGUUUUAGGCUCUUGCACAAUGUGAGAACACCUUGACGGGGUUUGGCUUAGUCAGAGAAGCGGUUGAUGAUACAGCCGGUGCUGCAAAGGUAAAUGUAAAAUUGUUGGCAGCUGUUUUCCUUGUAUCAUUUCAAGUGCUUAUGUUUAUUCAUGGUCAUACAUAUGUACAUUUGACUUGCUUAAAAAUGUAGCACUAAAUAGCUCACAAUUUGUUCUGCUCCAUGUUUGAUUUUAAAAGGCUCUUGUUAGUAAGCGUCCUUAGGGAACUAGUUAAGUAUAAACGCAUAUAAUAGAACAAGAGUAUAAAACACGAUUGUUUGUGCUGAAUACGGACUUCUAAAUAACAUGCAGCAUAAAAUUGUUUUACAAUUUAACUGUCUGUCCUUUUGUCCACUGCUGUUUAGUGUAUGUUGUCCCGUAGGAUGCAUCAAACACAACCUUAAAUUUUUGUGGUACAACGAUCACGGCAUCUUUGGAAUGAUGCCCACCUUUAUUGUGCAGAAAUAUGCUUCUUUGAGAUUUCAAAGCAUUUUUGUGGUACAACGAUCACCGCCUCGGUCUGGUCAAAUCUCAAUCUGUCUGAAAAAUUAGCAAAAUUUAAUCAGCCCCCAAAGACAUGAUUGUAUAUUGUCCCUUGGGGUAAAGGAUAGAUUAGUCUUUUCUACUGCUGUUGUUGACUUGUUUUUCAAUAUCCAUCCAUCCAUUCCUAACAUAGUUACACAUUAUAGCAUGUUGCCCACAAAAAACUACAAGAUGCAGGAGCUGUUGCUAGCUCUGCUGCUGCAGAGAUCUAUGGCUUAAGUAUACUUGCUCAAGACAUUCAGGUUUGGGUCUAUGUGUCACUCUAUUUUAAAUUACAUGGUAGACAGUUCAUGUUUUUCAUGGAUUUAAUGACCAAUGGAUUUGUAUUGGCAGGAUGAUAGUGAUAAUAUCACCCGAUUUUUAGUAUUGGCGCGAGAACCGAUACUUCCAGGCACAGACAGGCCAUUCAAGGUAAUAGCUGAAAUUACUGGAUUGAAUGCAUCAUAUGUUACCCCAGUUUUUUGGUUUUAUGCUUACUGACACCAAUAUUGAAUAUUGCUGUUGAUUGUGGUGUUGAAUUCUCAGACAAGCAUAGUUUUUUCUUUAGAAGAGGGUCCCGGGGUGCUUUUCAAGGCCCUUGCUGUUUUUGCCCUGCGUCAAAUUAAUCUUUCAAAGGUUAGUUGUCCUCUUGAAGUGAGCUGAUAUAUCUUUUAUGGAGGUUAUAUUUGCAUGUAUGCUUUUUAUGUGUUUCUGAUUGUACAAUUGAUUAACUCUUCUUAUAGAUUGAAAGUCGUCCUUUGCGAAAGCAACCUCUACGAACAUCUGAUGAUAACAACAAUAGGUAUUCCAAGUACAAGUAAUGAAGGCCAUAGCCAUAAUUCAUUUUCCGAGUUCUAAUUCAUUCAUCUUUUAAUCGGUUCAAAUCAUUAUUAGUGUUGCGUUUACGAAGAUGUUAGAUUGUUAAUAAUUGUUGAGCUUACCACAGUUAUAUCUUAAACAGGUACUUUGAUUAUCUUUUCUAUGUUGAUUUUGAAGCCUCAAUGGCUGAUCAGAAUGCACAAAAUGCCUUAAGGCAUCUAAAGGUGUGACUUGGUUUAAUCUUAUGAAGUGAAUAUAAGGAUUAUCUGUGAAUAGGUGCUCUAAAAUCAAUAUAAUUUGCAGGAGUUUGCUACAUUCUUGCGAGUGCUGGGGAGUUAUCCUAUGGACACUAGCACGGCAUAAAUAUUCUCCAAAAGAGGUGAGUGCCAUUUCUAAAAACUUUUACUGAAUGUGAAUGGCCUCUAAUUUUUGCGUGGAGCUUUAUGCCUUUAUCUAUUGUUGCACUAAUGAAUACCUAUGUUGAAAACCAAGCCAGAUUAUUUAAAUUUGGUGGGAAUGGCUAAUCCUUUGCUGUUUUUAAAUUAUGAUGUAUGAGCUUUAUCAACUCCCCCAGACUGUUUUCUUGUUUAAGCUUUAUAUAAAAUUAUUCUCAGUGUCCUUGUUGUUUCGUUGCAUGUUUCAUUAUUUCUGUUAUGUUGGUUCAAUCCUUCCACCUCUCCCUUCCCAGAAAAUAAAAAAGAAAUCCAAUAUAAAUAUUGAUGACUUUGCUUCCCUGCUAGAAGUCUCUAUGUCAUUGCCAAUUUUGACAUGCUUUCAUGUAAUUGUGCUAAGCCUGAUGUAUGUCUUGUGCUGGUUUAUUCAUUUUAUUUUUGGAACUUUUAUUGUUCUCAUGCUUUUGCUGUAUACUACUGAUGGUGCAGGACUUGCAGAUAUUGUUACUUUUCAUACAGCACAGUUCUUCCAGCCAUCGAAUCUUGUGAAUGGAAAUAGAGUUUACUAUGAUUCAAUAUACAGAUAAACAGAAAACAAUAGUAUCAGAUGUUCAAGCUCCUUAAAAUUUUGAUGGGUGUUAUUCAACAUUAUGAAUCAGCGUGUUUGUUCAAAUAUUUUCUCCUGGUUGUCCUUGCUACCAGUUCUCUUGGAUGUUUUAUGGUUGUCCUUGCUACCAGUUCUCUUGGAUGUUUUAUGGUUGUCCUUGCUACCAAUUCUCUUGGAUGUUUUAAAAUGCCAAUGGCUAAAUGCAAAGUGAUGCUUCUACAACAGGGACCGUGUAUUUAUGUACUUUUUAAAAACAGUGGAAACUCAUUUUUGUAUGAAGAGGAGACUGCAUUUCCUCUACUAUUUGCUACCUCUCUAGUGGCCGUCAUGGAUUAUUUUAGGCAAUGCAAUUUGUACUCUUAAUUUAUGCGUCCAGUUUGUACUUUACACCCUUAUUUACUCUUGGUUAUUGUAUAAUUCACCCUUUAUUCUUGUUCUUAUGGUGAGUACAAUACUGAAACCGGGGUUUGGUAUCUGAUUAGGUCAUGCCUUGAGAAUGAUCUUAAGGGGGUUAUUUAUAGCCUGAUUGAGCCUCUUAUUUCGUGACUUAAUCCUUAAUUCACUCGUGAUAGGGGAAAACACGUAUAUUCCCCUAAAUCUGAAUAUUCUGGCCGGAUAUUUAGCCUUGAGGUACAACAUGAUGGUUUCGAGGGGAUAAGGAAAGAGUGGUGAUAUUUGAACAAUCAUUUGAGAUAACAUUUUUGAGUAAAUAGUCAAUUUCCCCCCUGAAAUUGUAAGUUUCAUCAAUUACUUUCUGAAAUUAACAAAAUUUCAAUUACCCCCUGAAAUUUCACAACGUUAGUCAAUUUACCCCUCGGUCAAAUUUUUCUGUUAGUGAACAUGACGUUUUGUAAAUACCCCCCUGAAGUUUUGCACUUAUGUGCAAAAUGCCCUCCAAACUUAAAAAUUUAUAUUAUUUUUUUCUUAAAAACAAACAAUUAAUAGUUAAAUAUUAAAACUAACUAUUAAUUUUGGAAUUUGGGAAAACUAUAUGCAUAUAUACAUCAAAAUAGGCUCCAAAAUGGGGAAAAAUAUGUAUUUUUUAAAGUGACAAUAAUGAGAUGAUUUGUGGAUUAAUAUUGGGGGUUGCGUAGUUUAAAUGGUUUGAGCAAAUUGUUGAAGGAGUUGGAGGAGUUAAAAGACUAAGAUGGUGAAAGAGAAAAUAUAAAUUUAAAUCUGAUUAUUAAUUUGUUUAUAAAUCUCUAAAAAUAAUAAUUUGUCUAUUAGAAAUAACCAUUAUUGUCACUUUAAAAAUACACAUUUUUCCCUAUUUUGAUGUAUAUAUGUAUGUAGUUUUUCCAAACUCCAAAAUUAAUAGUUAGCUUUAAUAUUUAACUAUUAAUUGUUUGUUUUUAAGAAAAAAAAAUAUAAAUUUUUAAGUUUGAGGGGCAUUUUGCACAUAAGUGCAAAACUUUAGGGGGGUAUUUGCAAAACGUCAUGUUCACUACCAGAAAAAUUUGACGGAGGGGGUAAAUUGACUAACGUUGUGAAAUUUCAGGGGGUAAUUGAAGUUUUGUUAAUUUCAGGGGGGUGAUUGAUGAAACUUACAAUUUCAGGGGGGAAAUUGACUAUUUAUUCUAACAUUUUUCUUUCUUUUUAAUGGUUAGAAAACAAUAGAGGGAAAAAGAAAGAGAGAUAUCAAAAACAUAAUGUGAGUAUAAAAAAGGGGUGUGCCCUUGCGUGAGUAUUGGCAUAGGGCUAGUGGGUCCUUAUGUGAGUAUGGGCAGUCCAAUUCUAUUUUGAUGUUAAAGUUAACAAAUACUACUGUUUAAAUGACAUAUGUUACCGUUCUGAUGUAUUUGUAUUUUGUUCAAGUAGUUGAUAGCGGAGAGUGGAACUAGUUGUUAGAACAAAAUUAGUGAGUUUAAGUAUGCUCCAUUUACUUCAUUUAAGAUGUUGGAUGAAUGAUACGUGGUAAAAAAAAAAAAAGAUUAAAUGGUUUAAAUUUAAAAUAAACAAAAUAUCAUUUUUUUUUAAUAAAAAAAAAAAAGAGAAUAAUUUAUAACGCUUCCUCUUUCUCUAAUUUAGAGCCGCAACUCUUUUCUUAAUUUUAGAGAGAAUAAUUUGCAGGCAUCCAUACUCAAAUCCAUAGCAGUUGCAAGAGCAACAAAAGCAGCAACAUCUCCGGUGCUUCACACCAACUUCCACCUCCGUUUUACUACACUUUUUUUCACCGUCAAACACUAUACAAAAACUGAUUCUCCAAUGAAAAAUCUGAACCGGAACCAGAUUCGGUUCUUAAACCGGAUCCUAAUUCCCAGCUUCCGUUUGGAGUAUUCACCGGAGUAACACCUGUUGUAACAUCAAUUGUAACGAGAGAAGAAGAGAAAGAGGAAGGACGGAGUCUCUAUUUUUUUUUUAUUAAAAAAGUAGAUUGUUUGUUUAUUUUAAAUCUGAAUCAUUGAAUUUUUUUUACCACAUGUCAUUCAUCCAACACCCUAAAUGGGGUAAAUGGAGCAUAUGGUAAAUGAAGCAUACCGGGACUCCACUAAACUUUUAUUGAUGAAUUACUAUGAACGCUUUGAGAACAAAAGUAAAAUGAGCACAACAUUAGAGAGUUAUCACUUUCAGGAAAGAAAGGAAAACGGAAAAGAAAGUUAGAGUUGAAGUAUACUUUUAUUUUAGUGGUGGAAAGUAACUUAACACACAUUCAACUUGAAGCCACAAUUUGUAGCUUCUAUAAUUUUAACAGUAGAGGAACGCAAGAAUCGCCAUUUUUCAACGCAAAACCAAAAAUACAAGAAGUUUACAUAUACUUCCCUUUUCCAAACACCAAUUUCAAGUUCAAUAACUUGGGAAUAUCCAAAUUUCUCUUUCCCUAUUCUAAUGCAAUAAAAAAAAAAAACACAAUUACACACAUACAAAAAGCGGCAAAAACAUUUAAGCACAAUAUAUAUUUGUUGGUGGUACACGAGACAACCGAAAAUGUUGUGAUCUGCACAUCUUCGUGCAUUACUUCCAAAUUUGAUUUAAGGACUGAAGAUUUCAAAUUCACGUUUGUAUGGAACAGUCGUUGACGACCAAAAAAAAGUUUGUAUGGACAUUAACAAUGGACUUAGUUAAAUAAAACAUACCAAAAGCAAACUAGCACGCCGAGACAUUAGAUAAAAAUGCAGUUGUACUGUUCACAUUAUGACCGAGAAAACAUGAAUACGCAUGUGAACCUUCAAUCACAUUGUAAUAGAGAGAUCAUGUCACUACGUUUAGGUGUAAUGAAAAUCUAAUUUCAUACACAGUUCCAGAAAAAUAUGCCAAAAUAUAAUCUGAUCUUGGUAUUUACUUCCUACCAGCCAACAAUAUACUAAGAUAAAAUUUGCUUAAGCAGCAACUGGGUAGACAAAGGUUAAAAAAACCCUAGACACUAAAUCGGAGGCCUUCAAAAUCAAAUUAGUGGAAACCAGAUUUUAUUGUUGAGCAUGCUGGCCGGAAUUUCUAGCCAUUAGAUCUCUGAUCAAGGCAAGAAUCUCACUUCGCAUGCACGCAACAGCUGAUGGAGUAACCUGUUCCUUCACCACGGAGAACCACAGAUCAUUUGCAUCAGUUUUUUUACUACUAUUUACAUACCACUCGCAUAUCACUCUUGCUAUGGCUGUGACAUACAAGCCACAAUCAUAACCAUUUGCUUGCCUAGGUGAAUCAGUCCAUUCCAAAUAGCCGGCCUUGGAACCCGAUUCAGAUAAUCCCAUGUAUCCAACAACAGCUUUAUAGAGUUUCUUAGCAGGUGUUGCAUUCAUGCUUCUGCAGCUAUCAUGAUGAACAAAUACAUUCGCAUUGCGGUAGUAUGCAAGUAAGCUCCAAUGAGAUCCACCUUCAGAUAUGUUAACGUCAUCGUUAUUAUUGAUAGGAAAUAAAACCAGUUUCUUAUCAGACAAAUGAAGGGGAUCUAAGAAAUCUUUGAGAGCCUCAACAACAGGACAUUGUAUUAUCCAAAAUGCGAUAGAUGGUGGAACCAGCAAGAUAUCCUGAGAGGGAUGGGAUGAAGAAAGAUAACUGAGAUGAAACUCGAUAAUUCGAUCGUUCAAAAAAUAUGGACCACUGAGGAUGCCUAGAUCAGAUCGUCUAAGCACCACAUCAUUGUAGCUGAGAAUCUUAUCAUCUGCUUCUGAUUUCCCCAUCUUGUAUAGAAGCUAGCCUGAAGAAAACAAGUUCAGAUUCGGCUAAGUUAGAUUUAUCUCACUACUUUAUGGGAAGAAAAAAAAGCAUGCAUCGGGAACGACUCAGUAAUUGCUAUUUGGUGCUCUAGUUUAGGCAACACAACAUAGACAUUCAAAAAUGUUUGCUAAAGGUAAAGGUCCGUAUAAAUGUGGGAAAAUUAUGAGGAAAAUAAUGAAUAAUUGAAUAAACAAACUGUUCAAAAGAUCAAUUUGUUACUUGGUGUUUUAUACACACUCCCAUUUACUAGUACUUUACUAUGCAUGAAAACGAAUAUAUUUUCCAUCAUAUAUGGCCUAGUUGUAAAGCAUGGGAGCAUUUGAAAGAACUAAUAAAAACAACGCAAAGCCUCUUUGGAUUGACUUACUUUGAGCUUAUCUACUGGCAUAAGUUUGUGAGACAAUUUGGGAGAACUUACGAAAACAAGCAGUUUUCAGCUUAUUUUCAUAAGUUUUGCAAGAUGUUGUUUCAUGAAAAUAGCUUAUACUAAAACAAUUUAACUUUAUUUUCCAAUAGAAGUAGCUUAUACAUAAACGCUUGUCAUGAUAAGGGCUUAUGCUAUAACCUGCAAAUAAGUUAUUUAUCCAAAGAGGGCCUUAGUUUUCACAUGAGAUAAGAUAAAUGUGUUCUAAAUUUUCACUAAUUCUUACGAAUUACCUUCAAUCAAUCAAACAAACAAUAAUCAAAUCCAAAUCAUAACUAAUCUCAGUUUCCUAAUUAUCUUCAUAUCAAAUAGUUUCAUGGAAGAGUAAACUCUCAUUCCCUUUAUUUGGAUACAAAAUGAUUAAAACCUAGCUAUAACGAAUGAACAAAAGGUUGAAUCUAACCUAAAAUUUAACCUAAUUGAGUACUGUUAUGAUCGAAUUGAAUUGGAAUAAAUUGAAAAGAAUAACAAGAAAUAGAGUAAAAGAAUCGAUGAUGACUUACAAUGAUUGAGUGAGUGGAGUCGAGAACGGAGAAUCUGCUAUGUAUGUAGGGAUUCAGAGAAAGCUCCGGUUUAAUACUUUUGCAAGAACCCUGGCGUUUUUUAUUUAUACAUACAGCGUAAAUAAUUAUAUUUUCGGCAAAAUUACACUUUUAGUCCCAUUUAAUCCUUUAUCUUUUUUUCAUUUCAAUUUGCUCUUUUUUGUCCAUUUUCAUAUGAAUUUUUAAGGUUAAAAUUCAUGAUUUUAUUUUCUUAUGGUCUUUCAGUCUUCAAAUCUAUAAUCCUCUUCUAUGUUUGCAUAAGAAUAUUAGAUUUGAAGCUUGAAAAUGUAUAUGAAAAUGGACAAAAAGGACCAAAUUGAAAUGAAAAAAAAGAUAAAGGAUUAAAUUGUUACUGAAAUUAAGUUAAGGGACUAAAAGUGUAAUUUUGCCUAUAUUUUUUUAAUAGUUUAUAUUUUUAUUUUGAAAGAAUUUUUUUUAAUGGUUUAUAUAUAUUUUUUAUUUAGAGUUUCCCUCAACAUUUUUUUAUGAUUUUUUAUUUUUUAUUUUUUUGAACAACCCAAAAUAAAAUUAUAUACCAACAAUAAUAGUAGCUCCCAAGUAUAAGAUGUGCCUAGAAGACCACUAGAACAAUACAACAAGAGUCCAAACCUAAACAAAUGAUUGAAAACGAACACAACGUGGUUAGCCAAUGCCUAAACAAGUCAAAGGGCUUAACCACCACUUCUGAAUACCAAAAACAAAUAUAGCUUUUUUAGCCGUCAGUCACACUAAGGACAAAGAUUUAAUCUUAUCAAGCCAACAAAAAACUACACUACAUCACUAAACUCCUCUUCACAUUGAAACAAACUCCUCCAAUUCCACAUCUCUCCAACUCCAGGUGCCGUUUCCCGUAAGCGACCCUUAUGGGUCUUGCACCGUGCGAGAGCAAUUUUUUUUUUUUUUGGUCUGCAAAUUAGUUUGUAGCCAUUAGAUAUGUUUGGAAGGUAAUGGAUGGUUGUGAUCUAAAGGUAUCUUGACCUACUAAAGUGUUAUUUUUAUACUUUAAUAUUAUUAAUUUUAGAAAUCUGUCAAACAAAAAUUUAAAAAAUGCAAUUGAGCUUGGAGUUAACAUUUCCCAUCAAUAAACUAUAAAUAUUAUUUCAGAUUAUUUUAUGGAUAGUUCAAUUCACUGAAACUUAAUUAUAAUACAAAACUUAACCCAUUUUUUAAAAUUAUCUUCUUUUUUUGUGGCCGGGGUUUGAACCCCAAACCUUCCAUAUAUUAUGCGUUGUCCAUACCAAUUGAGAUAAACUCACAUGAACUUUUAAAAUUAUCUAAGCUCAUUAAUAAGCGUUCCUAACAAGAAUUUCUAUGAACAAAAAUAUGAAAUUUUCUUUAGCAAUUUUUAUUUUGUGAAUUCAAACACAGAAAACCUAUUAGUACAAUUUUUUUUAAAAAAAUACUAUUUAAAAAAAUAUUCAUUGACAGUAAAGGAGAGUACAGUUGAAUUUAAUUUUAAGGGUUUAAUGGUAAUUAUGAAAAAUUCAAUUUAGGACAAUAGCGAAAACGCUCUUUGUUAAAUGCUAUUCUAAAUUCAAAUGUGUUUUAAAAAAUAAUAUAUAUAUAUAUAUAUAUAUAUAUAUAUAUAUAUAUUUAAAUAAUGAUAUAUUAGUGGUCACAUAUUUCCAAAUCACAACCAUUCAAUACCUUUUAAAUAAAUCUCAAUGGUUUACAUCCAUUUUACAAAAAAAAAAAUCAAGUCUCCUACGGUAGGAGACCUAACAAGGUCAUGCACCCUAGCCUAAACCCCAACUCCAACACUCUAACUAAGCAUAUUAGCCGCAAUACAUGUUUUGUAGAUGUCAAACUAAACAAUGUGCUAUAUCUCUCACUCAUCACCAUCACGUUCAACAGCAAAUCUAAUCAAAAGUAAGUGUUAUGUCCAUCCCCAACAAUCCUAAUUAAAUUGCUUGAAAACCAAUUGCCCAAAGCAUUAUAUAUCCACCCUCACCUCGAACCACAUGAAUAUAUGUGAUGUGAUGCAAUGUGAAAAGAUGAUUGAAUAAUAACAUGACAAUCUAACUUCUUGUAUUGAAAAUUUUGUUUCUCUCUUCAAUACGAGACGGUAUUAUGUGAACCUGAGAGUAUCUUGAUCCAAGAAAAAUUCACAUGGAUAUGAACACAUCGUUACGAAAAAACUUUAUGAAACUUCAUUUUUUGGUGACUACCUAAACUAUAUAAUAAUUAAUGCAGCCACAUGCGAUCCAUGACCAUGCAGCCACAUGACUACCUAAAAUUUUGGUUACAUAUAAAUAUUGAUGGGACCAAUGACCAAAGUGUCUAUGAAAGUAUCAACAAAAUAUACCACCCUUAGCAUAGAUUCAAUGGUUAAUGUCGGUGCUGCCACUUCAGCGUUUAUAUUUGAUAUUUGAAAGAUAUUUUACAUCAAGUAAUUCUUCUCACUUGAAGUUGAAGUCCGAUUCAAGUCAAAUAAUAGCUUUUUUUUACCUUACAGAUAUAACAUUACCUGCUUCAGUAAUUAGAUUUAAUUAUGAGUAUACUCUACAUAACCUCAAUUAGCUAUCAUCAUGAUAGUGGUAACACCACCAUGGCGUGUUACACAAUACUGUAACUUUUUUCUUUUCUAUUCCAAACAGUAUUAUCAAACGCGGAUACUUUAAACAUGGAGACUAUAUCUGAAUCCGAUACAUAACAAAUACCAAUAUUCUUUUUAUAUUUGUGGAUAAAUUCUAAUAUUCAUUCUAUAUUCGUGAAUACUUGUCUAUAUGUAUUCACGGAAAAAUAUUUUAUUGGAUACUAAUAGGAUAGUUUUCAUAUAAGUACAAAGAUGAAUACUAGCAACACUCUCUCUACUCUUUUAUUGAAUGAAAUCAAAGUAUGUUCCACCACUUUGUGUGGGUUCAAUUUUCAAAGAAUAGUCCCACAAUGAUUUAAACUAAUAAGAGAGUGAGUAUUAAAAAGAGUGUUCAAAAGAUAGUGUUGUUAGCAUUGCUCAAGUACAAAUAUUUAGAAGGUACGUCUGCUACAUAUCAUAAAAAAAAGAUAAGAUAAAACAAAGCUAGACAAUAUUAAUGAAAAAUAUUUACUGCAUAUUUUUAUAAAUAUUUUAUAUGUACAUAAGUUUUAUUUUUCCUUCAAAAAAAGUUUUAUUUAAAUUAUUAUUAUUAUUUUUUAAAACAUACUAUAAGGUAGUAUUGCUUUUUCUAGUCAAAAUAAAAAUAAAAAAUUCUUUAAAUGACUUUAAUUAACUGUUAAGAAACAUUAAUUAAAGUUAGUUUUUCAUUUGAAGUUACAUGACAGUUGCGACGAAGAAAGUGAAGCGGAGUGCUCAAGUUUUUAGCCUCCGUAACUAACCACCCUUCAAACGGUUAUUAUUACAAUUCAUUCACAUUUUUCAGAUCUAUAACGAAAUUCAAUUCAAUGGAUCAUUUCACAGAAAAACUACCUUCAAUGGAUCUCAUGCGUUCCGAGAAGAUGACAUUUGUUCAAAUCAUCAUUCCCGCUGAGUCCGCUCACCGAAUCAUCACCUAUUUAGGCCAACUCGGUCUUCUUCAAUUUCGCGACGUAAUUUCUCUCUCAGAUCCUUACGCAUUUCUAUUUUCGCGCCUUUUUGUUUUUGUUUUCGUUAUUCCUUGAUUUGAAUGCGUUGAAUGUGUAUCGGUAUUUGUUUUGACUUUCCAGAUUGAGUGUGAAAAGUUUUUGUGUUUUAAUUUUGAAAUGCUGCAUUGUUGAAUUCAUGCGUUGAAUUCUGGAAUUUCGUGCCGGUGCGUUGAUUUGUUCAUAGAGAUUGUUCUAUUGUUUGUUGUGUCGUUGAUUCGAAUGCUAAGCUAUGAAGCAGCGGCUUAGACAUGACGCUAACACGUCGACAGCAGUAAUAAUCUUAGAAAAUGAAUAAUUUCAACAUAAUCACGUGUGUGGGCGUCAUGUUAGUCGUGUCGGAUACUAGACACACCUUUGAUUAGAGGUGUUGGUGCUACAAAGAUGCUAAGUGCUUCACUGGAAUGUAUGCAAAAGUAUUAUUAUCCAACAUUUAAUAGUAAUUUUUUUUUUUUGGUAUUUGAAUCUAAAUAAUGGUUUGAGAGUUGGUUGAUGAGAUGAUGGUUUUGUUGCAUUGAUGAGUUGCUUAUGUUUUACGUUGCAUGCUAAAUGUUUGGUUUUAGAAAAUUAUUUUAUGUGUUUUGCUUUUGAUUGCAUAACACAUUUGUUUCCUAUAUUUUCAAAGAUGCAUGUUAAAGAAAAAAAAUACGAAGUGUGGACUCAUGCAUAGACAUUAGACACAAUAUUGACACCUAGACAGUGAUAAUAAUUUGUAAAGUUGAAAGUGGUUGAAUGCAAUCACAUGCAUCAAUGUCGUAUUACUGUCGAACACCGACACACGUCGGAAGUUGGACACAACUUCAAUCUAGUAUCAGUACUACAUAGCUAUUUCACAUGCAAAUUUUUGAAAAUAGGACACAAACUGUUAGUUCUGUAAUAAAAAGUGAAAAUACGAAAUAAAAAUGCAAAAUGUUUUUUUAAACCAAACCGGGCCUACUAAGUUAUUUUCGAUUAUUUUCUCAUGUCACUGGGAUUUCAAGUACUUGGUGAAGAUGGGUUACAAAUACAUUCCUUGUUUAACUUGUUGAUAGGGCUUCAGUAUGGGUUUUGACUUCCAACUUACAUUGAACCUCUCUGUUCACUGCCUCCCACGGUGCUGUUGCAUAACUUUGGUGUAGGUUCAAAGGAUAAUUUUGGAAACAUGAUUAUUUUGUUUCGUGGUUAGAUUCUGAUUGUGUGUCAAUGUGUAUACUUCUGCUACGGAUAAUGGUAAAUUCUAUUGGUAAUUAAGGGCUUCUGUGUGACCAUAUAAGUAAAAAUUGGCAAAGAACCAUCUACAUAACAUAGGAGUAUAGUUAAAGUGCUGUACCGGUUGUCAUUUGUAGCUCGUUUGAGCCUAGAGUCUUGGUUGGAUCUGGAUCUCAAUAUUUCAGGAUGUGCUAGCUAUGAGACUUCAAUGUUUUCUAAUCUUGGUUUAUUCUCUCAGACAUUUCACCGGGGAAGAGGCUAGUGGGGUGAUAUUUUGAUUAUCAAUGAUAUUCUCUUUUGCAAUAGCAUAUAUUCUUAUGCAGUUCUGUAUCAUAUUACAAUUGUAUGCUGGCUGGCAAUAUGCUACCAUGCGAGUUAGGAAAUAUUCAAAGCUUGUUUAUAUUUCUCCUUUACCGCCAUAUGUGGGAUUCAAAAAGUAAGAUAAAUAUCCCAAAUUUCUGGUUUACCACCCAGCGAGAAAAGGUUUUGUUGUUGUAAAAUCUCUAGUAUGGAUGUUGGAGGUGUAAAAUUCUUCUAUGAUCUUUAAUCAUUGAAUUUCUUAUGACUGUAUUUUCUCAUUUGUAGUUAAAUGCUGAAAAAAGCCCCUUCCAGAGAACAUUUGUUAACCAGGUAAUCAACACUGCAUUAAUUAUCAGAAUCCCUGUUUCUUUUUCAAUGCCCUCUUUUUUUACUUUUGGAAUGGUACAUGAAUAUGAUGUUUAUGUUUAGACUUUGUUCGUGGUUGGGACUUGAAUACUUACUCGAUUUAGUAGUUAAAAUAAUAUGAAAAUGUAUAAAGCUGUUUGUUUCAUGUGAAUCAGAUUAUAGUUAUCCAAUCUCCAUAUUUUAUAUCAAAAGAUGGAAGAAAUAGGUUCAAACUUUAGAAAAUAGGUUGUUUGAUGAUGUUUUUCCUCUCUUUCUAGAAUUAAUGCCAACUGAAUUUGGUGUAUACGAUAUGGACAUUGACAAUAAUUAGGUAGAAGAGGAUGUAUAUGGUUGGCUUUGUGGUUGGGGUGGGUUGGGGAGCUAAGGAGUGAAGUGAUAAAAAGGGAGAGGGCUUAAUCGUACCCCCAAUGUAAUACUAACUAUAGUAACAUUUGUCGUUAAAAAAAAGAAUUUAGGUAGAAGAUGUGGUAAAGAGAGAUAAAAGAGACUGAAUAAUAAUUCUCUGAUGUAUAUUGAUGUGACAAUAAAAUGGCACUGACCUUUAUUUAUACUAAUAUUUAUAUUCCUAAUGAGAUUAUUAAAUAAAUCAUGAGAUAUAAUUAAAUGCCUACUAUUCUCAAGAGAUCUUUUAAGAUAUUCCAAAAAUAUUUUCAUAUAAUUAUGAUAUACUUAAAUACUUUCUAGAUAUUCUAAGUUCUAACAUUCCCCUCAAGAAUGAACCCUUUAAAACUGAAAAUUGAACUACACAAGUACAUUGACUAAAUAGUAGCAAGAUGGUUGAAAUGAGCACCUUCUAGAAGAGUUGGUUGGAACGUUGCCUUGCCAUUGAAGAAGAGAUUUCUUUGGAACGAUCAUCAAAGAGAAUUUCCUAUCAAACCACUAUUAGUACCAAUAAAUAAAACUUUUAAUUCAUUUUGCUAGAAAGAUACCUUAAAAAGAUGCCUCGAGUGAUUGUUCGCCUGAAGAGUUGGAUAGUGUUGCAUUACCAAGGAAGGAGAGAUUUGUUGAAACUGAUCUUCAGUGAAUUUUUUUGGACAAGCAAUUAUAAAUAUCAAGAUGCCAAAAACUGAACCUUCCCAUCCAUGUUCAUCAAGAAUAACGAUUGAAUGCUUUAAGGGGCAGAAAUUUUUUUAAAACUGAAAUAAAACCUGUACCUUAUUUUAGACAUACUCAAUCCAUGAUUUAAGAACAAAUCAUGGAAUAUAAUGAAGUUUGGCAACCAAGAUCACCCAUAAUACUCUAAAAUAUUAUAAGAUACAAUAACGAUUUCAUGAGAUAUUUUACAUGUAUUCUAUCAGCUAUAAUAACUAGUAUUUUUGGACUAGAUAUUAUUGAUAUCUAUCUUAAAAAGUUAUAUUGAUAUAUUAACCAAUAUCAACUGCAUUUUGUUUUUUGACAGGUAAAGCGAUGCGCAGAAAUGUCAAGAAAGCUACGGUUCCUCAUGGAUCAGGUCAAUAAAGCUGGGAUAAUGUCAUCCCAUUCUGUCUUGCAAUCAGAUACAAACUUGGAGGAUAUAGAGGUCCUUUUCUAUUUUACUUCUCUUUUCUCAAUUGAUAUGAUCAUUGUCCUAUCCUAGGGCCUUUCGUUCAAUAUGUUGCAAACUUGUAAUGUUGCCUGCAAUAUACUGGUUAUCUGCAGUUUCAUUAGUUUAUGUGGGGAUUUUUUAAUCUUGAAUCUGACAUUUUAAUUUGUGGAUUUCUCUUAAACCAGACGCAACUUGCUGAGCAUGAACAUGAGAUAAUUGAAAUGAACUCUAACAGUGAGAAACUUCAGCAAUCAUAUAACGAACUUCUUGAGUUCAAAAUUGUUCUGCAAAAGGUAUUUUCCAUGGCUAUUUGUGCUGAGCAUAUUCUCUUGUUACUUCCAAAGUACUAGAGUUAUCCAUAUGCUCUCUGUUAUUUAGGUUACAAAAGAUUUUCCCUGUUUGAAAAUAGUUAGCAAAUAUUGUUGUUUCUUAUCAUCACUUAGCAUUAGUUAUUGGAGUUUUACAGUUCAUUUGCUGCUCUAAUAUAGUUCUGUUUUUAAUCUACUCCAUCAAUUGAUAUUGUAUUCAAUAUUCAUAAUUAAUUAAUGCAAUCCUACUGUUUUAAUGUAAUAUACCUCCUAUAUACUCUCAUAUACAUAAAAUAUAGUUGUAUGGGCAUAUUUCAGGCAUGUAAUUUUCUUGUUUCAAGUCACGGACAUGCCCUUUCAGAAGAGAGAGAACUGGUGGAAAAUGUUUACUCAAAUGAGGACUUCGUUGAGACGCCAUUUUUGUUUGAACAGGUUCCUUGAGGCAUCCCUUUUUUCCCUUGAUAUUUAUUUACUGUGAAAAGUGUAGAUUCAAUUCCUAGGUUUUUUUUAUUUUUUAUUUUAUCCUUUAAGUUCACUAUAAUAAUUUUUUGUACAGGAAACGAUGCCUGGACCAUCAAAAUCUAACCAAUCUGGUUUAAGAUUUAUCAGCGGGAUAAUUUGUAAAUCCAAAGUUCUCAGGUUUGAAAGGAUGUUGUUUCGUGCCACAAGAGGCAAUAUGCUUUUCAAUCAGGCACCGGCUGAUGAGCAAAUUAUGGAUCCUAUUUCAACUGAGAUGGUUUUUUUUCUUUUUCUCAAUUUAAAAAAAUGCAUAAUUUGGCUUUAUUUUUAAUCUGUAUUUAGUUUGUUUUGGUUUAUUGUCCCACCAAUUUAUGCAUUGUUUUGAACUUUUUUUCAGGUUGAGAAAACUGUGUUUGUUGUGUUUUUCUCUGGGGAGCAAGCUAGAACGAAGAUUCUGAAAAUUUGUGAAGCUUUUGGUGCAAAUUGUUACCCUGUUCCUGAAGAUAUAAGUAAACAAAGGCAAAUAACCCGGGAGGUAAAAAUGCUUAGCUUAAGAACAUUUUAUCUGUUUUCCUCUUUAAUUGUUUUGUAACACAUGGUCCAGGGCUAAGUAUGGUCCAGUCUCUAUAUAAUACAGGGCUUUUCAGGUCUAUUGUUUAAGUUAGAAAAGUUAAUACAAUUUGUUAUUUUAAGUUGCAUGCCAGGGACUUCAACUUUUAUCAUAAAUUAAUAUUCAGAGAUCUUGUCUUGAAAUCCAAGAGUCUUCUUUAUAUGCUUUUUAAGAUUUCAGUUUGCAAUAUCAUUUUUUUGGGGAGAUACUUUCCAGCAAUAUCAGUAUCAGCAAUAAAAACUUAAAUGUGAGAGAAAAAUAGUAGACUGAGUGGACCUCUAGGUUCUUGAUGUUGUUUUAUAUCACUGCCUGUCACCAUUGGUAAAUAUAAAAACAGGAAGUUGAAAACCGUAAGAUUUAUAAGGUUUUUGUUCAGGAAAUUGGAAAAGAGAAAAUAUAGAACAAAUAGUUAUUAAUAUUGUUUAGAUAUCAUACAAAAGAAAAAAGCAUUUUACCCAAUUUAUAUGAAUACCAAUCCUAAAUAAAAAAUGAAAUAAAUUAUGAGAUGUGAUGAAAUAUGAAAGCCAAUAUUAAGAAUUGUCAAUGGUACUCUAAAAUAGUCAUAGAUACAAUAGUAGUAUUGUGAGAUACUUUCAAAAUAUUCCAAUAGAAACUAUGAUUUAUAAUUGAAAAAUAUAGUCUAUUGUUACAGGUUUCAUCGCGCCUUGCUGACUUAGAGGCAACUUUGGAUGCUGGGAUUAGGCAUCGGAAUAAGGCUCUAUCUUCUGUAGGAGGUCAUUUAGCAAAAUGGAUGGACAUGGUAAGCGCUGGCUUCUGAAUGACUUCUUGUCUAAGGUUUUUACGUUCUUUAUGCUGUAGGUUUAAAGAAGUCCUAAUAAUUUAUCAUUGUUUGAUUUAUGAACCAAUAGCUCUCAUCCUUGUCAUCUUUGUCCCAGGUAAGAAGAGAGAAGGCUGUGUAUGACACGCUGAACAUGUUAAAUUUUGAUGUCACCAAAAAAUGUCUUGUUGGAGAGGGAUGGUGUCCAAUAUUUGCAAAAGCACAGGUUUUCCCGUUAAAUUUGUUUGAUCCUCAGUAAUUAUUUCUUCCUUUUAAGUUUUGAGGAGUUGCAAACACCUUUCGUAUUUUUGUUAUAUUUUCUAGUAAAAAGCUUGUAUCUUCUGAUUUUCCAGAUUCAGGAUGCACUGCAACGUGCAACUUUUGACAGCAAUUCUCAAGUGGGGGCAAUCCUUCAUUCAAUGGAUGCACUAGAAUCGCCACCUACAUAUUUUAGAACCAACAGUUUCACAAAUCCAUAUCAAGAAAUUGUAGAUGCAUAUGGGUGAGCAAAUAUUUACUUUGUUUAUUAGCAGUGAUACAAAUAAGUUAAUGUGUUGAAAUAAGUUACCUUUCACAUAGUUAGAAAUAUAUGGCUAUGUGCUGUUAACAAUUGAAAGACUCCUAACAAGCCAUUUUAUUUGGCAGUGUUGCAAGAUAUCAAGAAGCAAAUCCAGCAGUUUACACAACUAUUAUAUUCCCAUUUCUUUUUGCGGUGAUGUUUGGCGACUGGGGUCAUGGAAUUUGCCUGCUGCUUGGAGCAUUGGUUCUUAUAGCACAUGAAAGGAAGCUCAGCAAUCAGGUAUUGUCAUUCUAAGUGUGACACAAAUAAAGUAGGCAUGGAAGGAUUUUGCCAAAAUAUCAUAAUGGGCCUCACAUGUGACAUCUAUUACGGUUGAUCUUCUUUGAUAAAACGCUUAAUUUAGAUAUAUCAAAUUUGAUCAUGCUUCUUUUUCCAACUGGUGUUUAAUAGGGCCAUGCUAAUGAUGUUAAAGUUUGAGCAUCCAGCUUUUCAUUUUUCUAUAUUUUACCUGAUAAACACAUAAUUUGGUGGCAAUUUUUUAGCCAUUUAAAAUAAGUUUUUGUCCUUUAAUAUCUUGAAAUUGAAAUAUAUUAUGGAUAAAAGUGCAAACAUUUACACAAAAAUAUCAUUUACCUAUGUUCUGCUCUUGGCAAAUUAAAGGCCCUAAAAAUUCUAUAUGAUUUCUGCCAGCGACUAGGAAGCUUUAUGGAGAUGUUAUUUGGUGGGCGCUAUGUGCUUCUUUUGAUGUCACUAUUUUCAAUGUAUUGUGGGUUAAUCUACAAUGAAUUCUUCUCGGUUCCUUUUCACAUAUUUGGUGCGUCUGCUUACAAAUGCCGAGAUAGUUCAUGCAGGUGUCUUCUAUUUGUCUCUUUACAGCUUAUAAUUUGUGUCAGUCUUUUUUGUUCCAUUACUUGUUGAUGUUUUAAUGUUAUUACUUUCAAUUUAUUUUGAGUUAAUCUACGAAGAGUUUUUCUCUAUUCCGUUUCACGUAUUUAGUGUGUCUGCUUACAUAUUCCGAGAUAGUUCAUGCAGCUGUCUUCCAUUUGGUUCUUUACAGUCUAUAGUUUUUGGGCAGUUGAUUUUUUUUUGUUCCAUCGCCUAAAUCAUUGGUGUUAAAUAUUGCCUUUUUUAUAUAUAUUGUUGACAUAUACAUUCAUUGUUUCUUACUAUUGUUGAAAAUUCUUCUAACUUUGGGACUUCUUUACCUUCUGACUUAUGAGUUGAGUGUGUGCAUUUUGAAUUUUGAGCACCAAUGAGUUAAUGAUUCAAAUUAUUUACUGUAAUAUGCCAUACAAGCAGUUAACUCAGGUGGUUGGGAUGGGUAGGUUUUGGGCAGAGGUCAUAGAUUCAACCAUUUUGUCCCACGUAGGUAGCUCAGUUGGUGAGCUAAGGGACACCAAAAUAGUUUUAAGAACGAGGCUCAGGGUUCAAACCUUGGAAAUUAACAUAACAGCUAAUUCACUAACAUUUGCCUAUCCAAAAACUAAUUCUUCCAUUCAUGUCAUGUUGAUGACUCCUUGAUUAUCAGACUUGAAAUUUACUAAAAUAUGAAUGCUAAUUCAAAUCAUUUUUCAGUGCCACUCUUAACUUGUCGACCAUAAUGAGAAGAAUUUUUUGUUUCGACAAUAUCAAAUGUAUUUGGUUAAAGUUCUGACAGAAACACCUGUAUGUUAUGACUGUUAUGUUUAAAAAUUGAAGCGCUGUUUAUUUAGGAUUGGUUCACAUUUCUUUAAAAUUAUCACCUUCAAAUCAAUGUAAAUAGGACCCGUUUGACUGGCUUCUCUGGCAUAGUUGCACUCUUCUGGUUGUCUCUUUUUUUAUGUUCCUUUUGUACUUUAAAAUAGUGCUAAUUUGAGUAUUUAUAUUGUCAGAUCAUGUGUAAAAUUAAAUGUUUUUUGUAGCCAGGCUUUAACUUGCGAUGUUUGAUUUUUCGUUGUUCUCCUCCUCUUGUUAGGGAUGCACACACUACUGGCUUAGUAAAAUACAGAGAACCAUACCCAUUUGGUGUGGAUCCCAGCUGGCGUGGAAGUCGUUCAGAAUUGCCCUUUCUAAACUCUCUCAAGAUGAAGAUGUCCAUUCUAUUUGGUGUGGUACAUAUGAACUUGGGAAUUUUAUUAAGUUAUUUCAAUGCUCAUUUCUUUGGCAGCUCACUGGAUAUAAGGUGUCUUACUCUUCUCACUUCCCCCUGUAGCUAUAAUUUUGCUAGCUAUAAGUAAAAUGUUUUAAUUUGCUCUUCAUGUUGCUUUAGGUAUCAGUUUGUGCCGCAGAUGAUUUUCCUUAACAGUCUAUUUGGGUAUCUUUCCCUUCUCAUUGUUGUCAAGUGGUGUACUGGCUCUCAGGCAGACCUUUAUCAUAUAAUGAUUUACAUGUUUUUAAGCCCCUUUGACAAUCUUGGUGAGAAUGAGUUGUUCUGGGGCCAAAGGCCACUUCAGGUAUGGUUCUUUUCUUCAUUGGUAGUUAAUAAUUGUUGAUUGAUUUAGUGUUUUUCAUCUUUUUAAAUUACUGUUCAUGAUAUGCAGAUUUUGUUAUUGCUUCUGGCUCUAAUUGCAGUUCCAUGGAUGCUCUUUCCAAAGCCUUUUAUAUUAAAGAAACUUCAUAAUGAGGUGCCUCUUUUGUCUCCCUUGUGUUUUGAUUUUAUUGUUUGAAAGUUAAUAACUUUGUUUACGAAACUUUUUAAUUACAUGUAAAUAUGUCUACAUUAUGUACACAUGCUUAUCGGUUUGAGUUUCCCCUUUACGACUGUGUUUCUGCUUAUGGUAGUCGAAUAAAAAAUCUCCCUAAUAUCCAUUCUAAGAUCAGUUUUCUUUGGACUAAAAUAAACAAUUUUUAAAUUAAAUACAACUUCAAUUGGCCAAGCUAAUUAUUUUUGUUUCUAGCAAUAGUUUGCCUUUGUUCUGUGCUUUUGUUGACUGCCAGUUAUUAACAAAGCAAUGUCACAGAUUUUAUGAGGAUUAUUAUUUAUCUAUCCUGAUGAUAUUACAGAGAUUUCAAGGACGCAAUUAUGGUGUGCUUAAUACCUUUGAAGCGGAUCUUGAGGUUGAACCGGAUUCUGCCAGGCAACAUCAUGAGGAAUUUAAUUUCAAUGAGGUCUUUGUUCACCAAAUGAUUCACUCCAUUGAGUUUGUUCUUGGUUCUGUUUCAAAUACAGCAUCAUAUCUUCGACUUUGGGCAUUAAGGUUUGACCAGCCGUGAUUUUCGCUACUUGCCUCAGUUUCCUAUUUUAUAAAUUCGCGAUUUGGUUGAUCUGUGACCAUUUUGCAGCUUGGCUCAUUCAGAACUUUCAACUGUUUUUUAUGAGAAAGUCCUGCUACUAGCUUGGGGGUAAGUGGCCUAUAACCUUUGAUAUGGUGUUUUUCAAACUCUAUGGAGUCAUUCCUGUUUACACUAUCUUCUGUGCAAUUUCCCCCUUCAAUGUGCAUCCCAUAGUAUACAAACUAUAAUUUAUAGCUGUAGUUGGGUUGAACGUUUAUCAUGCAAUGCUAAAUAAAGGAUGGCUUUUACACUGUGUUUGGAACGAUAGAUUUAGAGAAGAGAGUCUACGAGAGAAAUAGCAUAAAAAGACAGAAUAAAUCAUAUCUACGAGUGAUAUAACAAAACAUUUCAUGUGGGCAGCGUUACUUUACUUGCUCAAUAACUUUUAACUAAUUAAUAAAACUUAAAAUUUAAUUAUUUAAUUCAGCUGUUUAAAUAAACUUAAAACAAAUAAAUUUUUGACAAAAUAAAUUAUAUUUUUAGUUGAAGUAUAACUUUUACCAGAUAUUUUUUACGAGAUUAAUUUGCAUACUUUGUCAGUGUAAAAAGUUCUACAUUGUCGAAAAAUCACAACCACUCACAUGUUUGACUUUCAAAAUAGUUAUAGUCAAAGUCACAUGAUUUCAAUGAUCUGACGAUUAUGAUUUGCUGACGGUGUAAAAAAACCUUUACACUGACAUGUAUAUAACUUAAAUCCUUUUUUAGAUGGGGGUUAAUUUGUCAAUUCAUAAAACUAGAUUCUUCGCUCUUCUUUAUUUUUCUUCUUUUCUUUUAUCCCAUACAAUACCCUAAAUCUUUCAUAUUUCUCUUAUAUUUCUCUUUUCUCACACACUCUCAAACCUGUUUCUCUCCACAAUUUCUUGAGAACCAAACACACCCUUCCAUCGAGUACAUUUGGUCUUUUUGUAGAGAGGAAUGCUGUUUUUUUUUAUCAUGUGACCUUAAGAAGAAGUGUAAUGGCAAUAGAUACUAUCAAAAUAUGAAUUUGAUCAUCAAAUCGCUUAACUUGUUAUUUGAAGAUACUCUUGUGGUUGGUUUUGUAGGGAAAUAGCUAGCAUACCUCAAUGUUAAUGUAUUUUCUUGUAGCAGUGAAAGUAAGUUUUAUGGAUUAGGAUCGUUGAGAUUGAAGUACGAAAUGGGUAUCAUUGGUUCAUUGUUGAUGAUAGUUAGAAACUCUUUCUUUAUAUAGGGAUUAGUCGGUAAGAUACUUAUAUGAUGUAGAGUACUUUUUGAACAGACAUUGUAUUUAUGGUUUGGGUUUGUGGCACUAUUGUCAUUAGAUUUCUGGCUGACAAAAUUAUUUUAAUCAAUACGGGUAGAUUAGUGUAGCUUCUGAUGGGUCCCAGGAAUUUUACCUUGUCAAGAUAUAACUAUGCAACCAAUUUCAAUUUCCCCACUUUAUGAAUAUAAGCAUUUCGUUUGUCUAUGGGGUUAAAUUGCAGAAAUAUUAGUUAAAAAUUCAUUGAGCUGCACGAAAAAACCUGUUAUCAUGUAUCCACUCUUUUGUUGAGGUGUCUUAUGCUCAAGAGUUACCCAUCUAUGUUUGCAUUCCUUUACCUUAUCUAUGUUUUCUCAAUUUCAUUUUUUCAUCUUUAAUCAUUGAUGUCAUUGCUGAUUGCAAUUUUAAUAGGUAUGACAAUCUUAUCAUUCGGUUAGUGGGGCUAGUUGUUUUUGCAUUUGCAACUGCUUUUAUACUACUUAUGAUGGAGACUCUGAGCGCUUUUCUUCAUGCCCUGCGUCUUCAUUGGGUUGAAUUUCAAAAUAAAUUCUACCACGGUGAUGGAUACAAGUUCAGACCUUUUUCCUUUGCCACCUUAACAGAGGAUGAAAAUUGAUAAAUUUGUCUCCCUUGUUUAUGGACAAAUAUACGCAAAGGAUAUAUACAUAGAUAGAUUGAACAGAAAACGAUAAUUUGGCGGCUAUGGACGUCCAUUUGCCUGAUGUUGUGCAGCUUGAUAUUUGACUGAGCAACAAAAUUCUGGCUCAUUUUCCCAUGGCUAUGCUGGUGUGACAUAUUUCGACCAACUGUCGUGGAUGUCAUCUGUAAUAGAAUUUUCACUUUCUUAUUUUUCAUUUUAUCACUUAGAGUAGGAAAGUUAGAGAAGAUAUUGGUUAGACUAAAUUUUGUAAAGAGAAGUCCAUCAUAGUGUAGCUAUUUGGUACAAACAAUGUAGCUUGGACUUUUGAGAAGGUAGGCAUUCACUCUGAAAUUUUCUUGUAAUGUUUUUUCACAAGUUAUAAUCCCAUUCUUUUAUAUCCUUGUAAGGUUUAAAUUUAUUAGGUGUUACACUACAAAAAUAAGUACUGUAAGCUUAUUUUAAACUGAAAAGCAUUUAUGAAAUUUCUGGCACGUUAGACUUAAGAUGUUCUAGACGAUGUUUCAACACAGGUUAUUCACAAACAGAUGUUGAAUGAAAUGUUUCAAACACUAAGCUAACAAAGACAAGUAAAACGCAAAUGAUAAAAGUAAAAAGACACAGUGAGUUUGUUAACCCAGUUCGGUGCAACGUCACCUACUCUGAAGGCUACCAAGCCAGGAAGGAAAUCCACUAGUGUAGUCCUUAUUCAAUAGCUCUCAGCAAACUCCUCGUAUGCACUAUAUGGACCUAGGACCUAUCCGUACUGACUUCAACCUAGGAACUCGUAGAUCUGAGAUCCCAUCUCACUCCCUUGCAACUGAUCAUAGCCCCUGUGAUACUCAAAUAACAAAUACAAUCAAAAUGAAGUUAUCUUCAAACAAAAACAACUGGACACCGUACUUCACAGCUUUGGUGUAGUUUACAAACUACCUAACUCUUUGCUUAAAAGCUUCAGAAUAGUGCACAAAAUACAACUCAAACACAGUCCUAAACAUGCAUCAAGAUGAUACACAAAAGGCUCACAUAAACAGACUCAAAAUCCUAGAUGAUCUAUUCUUCAAAAUGACGGCUUGAAUAAUGCUCUAGGUUUUCCAGUCUCGUUUAAAUACUGAAACAAUACGGGUUAUUAAUCUUGUUGGGCUUCAGAAGAAUCCGGUGAUCCAUUUCACGAUCAACAGAAUCAGAAAAGGAAACUCCUAAUAUGUAGGCACAUUAUUAGAAACAUCCUGAUCACCUCCAAACUUUCCUAAGUAGAUAACACAAUCUUAGAAAAUCACACACCGAUCUGAUCCUGUGCUAAAAACACGCAGCUUGACCAUCAAGAAUAAAGGCGUGAAUUCCUUAAAUAAAAUUGCGCAUGCGUAAAACAAGGCAGGGUGCAGGUCAACUGAACCAAUGCCAAGAUGUUGGCACAUCUUGUACAACAUCUCACAUGAAUAUUUGUUUUAGGCAAAAGUGAAGCCAAUAUACAAAUAUCCAACAAUUUAUAAGCUAGAAGUUGAUUCAAACUGUGCCUGAGUGGAGUCUCUCAUAUUGUGUUUGUGAUGAAAUUUAGUUGUCUGUAUUUGUGUUGAAUAAUGGAAGUGUUUACCUUAACUCCUUUGAAAACUAAAAAGAACAUACACCAUUGAAGUACCGAAUAAAUAGCCGAAAAUCACUAAGAUACCAGUACCAAAAUCCAAUGUUUCUGCAAAUGCAACAGCCACUAGGAGUGGAAUGUUGACUGCAGGUUCCUCAAAGAAAAAUCAGAAUGCACAUUCUGGUAAGUUCUGCGGUUUGUAAUUGUAUUUGAUCCUUUUUUAUGAAUUUAAAUUCUUUAUAGCCAGGAAUACGCUUUAGAAGGAAAAUGUAAAUAGUUAUAAUCGUCAACUUAAAAUUCAAUGCAUGAGAUUUAAACAAUUUUAUAGUUUGUUGCAGAAAUACAUGCUUAUGAUCAAUAAUCUCAACCAUUGGCUUUUAAAUCAAUCUUUGGUACGGCUUUUUUUUUCUUCAGCUUCUCCUCCAUUUUUAAGGAGAAGUUAGGCUAACCACAAUAUCAAUAAAGUACCUUCGGAAAAAAAUACUUUUUUUAGAAUGCAUAAAAUUGAAUGGAAUGAGCUUUAACCAAAAGUUGUUGAAUGCUAACUUCAAAAAACUACUUCUCCGUAAUUUAUUUCACAAACAAUUCUCUUCAACUCACGCAUGCAACCUUUUCUUUUAUUUUUUAAUAUUAUAUUUCAAUUUAUUUAUUCAUUUUCCAUUUAAUAAUUUUUUAAUGUUGCGUAAUGCGUAUAAUUAUUAUUUUUAUAAAAUUUUGAUUUUAAUUAAAAGUAAAAGUAUAGAUGCCUAAAAAAAUUAUACUUAUAUAUAUUUUACACAUUUAUAUUGUAACAAAUUAUGCAUAUCUUUUUCUUAUUAAAAAAACUAAACAUAUCUUUUUCAACGACACAUGUAAUAAAUAUAAUAUUAUAUAAUACAAUAUAAAUUCUUAUCUUUUUAAAUGACACAAAAAAUAUGGUAUUCUUAUAACAAAAUUUGUUAUACAGUAUAAUUGGAAAAGAAAAAACAAACUAUUCUCUACCUUAACACAAUUGAUAUAGACAAUGCAUAAAUAUAUGCAAGGUCGCGGGUUCCAACCCCAGUCACCACCAAAAAAAUAAUAAAUUCAAAGUUUUGUAAAAUAUUUUGUCAAACAACUUUUAACUUAAAAAUAACUUUAGAACUAAUAAAAAUAAAGAAACCAAACAGUUUUAGUUUUUUUUCCUUAAAAGGUUUUAUUUUAACUUUAUUUUAAAGUAGUUUUUAGAUCGAAAAAAAGUCUGACCAAACGGUAUGUUAGUAACUUCUCAUUUUCUCCUUAAAUUGAAUCUGUUAUUCAGAAGGGUGAAAUUCCUCUUUUAUUUAAUUUUUUUUUUUUUUAUCCACAAACAUUUGCAACCCUGACUAUGAAACUUGUAACAUGCAUGCAUGCCCUAUUAUUAUUUUCAUUAUAUAAUGUGAAUUUCAUUUUCACACACACAUGUUUUUAAUCAAUUAACAAAAUUUGAGGUUUGUAAUCUCUAUGAAUUUCACAGGUAUUUCUCUUGAAUUACUACCAAUCAAUCCUCAAAAUUUAUUGACCACGUUUUGCUCAUUUUAUAGGUACUAUAUUUCGAGUAAGGGGCUUAUGGCGGCUAUCAUUAAGUUCAGUAUCCAAUCAACCUCGCAAAUGUCUUGUCAAUGUGUGGCAAAAUUGUUAUCUCAGAGACCACCUAUAGCUGAUUUGAGCGAACACUUGCAAAUAUAUAUUUUUAAAGAUGGAUGAAAUUAAAAACUGUGGAUCUCGAAUUAUUGCCGACCUUUGGCCAUAUGUAAAAAAAUUUAGUUUAAUUAUUACGCUUUAGCUUUUGGUUUGUAAACUUUAGUGUCCUUUGAAAAUUCUAUAUGUAUCUUUAGCGAGUAUUUGACUAUCUUUAUCAUUAAAUAUGAAUGAAGAAUGUCUCAAUACAUGAUCCUUUUGGUUGUAUCGUUGUUACUUUAACAUUCGAUUGAAUGAAGCUUAUUUUACCUAGAAAAAAAUUAUCAAUAAAACCUAGACUAAUUACAAUGCAUGCAGAAUAGAUCAAGAUAGAGAUAGGACUCCCAAUAAGCCACACCCACCCUGCAUAAUUAUGCAGACUAGACCGAAAAAUCCAUCCCCAAGCAAACACCCCAAGACCACUUUCAACCAAUGAUAACACUAGUAGGAAAAUCACAUAUAUGAACAACUAAGUUGAAUUCUUUUGCAGAAAAUAUUAAACGACUACAAACAAAGACACCACAUAUAUGAACAACAUGGAAGACAAAAUAUUGUCCAACAAAGUACCAGCCACCAGGUACUUCAAGUCUCGAAAUAGAAAGAGAUGUUACAAAUUUUUUUGGAGGAGAUAUUCGAAUAUUUUUUUGGGUGAUCGAGUAGAUAUUCAACUUUAAUUCUAUAUUAAACGAACAAGUAUUGAAUACAGAACAAUAUAUAUGUAACACUGAAUUUAUUCAAAAUAUUGGCAUAAUCAUUUGGCUUGCUUGUAGAAGGGUCUUCAGCCAUGCACUCAACUUUUAGCUUCAUAUAGCAGCUUCUAUUUUUCUUUUUUUGGAGAAACAUAAAACCAAAAUGUGAGCUAAAUUUAAUAUGGCUGAAUGUUUAAAAAUAAAACAUACAAGGAGCGGAAAGCAAAUGAAUACAUCAAACAAUGUACUUGCAUUAUUAAUUAUGAGCACAAGACGAUGAACAACAAAAUGCCGCACUUAGACGAUAAAAUCACAAAAACACAAAAGAAAAAACUUGAUAGAUGUGAAAACCACUUAUUUAGAUUGAAAGAAAAAGGGGAAAAAAGAUGUAGAGAGGUGAUUCUAUGUCAAAAAAUGACCUAAAACCACCCCUCCUCAAUGAACGAAGGAGAAAGAAAGUUUAGAGAGAAAUUGGAGUUUCUCUCUCUAAAAAUCUAAGAGAAUCAUUGACUAGAGAAUAAUUUGAUUGAUUGCUUGGUUUAGUACUCACAUAAAGAAAAAUAUAACAUAUUUUUGAGAGAAUAUUUAAGAGGCAUUGUAAUAUUCUUAAAAUUAAAAGUAUAUUAAUCAUAAGUAUUAGUUUAUCGUUCUUUAAGAAACUGUUCUUUAAAAAAUAUGAAUUUUUUAUCCAUUUUUCUAUAUAUUUCCAACCCCCUCCCCUCCCGUUCCCUCCAAACUCAAACAAAGCCUAAUCAGACUAACUUAGAUCUUGCAAAUGUUAAUACUGUCCAAUUACAUCUUUAUCCUUUCCCUACCGUUUGAAGAUUCUUUGUAAAUCCGUUACACAACGAUUCCCGCUUACCAUCACUUUGAAAUUUCGAAGCAUUCACAGAGUAAAAAACAAUCGAUGUAAAUUCAAAUCCACUUCACACUCUCAGCAACAACUUCAAAUCGAAGAAGAAAACUACAAUGAAAUCCAUCGUCGAUUCAAUCUCCGAUCUCUCUCUCUUAGAAAUCUCCGGCGAAGACGAUUCUCUUCUCUCCGACAGCACUCCCACUGUCACCGCCGCCAAUGUUUUCUCUUGCUCUCCUCUCGUUUCCGCCAGAUCUCGUCCUCGUCAAAUCAGUUAGGGUUUUAACAUUUUCGUUUUGUUCAAUUUUCUUCGAUGAUUUUGCAAUGGAUGAUAAUUUACCAAUGUGAUUUGCAGAGGGAAGUGAAAUUGAUAAUGUUGAUUCUGAAGAUUUGGAUUCGUUGAGGAAUGAUAGUGCCAAUAAAGAAAACGCAAAAUGGAGUAAACCUGAAGGAUUGGAUUCUUCUCAAAAGAAGAAAAGGAAGAAGAAAUUAGGUGGUUUUAAUUUGCGUAAAAGCUUGGCAUGGGAUCGAGCUUUUUUCACCGAACAAGGUAUUUUCUAUUUCCAUUUUUUCUUGGAUGAGUUGUGAAAAUGAAAGUCAAAGUUUGAGCAAUUUUAUUUUUUACCGAUUGAUUAAUGUUAAUGCUGAAACCCUAAUAAUUAGGUGUUUUGAAUCCCUUGGAGCUUUCUAUGAUAAGUGGUACCGUCACUCCUAAUUCAAAGUCGAAUUUGAAUUUGGAAGCUAUCGAGGAAGAAGAACCAGCUACAACUUCGUUAGCAUUGCAGGAAAUUGAAGAAAAUCUGUUUAAGCAUUCAUCUGGAGGUGCUUCAAUUAGAAAUAGAAAGAUUAGUGCUGUUUCGGCUUUAUCUCCAAAGCCAGUUUCAUCCAUCAAAAAAACAAUACCAGUUGCUUCCUUGGUUAGUCUAUCAUACUAUUUACAUUAUCGGUAUAUGUAACGGUGUAUCAUAGCUAAACUGUUCUUAAUUUCUAUCGUGUGUUGUUUUGUUUUGUACAUAUGUUUAUAGGCAAAGCGGAAGAUUCUUGCAGUCAAUGAUGUUGGAAAUAAGUAUAAGCGCAGUGCUUGUCCAAGGCCGGUCAUAACUUCAUCAUCAUAUCCUUGCCAUUGCUUGUUAAGAUACAUAUUAUUAAUAGUCAGUUUAGUAUGGAAGAAUCUUAUGAAAAAUAAUGUUGAAAAAAUCUUACUUAUUAUUAAUAGUCAGUUUAGUAUGGAAGAAUCUUAUGAAAAAUAAUGUUGAAAAAUCUUAAUGUAAAUGAGUUUUUUUUUUUUUAAAAAAAAAAAAAGGUUAUAUUGAAUAAGUUGAAAGUAACUUAUAAGGACAUUUUCAUGAGUGAGAAACUGUAAACUUAUUUUAAUUGAAGUGAUUUUAUAAAUUUGAAGUUGAUUCAAACUGUUCCAAGUGGAGUCUCUUAUAGUGUGUGUGCUGGAGUUGAGUUGUGUCUGUAUUUCUGUUGAAUAAUGCAAGUGCUUACCUUAACUCCUUUGAAAACUGAAAAGAACUGUCACUGUGAAAACUCCGAGUAAAGAGUCUAAAAUCACUAGGAUACCAGUACCAAAAUCCAGUGCAACUGCAACAACCACUAGGAGUGGAAUGUUGAGCUCAGGUUCCUCAAAGAGAAAUCAAAUUGCAAAUCCUGGUAAGUUCCGCGGUUUGUAUUUAAUCCUUUUUUCUGGAUUUAACUCCUGCAAAACAAGGAAUACACUUUAGAAGGAAAACAUGAGUAGUUAUUGUCGUGAACUUUAUAGUUUGUUAGACAAAACACAUGCGCAUGAUCAUAAUUUCAACUAUUGGCUUUUUUAACCAAUCGCUAAUUUUUCACUUUUCCGUUUAAAACGAAUCUCGUACUUCAGGCUUCUGAACUUCAGAAGGGUGAAAUCCCUCUUUUUCUAUCCCUGAAAUUUUGCAACCCUGGCUGUGUAACUUAUAAUUUUCAAGUACUAUUAUUUUUAUUAUAUAAUUUGAAGCUGGAUCAGUUAACAAUUUUAGUGUUAUUGUAUUCGAGGUCUGUAAUCUCUAUGAAUUUCACAGAUACUGGUUUUUCUUGAAUUACCAAUCAUCAAAAUUUAUUGAUCUUGUUCUGCUCACUUUGUUUCUCAUCUACAGUCACUAAUGUUCCGAAGUAUGCUGGAGUAAAGGGCCCGUCAAAAAAUCCUAGAACUGUGGCAAGCAUCCCAAAAGUUGAUCUGGCUGAUAAAUGUUCUGUUAGUAGAACUCUUACCAAGCCGGCUGGAAAACAUUUGGUGGGUACUUUAUCCAAUUACUUUAGAUUUUAAGUAUUCAUCAUUUAGUCCAUCGAUUUGUAAUUCCUGUUAUUUAACUACUGAGUAUUUGAUUAUUCUCUUGAAAUGUUUUUAACCUGCACAGGAUAACUCGGUUUCUGCGAUACGUCCACCAUCCAGAAUGAAUCAAACAGGAAAUGGAGCAAAUAAGGUGUCUGAAGCUGGUUUUCCUCCAUCCAAAAUGCAUCAAACAGGAAGUGGAGCAAAUAAAGCUUCUGAAGCUUGUCUCCCACACGGAAUUUCUGACACUGAUAAGAAAAAGCAACAGACUCUUUUUCAAACAUCAAAGUCGUCAGGCCUAAGGAUGCCAUCUCCCUCAAUUGGAUUCUUUUCUCAGGUAUGGUUACUCUGUUUGGUUCGGUAUUUCAUAUUUAGGAGAAUGCAUCUAUAAAAUAACACUCACAUAUUGAUCUUGUGUCCCUGAUUACUGCUUUGCAGGCUAAAGCUUCCAGUUCAAACGGCCAAUUGCAGAAAAGCUCUAUACCUUGCAAACCUUCUGAGAGUAACAUUCCUAAACUAAGGAAGUUGGGAACAAGUUCUGUUAAUGAUGCAAGGUCAAAAACUGUCCAAGGGGCAGCCAAGAUUCGUACUAAGGAAUUAAGCCUUUCAGAUGUCAAGUCAGAAAUAGUCGUGCAAAUAGACAAUAAGAAGAUGGCUGAAGUGGAAUGUGACUCUUCAAGUUUUGAAAAAAUAAGUAAGCAACCAGAGGUUAAAAAUAUUCUUGAGGAUGUCAUGUUAAAAUCUCAGGAGCAACGAGAACUACAUGAAAAUGACCACGAUUCUGGCAUUGAGAACAUGGUAUUAUUCCCUACAGAUGAAAAGGAACUUCUUACAAAGAGUCACACACAUGAGCAGUUAGAGAAAGAGACUGACCGUGCUAUGGAUGAAAAGUUAUAUGAUGUUUCAUCAAAUGGGGAUCAGUCUUUAUAUGUGGAGCCACAGUCUACAAACUGUCCUAUCAUGCAAGAAACUUCAAAUAAUGUUUCAAAUACUGUGCAUAAUGCUAUAGCACAAGAUGAAAAUGACCAAAUCAAAGGGCCCACCUAUGACAUUCCGGCUUUCAAGGAAAUUUUGGUACUACAGGCAGAUCAUGAAACUUCUAUUAAGGAUGGAAAACAUUCUGGGGAGUUUAAGGAAUGCAAUAGUGUCAAGACUGCCCUUUUAAAUUGCAGCCUUGAUGAUUUUUGGAAAACUGUUCCCGAAGGAUCUGAACAAGGAACCCCGUGUAAGAAUACUGAAGAGGUAAAUUGUGGUGCUGGUGAAUUUGGUAGAUAUGGAGAUGUACAAUUGCAUUUAUUGAAUGAGAAUCUCUCAAUCAAUUGCAAUGAGACCACCCAAAGUAAUUUAGAGGCAGUUAGUCAGCAGUUUCUGGGGGAACAACUCAAGACUCCAUUUCUUAGUAGUGUAGGAGAAAUUGGAUCAGAAAAAGAAAAUAUACCGGAUAUGAAUAGUUCUCAGCCAGCUCAGGUGACAACCUUAUUUUCUAAAGGUUCUCCUGAGAAGUCUAUACUAGAAAUCAAUGGUGCUUCUAAGAAUGAAUCAAAAAUAGCUGAAAUCAAAGACUGUCAGCUUCCAGUAGAUGGUCAAUCAGGUUUCUCCCCAAGAAUCCCAAUGGAUGGGCAAUACGACCAGGUUAUUGACUCGAAAGCAAUUCAUGAUGGAACCCGGGAGUUUGAAUUGGAUAAGUUGAGUGAAGGUUGUAUGACUGUUUCAGCAACUGCUUGCUGCACUAUUGUAACUAAUGUUUCUCCGGAACGAAGACCUUUUCCUGAGAAUAAUGUAAUAAACCUCCGCUUAACACCUCAACUAUGUCCAACGGUAAAAACUGGUUGUGAUUCCGGGGGAAAUAAUAUGCCAAUUACCAACAGCAGCAGCAUUUCUGAAUUGCAGAUUAAAGAUGGCAAUUUUUCUACAGAUACUUCAAUAAACUGUGAGGUUCAGUGUGAUGUCCCUGGAAACAUUGAGCAGCAAGCUGGUAGUGUGUUUAUAUAUCCUGAAAUUAAUAAAAUAUCUUGUGAAGAUGAGAGUCUAGUGCCAAAUCAUGGGCACUUGUUUCAUCAGAGUGAGUUUUCUGAAGUUUCUCCAGAUGUAAUUUCAAACAUCGAGGAUCCUAUUGGCACUGGAGCUGAAAAUUCCUCUGGCCUUUUACAGCAUACUCAGCUUUCAUUGGCAGAUAAUAAUAUAAAUGCAUGCUCUCAUCUUCCUGAGUUUCAAAAGCCUAGCGCUGCGGCUACUGUAGAUACCCAGGUUGUUAAUAACAGACUGCACUUGGAUAGUGACUUUCUGCCAACAAUUAUCGUUUCAUCUGCAGAAAUCAAGGAACAAACUUUAGUUGACGGUGCAUUUGAAGGAUGCAGGUUCGAUACAAAUGAGUGUGGUACUUCUAAUCAUCACAAUUACCGAGAUAUUGAGGAAUCACACAUGGAAGAGGCACAAGCGCAAUCCUUUGAUGAAAUUCCUGUGGCAUAUGACUGCAGCAGCAAACACUGUCCUGCGCUUAUUAAUGAUCAGUUCUCAUUGGCAGAUGAUAAUAAUAGAAAUGAGGAUUCCCAUCUUCCUCGGUUGCAAAAACCUAGUGAUGUUGUUGCUCUUGAUUCCCAGCGUGUUAAUAACAUAUUGCACUUGGAUAUUGAAUGUGUACCAACAAAUAUUGCUUCAUCUGCAGAAAUCAAUGAACAAAAUUUAGUUGAGGGUGCAUUUGAAGGGAGUAAUGAGCACAAUCCUUCCAAUCAUCAUAUUCAAGAUAUGCCUGAAAACAAAGAUGCAAAUCAUGAUGGGGAUGAAAAGGUGGAGCUUUUGCAAAUCGAUGGUGCUGAAGAAGGUUCUUCGGACAUAUCGUCGGUAGUUGAAGUUCAACACAAUGAGAUUGCUAUUUCUGCUUAUCUUGAUUCUUCUACUACUGAAGUGAGUGAAGGUCCCUUUGCAAGUGUAGCUGCUUGGAAGUCUGAGGAGCAAUGUUUUUUAAGUGAAAAUUCGAAGUUACUAGCUUCAGAUAAUCCAACUUUCAAUGCAACAAUCCCAGAAGGCAGCGAAGUAAAUCCGGUGAAACUCAAUGAGAUUAUUUCUACUGAGUUUGAUUCUUCUACUCAAGUGAGUGAAGAUCCCUUUACAAGUGUAGUUGCUUUGAAAUCUGAGGAGCAAUGUCUUUUAAGUGAAGAAUCAAAGUUACUAGCUUCAGAUAAUCCAACCUUCAAUGAAACAAUCCCACAGGACAGCGAAGUUAGCUCAUUGAAACUCAUUGAGGAUGUUGUUUCUGCUGAAUUUGAUUUUUCUAUUGAAGUUAGUGAAGAUCCCUUUACCAGUUCAGUUGCUUUGAAAUCGGAGGAGCAAUGCCUUUUCAGUGAAGAAUCAAAGUUGCUAGCUACAGAGAAUCCAACCUUCGAUGCAACAAUCCCACAAGGCAGCGAUGUUAGUUCAGUAAACAGUGAAAGUUUAUCAGAUGUAGGUGAAACUAAUAUCUGCAGGAAUGAUAAGUUGCCUAAAACUGACAUGCUAUGUCAGACAAAAUGCAACAUCAACUUUCCAGAAGACAACAGCAAAAUGAUUCAUCUGUGAGUAUCUUAUUUUGCCAUAUAACUUUUGUUCAUGUACGCUUUGGCAACCUUUCCAUUUUAAAUUUAAGACUGUUUUGAAGCUUCACAAAUUGAGUUAUUAAUGUUAAUUUUGCGAAUGGCAGUGAGAAGGUUGCAACUAAAAGCAAGCAGGAAGUUCCUAUCUUGAAGCCUCCACCAAAUGUUGCUCCAUUUACUGAGGAAUGGUUAGCUGCAAUAGAAGCCGCAGGAGAGGUGACUCAGAUUUCUUACCAAGUUUCUUUGCAUGACAUAGUAUUUCUUUCAUGCCUAUUUUCUUGUUUUCUAUUUUGAAGUCUUGCAUUGCCAAGUUUUUGGGAUUUAACAUCAAUCCUUUCUUAAUAUUUAUGAUUAUGUAUGUUCAUGAUUGUUAACUCUACAUAGACCAUUAUUAGUUCUUUGCAGUGCGGUGAUUUUUACCAUGUUUAAUUCAUCUUAUUCUUUGUGUCUCAGGAGAUUUUAACGAUGAAAGGCGGCGCUGUACAAAAUUCCCCCCCUGAGAAGGCGCAGCAUGAACCAAGUCCUUGGUCACCGGUAGGUCCAUUCUUCGGUAUCUAGAUUUUAUUCAUAUUCGAAGUGAAGCGUAAGGUUGUUGUGGGAACAACUGGUUUUUCUUUUUCCUUUCAAAAUAGGAUGCAGCAAUUUAAGAUUACCUACCGCAUAGUCCCAUACCAGUGUAUACUGCAACAAACAACGCACACAAAAAAGGAAUUUGACCAAGAAAUAGAAAACGAACAUAAUAUACAUCUUACUUUAAGUAUCUUUGUGGUUUUGGAUAUCUUGAAAGGAAAUGGGACAAACUUGGUUUCUUGCUGAUGUUUCCUGAACUAGAAUGGACAGGGCAGGGAACAGAAACUGCUCUAUUAAAAUGGGAAAUUUUGCAGUCUCAUUUAUUUGUGUAAUUUCUAUGAAUUUAAUCCUUAAUUUAAAAACAUGUAACACUAGAGUCAAGAGCUAAGUAUUUGAUAGUCGUAUUUUGUGAUUAGAAUUAGAUAAUCCAUUGGAAUUAGGAUGACUAGAAAAUUUGUGGAGUUUCACAUUAUAAAAGUUGCAUAUCAUUAAUGUUAUUCAUUUUGAUAAUGUAUUAUUGUGAGUAUAUAGCUUAUUUCUUUGUUUCAUUUUGAUUUGCAGGUGAAGAAAAAUCAAGCGAUUGGACCAUUUGAUUGUACCAAAGUAACCAAGCAUAACAUCCAGAAUUCUGAUCCAUCAUGACAAGUCUUGGAUUUGAUCAGAUACAACCUCAUUAAUCACUAACAUUUUUUUUGCAUGAAUCAAUUCUUUGACAGCUUUUUAGAAGUUAUAACAAGUUCUGCGGCGCAAAGUGCCACGUGGAUAGAUUUAACCAGUUGCCACAAUUACGCCUUACUCUUUUUUUGGAGAUGCGUAUAAAUAAGUAUUAAACUGAUUGUUCUCAAAUUGUAAAUGAUAUUGGUGUCCUAGUUUUUUUUCCUCUUCAAUAUGAACUUUUUUCCAAGUUCUCCACGGGGUAUAAGAUGCUGAGACUAAUCUACAUGGUGUCCUGUUUAGCUCGAUGCAGCUCUUUCAUCACAGUUUAAAAGAGAUAAAAUCGAAUGCAAUUUACUUUCAAUAUGUUCUGCCAUUUUAUAUAAGAUUCAUGGCAUAAGAUAGAUCAUAGAUAUUUACUAGUUGCUUAUUGUAUGUCAAGUUCUUGGAUAAUUAUUUAUUAUAUGUAUCUGCAAUUAAACUAUUUUAGACGGUGAAGAUAAGGUUUCUAUAGAUUUCCAAUAGCAAGCAUUUCGUAAUUGUCACAUUUUAUCGUAGAGUUUAAUUUAAUAUAGGCUUAAUAAAGUGAUUAGUCCUUGUAAUUAGGGAUCGUUUAAAAAUUCGUUCCUGUAAUUGCUAAUCCUGGCAAUUUAGCCUUGCAAUUGUUAAUCAUUUAAAAUUUCAUCCCUCUCCCCACUUAAUCACUGCCACGCCACAUGAAAUUCCAAAUUUACCCCUGGGUUUCCAAUUCUUUCUUCAAUAUUUUGUCCUUUUCUUAAGGGCAAAAUUGGAAUUUCAUGUGUGACAGUGAUUGCCACGUCAUCAAAUUAUUGACGUGGCAGUGAUUAAGUUGGUCCAAGGACCAAAUUUUAAAUGAUUAACAAUUGCAAGGAUUAGCAAUUACAGGGACGAAUUUUUAAAUGACGCCUAAUUGCAAGGACUAAUCACAUCAUUAAGCCUUUAAUAUAUUGUAAAAAAUUUGACAUUUGAAAAAGUAGUAUGUAAUUUUGUUCCUUGUCAAAAAUCUUCCGUAGUAUAGUGAACUAAAGUCCGGAAUCAAACAUGACAGGCAACAAGCCAAAGGAAAGCAUCAAAUUUUCUGAACCAUGUAGGAAGUACUUAACUGAAAGUUUUACCCACAGAAUUCAUAUGCACUCUAUGAAUAAUAUAGCAGAAAAAGCUAUAAAUCAUGGUAGCAAAUUAGCAAUGAGUUAUAUCAAUGCAAAUAACUUAAGCAAAUUACAGAGUUUAGUCAAAUCUCUAGCACCGUUGAAUAAAUGGAAAUGGUGCAUACUUAUUGAACAUAGUGCUAAACUGGUCAGAACUAUUGUUACACAUGUAUAGAUCUCUAUAUCUGAAGAUUUUAAAUAUAGAUUUUCCAAUGUGUGAGCGGGACUUUAGACAAAUAGUUGUUGGAAUUGGAAAUUUAGCAUUCUGUAUUCUGAGUUGAAUGAAGCUGUCUGAGAGCAUUUAUCAAAACUGUACAGGUCAGGCAUAAAUGAAUAUAUUUGGAUACACAUCGACCAAAUGAUUUCACUGUUAACAUAGUUAUAAAGAGCUCAACUCAUCAGCAAAUCAAAGUGAUUUGAGGGGAAACUUGAACAAAGCGGUUGUUGAUUUAAGGAGUACAAAUGUGCAGUAUAAAAUCCAAGUCUUUGGAUGGAGACUUUUACAUGGAUUUUUGCCCACUCGUAAUGAACUCGGCAAAAGAGGUAUCUUACAUGGAAACCAUAAUUUAGUGUGUGCAUUUUUCUUUCAAGACUUGGAAACUAUUUCACACAUUGGAUUCUCAUGUGUUUUCACCAAAAGUGGUAUGGGAGAAAAGUUUGCUCAUGGAUAGGCACAUCAUUGGACAAUGAUGCACACAGAUACAUAAAUUUUCUUGUUGUAUCGUAUUGGAUAUGUAUCCAAAACUGAUAUGUUGGGAUACACCAGUUAUCUCAUGCUCGAUUUUUUCUUCCGUUAUUGAUGGUAACACACCUACCCCACUCAAUAGUCCAAAAUAAAACGGUUAAAACAAUAUCUUUUUUUUCCUUAAGUUUUAUAUCUUUCUAUUCUUAAUUUCUUUAAUUUCAAUAAAUAUUUUAUAUAUAUGUUUUUCGUUCGUUAUUUUCUUGUUUAAUAUUUUUAUGUUGUAUUCACUAUUUUGUAAAUUUUUUGUUUUUAGGUAUAUGUAUCCUAAACAUUAAAUGUAACCUAUAUUUUCUAAGAAAUAAUGUGUUGUCGUAUCAAAUACGCCGUAUCAUAUGUAUUUGUGCAUCAUAGUUGGACAUUGAAACUGAAGGAGACUUGCAUUUUAUUUAAUUUAGAAAGAUGGUGAAUGGGAGUUCAUAAAAAAUGAAAAGCUUAAUUUGGCUAGCCACCUCUUGGUGUUUAUGGUCGAAGAGAAAUGACAUUUUGUUCAAAGGAGCUGUUGGUGAGGUUUCAGUUGUUUUGGAUAGCAAUAAGACUUUAUCAUAGCCAUGGUUUAUAGCUAGAACUAGAGUUCAACCUUGUUUUACUUCUCAGUUUGGUGUUCUAAUCCUUAGUUUGUCUUGUGGUUAACACUAUUUUAUUUGUAAUCGAUUAAAGUAUCCUUGUACUACCUUAAUAUUUUUGCUUAUAAAAAAACUAUAUAUUAUAUAUUCUCGAAGAAAAUUCCAACAGUAUUUCACAUAAAAAGAGAAUAAGUUCCAACAGUAUCGCCUUUCAUCCAAAACAAAAACUAUUUCAAGAAUUAACCUGCAUACAUUAUAUAAAAGAAAAACUACAAGGUCAUUGAAACUACCAGAGAAAAACAUUGAGAUUAAUCAUAACACAACUUGUCCCCAAAAUUAAAAUUGAUGUAUUAUCAGCAAUAGCCUCAAUAAUUUUAAUGUUGAUCAGAUAUUCUUCAGGACAACUUGUUUGAAUCAGCUUUAAUACUCGAAGUUGGAAAACACGGUACCAAUGAUGCUUUCCAUGAAGACGAGUGUUGGUCUUGGUGAUGAUGACCGAGAAUCCUCAUAAAGACGAGGACCCUAUACACCCUUCCAUAUGUCAGCCGUGAGUGCGAUUGAAAAGCUAUUUCCAAUGUAAGAACCUCCCUGGAUACUCUUGGAUGCGGCAGCCAUUAUUCUGGUGAGUUUUGUGCAGAUUGUAUUUUCUGCUGAGGAGAGUCACGUGGUUGUUGCUGUGGCAGUGGAAGAGAGUCGGAUGGUGGUUGUUGGUGUGGGGGAGAAGGAGAGUCUUGCAUUGAUUCUUGUUGCUGCGUUGGAGAAUCUGGUGCAGGUUGUUCCAUGGUGAUAUUGGUCUCUUGGAUGGAAACUAGGAGAAGAAAUGAUAGAUAUUAGAUAGUGUGUGACUUGAGUAAACCCUUUGUAAUAUAUAUGAUAUGGGAGUUCAACUAACUAAUUAACGGUAUUCUUGUUGGUUAGGUACUUAGUUGCAUAACUCACUAAAGUCUUCUUAUAAUGUUGUUCACUUUUUUUUUACAGUAAGUGUUGUAAAUGAAAAUAGAUAAUAAUUAGAUUUAUAUAUAUUUUGUACUUUGUAGAGCUCUUGAUUUUUAAUUGCUCUUGAUUUUUAAUUUGGCUGGUUAUUCAGAACAGAAGUGCCUUAAUAAAAUAUAAGGCUGUUAUGGUGGAUAGUUGCAUUUUAGGAUAUUCUCCACCCAAUGAGUGUUGACGUGUCUUAAUUAAUUUAAGUACUGCAUAAUGAGGGUCUGAAAGAAUAAAUCUGCUUAAUUAAUAUGCCUGAUACUGCUUAAUGCUUCAUUGGUUUUGUUAGGUUCACUUCGGAGUUACCUUCAAAAAUAGUACAAUUUCACAUAAUUGUUCUGUUACAUUUUGAGGUUUUGAUAUAAGGCUGUAGUAUUUCUAUUGAAGCUUGAUUUUCUCCUUUUUUAAAAAUCAUCGGAAAGUUACCGGAAGAGUCUAAUCUCUCAUAAUAUGGCAAACUAAUGUUAAAAUUUUCGUUGAGAGGUGUCUAUGUUUGAUGUUUGGUGGUGCCUCAAAUAGGAUCAUCUUCGGUGGAAGAAACUUGUGAUAAAAAAAAAAAAUCAAUACGCAAUCCAUGUCUAUGACACUGGUUCAAGAAAAAAAUCAAUACGCAAUCCAUGCCUAUGACACUGGUUCAAAAAAAAAAAAUCCAUGCCUGUGACAGUACUAAUCUUGAGUUAUUGACAGUAUUAAACUUGAAAGGCAACAAGUCAGAAGAAAGCAUCAGAUUUUCUAAACCAUUCAGGAAGUAACUUAUCUUAAAGUUUUGCUCACUGAAUUCAUAUCCACUAUACGAAUAGUAUAGCAGAAAAAAGCUAUAAAUCAUGGUACCAAUAAGUUACAACAAUGCAAAUAACUUGACCAAAUUACAAGCUGAGUCCAUAGUCAACCGAGAAAACAGACCCCAAAAAAAUACAACUAACCCAACGGAACAGGGUUAAAAAAAAUUAUAGAGAUUAAUUUAAUGUUAUUACAUUACACUUUACAACAGAAAGCAGGGUAAGCUAUAAUUGCCCUAACUACUCACACAGAUUGAACUCGCCUAAAGGGUUUAGCUGGCAACAGAUUGAAUUCUCAUUCAACUUAAUCCUUUCCUGCUUGCAUAUUUGCACUGCUGGGAAUUUGAUGAAAAAUUCGAAAAUAAAUUCCUUUCUGCUUAUUAACUUAUUAUUCCUUCUACUUUUCUGCUUUAAGCAUACUCAGGAUUGAGUGCUAAUGCUUCCCUGUAGAUCAUCUCCUUUAUUUGUUCUUCAUCCAAAUGUUGUUGCUCAAACUCAAAUGAGAAUGGCUCCAUGCAGAUAGGUUCAUCAGCUACGUCAUGCAGUUUUUCAAGGUAUGGAUGAGCCAGUGCUUCUUCAACUGCCAAUAUUUAAACAAGCAGAUAUGAAAAUUUAUUCAAUGUAAUUCAACAUUAUAUUCAAAAUGAACCCAUUACUGCUUUAUCUAGCUAUAGAGACAUAAAUGAAUGCAAGGAUGAGAAAAUUACCUGUAAUUCUUCUGGUAGGAUCAAUUGUCAACAUUUUAUCGACAAGAUCAAUGGCUAAGGGAUGAACAUGGGGGAAAACCCUAUUCAAAGGUUGACGAGGAUACUGAGGAAGUUGUCGGAUAUAUCUUCUCGCAUCGUCAUUUUUUACUAACCCCACAUCAGCGUCAGUUGGAGUGCCAAGAAGCUGUAGAAAAACAACAAGUGUAAGCAAUUAAGCAUAUAUGAUAUAUUACUACUUUUAUGAUUAAACUAUUGAUUGUAUUCAAGGCAUUAAUAAUGAAAUAUUUAUAUGAAUAUCAACUUAUAUGAGUAAGUAGCAACUAGAGAAAACAUUUAGUGUAAUGUUUUACUCCAUCCGCCACAUUAUAAGUGUCGUUUAAGAUAAUGCAAAUUUUUUAAGAAAAUGAUUAGUUAUGCUGAUUCCUAUAGUCUUACCUCUGUCAAUAAGCGCAUUUGAUGCACAUGAUCUUUGCCAGGAAACAGAGGCUUUUUAUUCAUAAGCUCCAUAAAAAUGCAACCACAGACCAGACAUCUAUUGCAGAGGUGUAAUCUGAGGAGUUCAACAACAAUUCAGGAGCCCUAUACCAUCUCGUGACAACAUAUUCUGUCAUGAAGUCACUUUCCAUAGUUGGUCGCGCAAGACCAAAAUCAAUAAUCUUCAAGUCGCAAUUUGCAUUUAACAGCAGGUUGCUUGGUUUCAAAUCUCUAUGGAUUAUGUUUGCAGAAUGUAUAUACCUUAGCCCACGAAGAAUCUGAUACAAAAAGUACUGCAAGUACAAGGCAUACAAUCAUCAGCAAAACGAGUAGUUCAAUUAAUUCCAGCGCAAAAAAGUUAAGGCAAUGAUUUUGAUACUAAAAACAACAAAUUCAAAACACUGACCUGGCAGUGUUCAUCUGACAGGUUUUGAUUAGAGCGAAUGAUUUGGUGAAGAUCAGUAUCCAUGAGUUCGGUGGUUAUGUAAACAUCAUUAAACUCUCUACGCAAGGGUGGUGGAAUAACAUCUCUUAAACCAAUUACCUGUUUUAAAAAACAAACAUUUUAACCAUUACUAAAUAUACAUUUAUCAAAUUGAGAUUUGCACAUUUGAUACUUUAAGACUUAAACUACAGUGUAAACUUUAAAAUGUAUGAAAGUAAUCAAUUAGGCAUGAACCAAUUAUGUAUUAUUCGAAAGGAAAAAAAUAUAACCGUUAAGAGUCCCGCAUUGAGUGAGAAAAGACCAAAAAAUGUGAUUAUAAAUGAAGGCAAUACCCAUUUUAAAGGCCGGUUUUGUAAGAGUUGAGUUAGGACCAACCCAAAAUUUAAGAUGAUAUCAGAGCCUAUCUAAGAUUUAUUAGUCCUGUUAACUAAAUUUGUGUCAUAUAUUUUUCAAAAGCAAUAAGUUAUUAUUAGAUAUUGAACUUAAUUCAGCCUUACACAAAUAAUUGGUGUCACACUCUUCAUAAUUAUUCUUUUGGGCAUUAUCUUUUUCCAUUAUUGACUUGGUUUUUUCUCAAUCAUCAUGGUCCACCAUUGUCAAGAGAGAUGGCUUGUUUCCAUUAAAUCUCAACAAACGUGUAGCUACUCACCACACAUAUUUUUCAACAUUUAAUGUACGACACUUUUACUUCAAAAAAAAAAAUCAUUUAAUGUACGACUCCUAAAAUAGGAACCAAAUUUUCCAUGAUCAUUACGUACAAUACUUGUAUUCCUCAAUCCUUCAUGUAUGACUUGAAAUGUCAACGCGAUAUUAUCAACAACAAUGAUAGUGAUAGGUACUUAAGAACCUUUCGCAGAAAGUAGCAGCAAUGCUAAAAAAAGCCAUAUAGAAUUUCAAAUAGUUUUACCUUAAUUGACUAUUAAUUGUCCUUUUUCACACAGAUUAGAAAAUUUAUACCAUACAAAGCAUAUAGAUUAACAACUUAAUUUGCAGCUUAUAACAUAAGUGUUUAUCAUAUGUAUAAAUGAUUAUUUUAGCUAUUUAUAAUUAAAUAUAAAAUAAAGUUACACUGCUUUUUGGUAUUUUUAGAAGUUAAUAGCUUACAAAAAUAAAUAAGCUAAAGAUAGUUUAUAAACAUGUCAUAAGCCGUUUUGAUAAGUUCUUCUGAACACUCUCAAAAUGUUUAUGCAGUGAAUAAACCGGAAUAAGUCAAUUCAAUGAAACUAUCUAAUUAAUCAAAUAAAGUUUAGUAAUUAAGAAUUUAAAGAUAACUACUCACAUUUUCAUGAUCUAAAUGCCUAAGAAGCUUAAUCUCACGGAGCGUACGCUUCGCAUCCAUAUGAUUAUCAAAAGCAUUCGCUAUCUUCUUCACAGCAACCAACUCAUUCGUCUCCGUAUUCAACAACGAACUUCAAAAAUCACAUCAACAAAAACAAAUCAGAUUCAUUUCUCACUUUCCAAAACCGUUAAAUCAAAUCCAUCAUAAACAAAACCGAUUCAAAAAAGAAGUAGAUUAUACGAAGCAAUACCAAACGAUUCCGUAAGCACCACGACCAAUAGGCAUGAUCGGAGGACGAUACUUAGCCGUAACCUCGAAAAGAUUACCGAACACGUUGUACUGAACGAACUGUCCGCCGUGAGUCUGAACCGCCGGAAACUCAGCGACGCCGUUUUGGUUAACUCCGGCCAUUGAUUUGAUUUGAUUUGAUUUUCUUCACUCUCAAGAAUUUUUUUCUCUCUCUAGAAAGCGUCGGCGAUGGUAGUGUGUUGAAGAAGAAGGCGGUGAAUUUCAAUUUAAAUAAUGUUUAUAGUGAGUUAUUGACUCGGCUUGUGAAGCACGUUGAAUUUUAUAGAAUCUAUUUUCGGAGAAGAUGCUACGAAGAAGGUGCGAAAACGCGCGAAGGAGAUUAACACACGCGCGUUACAAGAACGACGCGUUUGUAUUUUUGAUCGGACGGUUGUGAUUGUAGCCGCCUCUAAUCUACGGUCUUAGCUUGUUCAAUUAUUUCAACUACUAUCUUAAUGAAUGACUAAAAUAUAAUAUCAUUAGAAAUAAAAUAAGUCAGAGGGAUUUAAAUAUUAUAUACAAAAAUUGACUGAUACCUACACCUUGAUAUAAAAUUAAAAUCUCUCCUAAAAUGGACUAAUUAGGCCCCUCUUUCCGUCAUUAAAAAGAGAUCAUAUACGUAUAUAUUAGUAUCACUACAAUUUUAGUUAAGAAUGAUUAAUGACUCAAAUAAUUGAUCAACUGUUUUCUGGCACAUAUAUAGGCAAUUUGUAUCUGACAGCUGUUUUUUAUGUAUUAUAUAGGAUUAAGAUAAGGAGUUGUUUUUCAUGUGGAAUAAACACACAUGUAUAUUUAAUUGGAGUUUAGUUUAAAUUAAUGUUUUUACAAAUGACAUUAACAUUUGGAACGUUUUAUGCAAAUGGUUAGGAAUAUUGCUUUGUAGUAAUUGGUCACUCUAACAAUGUUAACUCAUCUUAGACUAUGUUUUGGACAGGCUUAAAGAUACGCAAAAACCAGAUUUCGGAAUCCUUGUAGGACAAUAUGAUGAAUAUCACACAAUGAUAUGUCUAAAGUUGUUCAAUUAGGGUUUUUAUCCAAAAAAAAUCCUUUAUCUUUUUCCUAUAAAACCUGACUUAUGAAACAUGUUUAAGUACACAUUUUUUAAACACUAAAACAUUACAUUCAUGACAUUUGACUUACUUGAUUGUCGUAAUGUUUACAGGUACACCAUCCCUCAACUGUCAUCCAAGUUGUCAAUCUAGAUUCAAAUACACAUUUUCUAAAACCUAAAACCUCACACUCAUGCCCUUUAACUUACUUGAUCGUCAUAAUGUUUGAAGGCACCGUGGAUUAGGUUUUCUUGAUAAUCUAAGCAAGGAAAAAUAAAAAUGUUCUCAUAUUACAAAAUGAUUUCAUUCUUAUAUUCUCGACUAUAAUCCUUCUCUAUCACUACAUUGCUCCAAAAACCAACAAUAUGCGUGAGAAUAUGUAUUACCCUAUUGAUCCUCUACUUAUUUACUGGCUUGAUUCUCUGCCAAAUUUGUAGCAUAAAGUUGUACUAAUACCUAUAUAAAAAAACUUGUUAAGUAAUAAUACUUUGUAGGUUGGAUGGACGGGGUGUCCACCUAUCUUUUCUCAAUCCAAAACCAAAACUAAAACCAAAAUAUUUUUUUAUAAUAAAUGUGUAUGAACGUGUUUCUUGAUAUGUAAUUUUUUUUGUCUUGCUAACAAGUGUGCUAAGAGUAAUAUUUAACGAACCCACAACGAGAAAUAAUUUUAUCUUAAAAAUACAAGUCAAACACAUGUAAAAGUCAUAAUUACAUAAUUUUCAAUAUAAAAAUUAUUACUUUAUAUGGUUAAACAACAGUCGUUAAUAUUUUCUUGUUAACAUGACACAAAUCUGAUGUGUGGAUUCUUGUAAUUCUACGCUUUAUUGAAAUUUCUUUUCAAUCAUUCAUGUUGUUGUUCUUGUUUUAUUAUUUGUUGCUUUCUUUCUCGUUCCUCGUCUUCCGUUUCAAGCUAUUGUCUUUAUACCCUUUGUUUAGUCAUUUAAAUUUCUUUUUUAUCAAUGUGCACUCAAAUUUUUGUCCAAGAAUCUUUCGUCAAAGUCAUUCACAUUUCUGAUCAUUUCAAAUUCAACGAGUUAUUUGUUUGUAUUUUAUGCUUCAUGAAUAGUUCUCUCCUUCAUAUACAUAUCCUUGAUAAGUUUCAUUGAAUAGUUAAACAUUUCAAAUCUUGUCAUCUUUCAAUUGUUUUAUGCAUGAUAUUUCUAUAUAAAAUUUAAAACUUUUGCAAGCUUUACUUGCAUAGUAACCACAAUUUGACACCAUACUCAUUAUUUUAAAAUUAUGGUGAAGCUUGACUACAAAAAAUGAAGUUUUUUUUUGUGGGAGUCAUUCUUUAUAAUUAAGAUUAGGGUUACUACAUAACCAUUGGAUUUCCUAUGGAUUGAACUCAAAGUGAUUAAUCAAUUUAGAAUAUGACAAAUCAUUUGAGAAAACAUUAAAUCUUGGUUCGGACAACUUUUAAUUAGAUUUUACUUGCUUUAAAUUAUCAUAAUCUCCUUCUCCUAAGAACCAAAAUCAAAUCAGACGCUCAAUCGACAAGAUAUCUAUAUCAUAGUUUAGCUACUUUAUUAACUUGCUCAAACAUAAGAAAGCACAAUUAAACCGCUCAAAUAACUUAAUCAUAAAUAAUAUCGAUCCACAAUUCAACCAAUUAGACGGCUAGUUUUGAUUCAAUUUAUAGAACAUUAACUUAAAAAUGACCUAAACAUGUCUCAUAAUUGAGUAAACUUCAUAGCAGGUGUAUGUAUUCCUAUUAUUCAGGAGUCAACAUUUGGUACAGAAAUUAAAUUUCAGACACGACCUAGUCUCAUAUUUGCAAACAAAAUAUCUGGUGUUUUCCAUUUCAAUAAUGUGCACGUGAGGAACAAAUGCACAAGCCACAUGGAAUAACAAAGUCAAAUAAUAACAGCAAUAGAAUAACUUCACCUACGAAGCACGGGGCGCCCCUUCUCUACAGAUAAUAGAAUGAAUAAUAAUAAUAAAUAUAUCAUGACAAUGGUAAGUGGUAAUGGGGGUUUCUUUUCUCAUUCUAUUUCUAUCGAUGACUUGAUACUAUAACUACCUCGAAAACUAUUAAACAUUAUUGACUUUCUCAAACAAUAUUUUUGACUCUUUUUUUUUUUUUUUUUUUUUCAAACUAGAUGAACCUUGAAUAUUUCAAAACAGAAAUGUUAGUUGAACUAUUUUUGGCACAAAUAAAUGAUUAAUUAUGUAUAGUACUUGGUUAAUGGUAUCACUUUUUAACGGUGAUUUUUGACACUUAACAUUGUUUGUUUAUUUAUUAUAUGGUUACACGGUUUAAUAACAUAGUUAAUUCAGUUCAUUAUGUGAUUAACAAAUAUCUUGAUGUAGUUCAAUUAUAUUUAUUUAUUUGAAAAUUGAUUUUUUUUUUUUUUUAAAACACAACGUGGUUCAUUUUUUCAUUUCAUGAUUAAGACUUUUUUUUUUUUUUGCAUAAAACAUGUAUUUUCCGUGCGUCCUCUCAAAAAAAAAAAGUAUUUUCCGUGCGCUCCCUCGAGCCUUAUGAAAUGCAGAUAGAAAGUAAACCUUGCAUACAUUAUGCAUUGUUCAUACCAACAUAGAGAUAUUGUCUUCUCAUCUAAGUGUUCUUGGAUCAUGCUUAAAGCAUUUUAAAUAUGUUUAGUUGAUAAUUGUAAUUCAUUAAACAGUAAUAAAUUGAAUGAACCAAAUAUUUGAAUGUCGGUAAUCAUGGACUUAUUUGUGGUUAUAAAAAAAACUAAACUAAACUAUAUAAUAACUCAUUAACCACAUAAUGAACUGAAUCAAUCACCCAUUUAAAUUGCAUUAACUAAACUAAUUUGCUAUUGGAUAAUCGUUUGUUUCUUCUUAAAUAUGUCUUGUCAUCACUCCUAAUCUAUUUUCUUUCCUUCUUGAAGACUUCAUCAUAUGUAUAUAUAAUUUCCUCUAUUAAAUCUAUAUUUUGAUUUUUUUUUUUUUUUUUUGGUGGGGGGGUGUCUAGGAAAUCACCAUGGAUCAACUGGGAUAAUAUUUGUUCGGAUAAAGAGAAAGGAGGGUUGGGGUUAGGGGGAUUAGUCAAAUUAAUUUACCAUGGUUAUAAAAGUGGUGUUGGAGAAUGCAGGCGGAACAAUCGAGUAUAAGGUUUAAGGUGUUGGUAGCGAAGUAUGGGGUAGAGGAUGGUGAGGGUGAAAAAGGGUGGUCGUAUGGGUUCACAUUGAUGGCACGAUAUCAUGACCAUACGUAGAGGUGUAGGUUUGGGUGUGGGGAGUUGGUUUGACGAGAAUUUGGUGUGGGUUGUGGGUCACGGGACCAAGACUUUCUUUUGGUCAGUCUAGUGAUUGGAUGGAGGGGUGAUGAGUGAUAGGUUUAGGUGGCUAUAUUCAUUAUUGAAGAAUCAUUUUGUUUCACUGGCAGAGAUGGGGGACGGGGAAGAUGGGUGGAAAUGGUGGCGUAGGCUUUUGACUUGGGAGGAGGAGUAGAUGAGUGUGUGCAGUAUGUUGUUGUCUAACAUUUUUUUUUUCAAGGAUGGUGUGGGUGACAAGUGAGAUUGGAGCCUAGAUCCAGGCAAAGGGUACUCUGCCAAGUGGCCAACCAUUUACUUUCUUCCAGUAUUUUGCAAUAUGGUUUGCUUGAUUAUUAUGAUUAUGUGUGGGAUAUAGUAGUGUGAAGGAUGCUUCUCAAUCUCAUUCCAACAAAGGAUAGCUUGAUUUAUCGUGGUAUUAUUCCCCACAAUUCUAAUCUUUGCUCGAGUGGGUGAGGUCAAGCUGAAAAUAUUGAUCAUUUGUUCGUUGGUUAUGGGUUUUAUGGCAGCAUUUGGAUUAUUUAAAAAGAAAUAAACAAUUGUCUCUUUCGCCGAAAAAUUCUAGAUAAAUUAAAAUAAAGACUAAACAAACUUAUUGAUUUUGACUCGGACGUGAAAAAACUCUAGAUUUAAGAGUAUUUCGUCACCCUAAAUUAGUUGUCUAAUGUGGUUGAUUUCAAAGUCAAUAUCUCUAAAAUGCAACACUUACUACUCGCUAACACCUAGUCCUCAAUUAGCAAGGACACAUAAACCACUUUUGAAUGUUAAUGAGGAUUAGAUUUCUUUAUAAGUUUACAUUCAUAAAUAUUUACACGUAUACAGUUGCUUCUCAAUAGUGUCAGUAAGAAGAAUCGGUGUAACUCUCUUCCUCCAUACUAUUCUGCUACCAAUUUGUAUAUAUGCCAUCAGUUUGAUAAUUACUUUAAUGUUGGCAACAAUUGUUCGCAAGUAAACCUUGUAAAUAGAAUUGACCGGUAAGUUCUCGUGGGUUUAGUUCAGUUGAUAUGAACAAUGUAUAAAAAUAUGUAAGGUCUGAGGUUCAAAUCCCGGACACAGAAAAAAAGAAUUGAACCGGUAAAUUAUAACGUGUAAUAUUGAUUAGGUAGCUACAUGACUUAUUCAAAGGAGAUAUUUGUCAAAAAUAGAUACAGUAAUAAUUAACUUUAAAAUAAAUGGAUAACAGCUACAACACAACGGGGCGCAAAAAGAAAAUAGAUUGUCACAGGGCUAUUUGUUUUUAGAACGUCGAUCAUGACAUCUUAUUUCAAUGUGGUUAGAAAUAAAAAUUUUGAAAAUUACUUUUCAUACUUCACUCAAUGCUAAAAAACACUAUAAAAUGGUAAAUUUAACCUCAAAUUCUAUCAACAGUGAACUACCGCUGGUUAAAUCUAUUGGUGGUUAAUUACCGAUAGAAUUAUAUUAGUAAUUUGUGGUGUUUCAUAGCAACCUUUUGCGUGGGAAUAUCAAUUUUUAAAUUUUUCUUCUUGUCAAAUAAUGAACAUAAGUAACCUUGAACAAUGUUAGUGAGCAAUACGGCUCCCUUGCCCAAUAUAAUAUCUUAGUUUUUGGGAUGAAAAACAUUAUUUUGAACAUUGAUGUUACUCAACUUCUAAAUUAUGGCGGUUGAGUAGCUCGAAUAAUUUGAGCUAAAAAUAAAUAGUUAGAGACUAUAUGUUCAAAUUAGACGAAAGAGAAAAACUAAUGCUAUAACAAUUAAUUUACUAACAUUUUCCAAUUAAAUUGAUGGGUUUCCACUUUCCAUGGCGAUUGAGUUUCAAAAUUCUUUAUGUGAACGUAAUGGCUUUACGCCUUUACUAAUGAUGUUGGAUUUUGUUAGGAAAUUCUUACAUAGAAGUGAUGGGUGGGAAUAUGACUCCCUGUUUAUAGUUAAGUUGGAUAAUAGGGGAAAUUCAAAUUUUUAUAGCCAAAAGGUUAAUCACUUUAAGAACUUCAUAGCUAAGAAUUCGUCACGAAUUGCAGAAGAGUAAUGACUUGUAUUGAUGGGAUAAUUAAGGCAAUGAGCUUCAUUAGGUUAGAGGCUUUUAAUUAAAGAUUAAGGCCGCUUUGGUCUUCAUCAUGAUUUGCAAAAGAUUAAUCACCGAUCAGUGUACCAAUUUUUGAAUGAAUCGUCGUUGUAAAUCUUUAUGAAACUAAAAUUUAGAUGUUAGCCCGGUAGUUCUCAGAAGAAAGAUUGUGAUAAUCUAAAGUUCAACCAAAAAAUAAAGUUUAACCAAGAAUCAGCUAGUUUUUUCUGACAAAAUGACUAAGAAUCAACUUGUCAAAACUGCCAGCAGGUACUACAAAAUAUUAGUAAAAUCCUAAGUAGAAGAAAUUAAUUAAACUCAACAAUUCGGAUUUCAAAACCAUUCAUUAACAAGAAUUUUCGAAAACAAGAAAAUUUACUACAUUUUUUGUUUAGGAAUCAACCUUAACUGCUUAAUUAUAUCAAAAACAAAAAAACAAAACCUUGCCUACUUCAUAUCGAGCGAACAUUCAUAAUAUUUUUGAUAAGUUCUCAUGUUUAAAAAUCUUUUAUAAGUUCUCAUGUUUAAAAUUGAACACUCCAUCAGGGUAGUGUUUAGUGCCAAAAAAAUUCUUUGAAAGUAACUAAUUACGAAAGAGUCGUGAUGCUGUUAAUUUACUUCCAAUACAAUUAAACGCAGACGAGAACUCCAAAGACUACUUUGGGACAUGCGGAAGAGCAACAUUGGGGAAUAAUAAAACCGAAAUAGCUGGGAAUUAUCACUUAACAAUGUUAUUUAACAGAGGAUCAACAAUAGAGAAAACAAUCAAACUCCACGUUCAUCGUGUCUAGCAAAAUACAUCCAAAAACUACCCAAUGUCGAUGAACCCGCAUUCAAAAUAAGAGCAAUGUCUGUGAA
rnacentral:lncRNA from 1 species